rnacentral:lncRNA from 1 species
UCAUUAGCAAUCUAGUACGAAAUUAAUUACAAACAAUAUAAUAACAUAUUAGGUGUAAUUUUAUUAGUGUAUUUUGAAGAAACGAUUAUACAUACAAUAUAAUUUUAUUUUAUGAAAGAUAAAAAGUUUGUUUCCAAUAUAUUUUGGAUUCAAGUAAAAAAACUAUACUCAAUUAACAUGGACAAUUUUUUACACCGUGAAGUUAUUCUAAAAAAAUUAAAAUGAUGAGUUUUUUUUAUAAAAUAUAAAUUAACAAGUGAAAUUUACAUUUUAAAAAUAUUGAAAUCAUGAUUUGAAAUUUUAAUUAUUUUAUUUUAAAGAAUUUUAAAUUUCAAAUCUUGAUCCCAAAUCAGUUCAAACAAUUUAAAAUCAUAACUUCAUAUUUCUUUCCCCCAUUUUAUCAUCAUGAUCUCAUAUAAACGGACCAAUGAUAUUAAAUUUAGCUCGACUUCUAGAAGAUGGUGAAAAGGGCAAAUAAUAAAUUAAAAUAAAUACUUCACAAAUGACUUAGCCAACAAGUAGUCAGCAAAGUCCACCACCUUCACACAAUAGAGCUAAAAUAGCACAAAAUUACGGAAUAAAGAAAGUCGGUUUCUCAUUGGCCACGCGGUUAAAUUUCCUUGCCCGUCCACUCUCCUUGACAUGCGUGCCCCCCAGUACUAUAUAAGCCCUACACUGAACGCUAACCAAACACAAAACCCCAAUCGACGUUUUCUUCAUAACUUUUAUUCAAUUUGCGAUUCUUCGUUCAUAUCGAAAUCUCUGUGAUCUUUUUAUCAUGGCCGAAACAAACCCUAAGCCUCAACAACCCGAGAUGGUAAUUUGAAUUUCAAAUUAAAUCUUCAUUUUCGAUUGGUUUCUUGUUUGUAUCGGUUUUUGAUUUGAUGAAAUUUUUGCCUUUUUUUUUUGUCUGAUUUGUGUUUUUUUAAUUUGAUUCUGUGAUGAAGGCUCAGAUUGAGGAAGAAAAAUUGAAGUAUUUGGAAUUCUUGCAAGUGGCGAUGAUUCAUGCGGCGCUCUGUGUGGUGAAGGUGUAUGGUUACGCUAAAGAGAAUUCUGGUCCCUUGAAGCCUGGUGUUCAGACUGUUGAAGGCACCGUCAAGACUGUGGUUGGCCCUGUUUAUGAUAAAUUUCAUGAUGUUCCCGUCGAAGUACUCAAAUUUGUCGACCGCAAGGUAUAAUUCCUUAUAUGAUUGCAAUGGAAUUUUAUUUCUUAAAAUGUAUUUGAAUUGCAUUAUUGUUCACUUUUUGAGAUGGAAAUUCUACAUUUUUUGUUAUUAUUAUAUUUUAUUUCACAAUUGGAACAUACAUUUUCUGGAUUGAUUAGUUUCAUGGUGUUGUUAUCGAAGUCCUGAUGUUUGUUGAUGUUCUUGGGUCAUGACAAUAAUACUGAAUCCGCAUUUUUGAAAUAGAAACUUGAAAUUGGCUAGUUUUGUACUAGUCAAAUCUAUUCUAUGAAUUUCAUGGAUUGCAACAAAAAUUACUUGGGGUGUAUUUUGGAUAGGUUAGACGUUAUGGACUUAAUUAUUCAUUUUCUGGCAUGUGCACUUGGAAGAGAUUGAAUUAGCGUAUAUGAUUAGGAUUGGAUGUUAAAGGGUGAUGAAGUAUUGGUUGUUGGUGGUGAGCUACUGUUGUUAGACACAGCCUUAGUUAAAAAACAUUCACAUCUUGUUAAUCCGUUGCAUACAAUUCCCCAUCAAAGGAUCUCAUAAUGGGAAUGCUUUUCAGAUUUCGCCAAAUGUUGUAAAAUCUAGGGCUGUUGUGGUGCAGAUUGCCUUUGUUUUGGGGGCAUUCAGGUGUCUAAUGUAUGUACAUAACGGUGGUCAGUGGAUCUGAUAAUAAUCUUAGACUGAUGUAUAAAGUAUAUCACAGCUUUUCCUUAUGCGAAAAUAGGGGCAGGGUGUGAUUGAAGAAUAGAGCUAAUGGCACUGCAUAUCUUGUAGUUAAAUAUCAUAUCAGUCUAUGUCUAUCCUACAGUUCGUUGAAAUGCUCCAAGUUUUUAUUACAAACAUCGAGUCAAAUUGUUGAAACCUCUUGGAUCUUGGAUCAGUUCUCUUACCAUUUAUUGGGUUGUAGCUUUGAAGUUCUGCACCAUAUUGACAUAUGUGAUUGACAUGAAUUCUACCAUUUUUGCAGGUUGAUCAGUCUGUCCGUCAGAUUGAGACUCGUGUUCCCCCUAUGGUCAAGCAAGCUCCUGCAGCUGCUCGCUCUGUUGCAGCUGAUGUCAAAAGUGCUGGUGUGAUGGGAGCUGCAUCAGGACUUGCUAAAACAGUGUAUGCCAAGUAUGAGCCCACUGCCAAGGGACUUUACACCAAGUACGAGCCAAUGGCCGAGCAAUAUGCUGCAUCAGCUUGGUUCUCUCUCAACAGGUUUCCCAUUGUUCCUAAAGUCACUCAAGCCGUUGUUCCAACAGCUGCUUACUAUUCCGAGAAAUACAAUGUGAUGGUUCAGCAAACAGCAGAGAAGGGAUACAGGGUUGCUUCAUAUCUUCCAUUGGUACCUACAGAGAAGAUUGCUAAGGUGUUCAGUACUCAGCCUGUGGCUUCCAGCUAAGAAGGACCUACUGGUUUACUUAAUGAUUCAUAAGUAGUAGUUUUGUUCUAUGUGAGGUUCUCCAUAUGAUCUGGAGUGCUUUGAAACAGUUGUUAUUUGUUUACUGUGUGAAGUAUAUCGUGUGUUUGCCUAUUCGGUUUUCAUUGUUGUUUGGGAAUUCUCUUUUGCCCUUCGGGAGAGUCUCUGAUCAACAUAAGCAAUAUUUUUGUAAGAUUUCAGUUUCUAUAUUAAAAUUCAUUCAUUCAAGACUAUCAAAGUGCCUUUACAAAGGGGAGACAACUUCCUACGAAGUACUUGUAAAUUUGGGAUUUUUUCAGAACGUAGAAUGAUGGGUUAUUGAAGAAACCAUAUAGUCCUGUUACUUAAUAUUUUGAUAUUUUCAUGGGCCAAUCAUCCUCCCAAAAAAAGCUAUAUUCUUUUGUUUUUUUAGGAUUAUGAAGAAUAUGUUUCUUCCAAAAGACUAAAUUGUAUCCAUUGGGGCGAUUGCUCACCAAGACGAUAGUUUGUGAAGAAUGUGUUUGUAGGUAAAUUCGAAGAUAGUCUAAAUUGUAGUAUCAAACGAGACGAGUACCAUUUUUUUGUUGCUAUAUCGCAAGGGUGAAAUCUCACAACUUCAAUAAAUAAAUAAAUUUUAGUUUUUGUUGCUAUAUGGCGAGGGUGUGAAAUCUCACAACUUCAAUAAAUAAAUAAAAGUUAGUUUUUGUUGUUAUAUGGCAAGGGUGUGAAAUCUCACAACUCCAAUAAAUAAAUAAAAUUUAGUUGCUGAGUUCUUAUGUUUUGGACCAAUAGAUUAUAAAAAAAAAAGAGGGAGAGUUUUUAUAAAUAAUUAUAGUUUGAAGCAUAUUUGGAUUUAUAUGUUUGCUCAAUUUAGUUGUAUUAAUACGUAUAAUAAUACACCAUAUUCAAGCAAAAUAUAUUGUAUCCCGUUCUAUAUGAGCACAUAUAGCAAGUGCACUUCAAUUCUUCAACACACCCGAAAUUGCCACACAUGCAACUUACAAUUUAUAUACCUAGGGAGCCCUUUACUCUCAAUGUGGGACUUUCCGUCGCGAAUACGUAUUUAGUCGGACUCCGAUGUGAGUAUUGGAUAGUGGGUGGGAACAAAAAAAAAAACAUACAUUUAUAUAUGUCACUGUAUUUGAGUUGAGUGUAUCAAACUUAUAUUUUAUGAGAUACACACGUAUCAUCGCUAAAAACCACCCAACUAUCCCUAAAAGCACUUGUAUGUUGUUGUGUUUGAGUGUAUCACACUUGUAUUUUAUGAGAUGCACUUAUAUUAUCACCAAAAACUACCUCAACCGAGCUGUAUCCAUCAGCAAAAAAAAAAUGUUAGUAUCACUGUGUUUAAUAGUUUAAUGAAAUUAUCCGUUUGAUAAAUAUAGUUUCUAAGAAGUUAAGUAAUUUUUUUCUUAUAAUAAUGGUAAUUAAGAGCCCAUUAUCGACCACAGGUUAACGGCAUGAGCUAUAAGCCCAUUCCGAUACAUGGACUGGUCGGAUCUCUCAUGACCCGACCUGAUUAAGUCACACUAUCCAAAUUCCCCAUCCUCAUUGGUUAUACUUCUAGAGCACAGUUUCUUCCUUUCAAGCUUCGUUGAAAGAGACCAGAAGAAUCAAAAUUCAUCCGUGGAGAAAUCAUGGCCACGUGCUUGCGGUUGCCCAUGGCGUCCUCAAUUCCAUGUUCUUCAUCUUCAUCGAUGACGCUGAAACACCGUAGCUUCAACAUUCGCUGUGCAGCCUAUAGCAAUAGCAGUUCAAACAUUCCGAUGCCUCCUUUUAACCCUAAGGACCCAUUUCUAAGUAAGCUUGCCUCUGUUGCUGCAAAUAAUCCAGACGCACUCUUCUCUCGGCCUCAAAAUUCUGAUAUGCCGCCAUUUUUGGACAUUUACGACUCCCCUAAGCUCAUGGCUACUCCUGCUCAGGUAUGUAGUUGAUUUUUUCAUUGGCUUAAAUGCUUAAUAGUUAGUCUCUGUCCCAACUCCCAAUUUGUUGGCAAUAUAGUAGAACGGUCUUCUUUGAUUACAUCUUUUUCAAAUAUUUUCCGAGUAUUAUUGUUAACUAAAAAAAAUGUGUUAACGCAAGCCACUGUACCUUGUCUAUUUGAGUGGAGAAGGGUAGAUGAGUGGACCGUUAUCUAUUGAGUAUCCAACCAUACGCCGUGAACCUUUUGGGGAUUUCUCCACCAUCAGAAAAAAAGAAAGAAGAAAGGAAGCUGUCAAUUAGAGUACUCUGCUAUUUAUGUAUUUCAUAGAUAUGUAAUUUUUUUUAGAGAAUAAGAAAUCUAUGUAUAGAUUCAGACUAUUGACCCUCACAUUCUCUUCUUUUCGGACAGCAUUUUUUUUUAUUUCUAUCAAUUUUUUUGUAGAUUUUAUUAGAGAUUGUUUAGGAAAGAAGCGGCUGCAAUAGGAUGCUUAUGUUGUUAGGAGUCUGUUCUGAACUGAAUUCAUUUGGUGUGAUUUGAAUUCAUUGCGAUCUUAGUUUUCGGAUGAUUUUGUUCUCCUCCCUUUUAAUGUUACUGAUUAUAUGUAAAGCAAAUUAAUAAUGUAUCGGAAGCUUUUUUGUUGUUUUUGUUUUAAUUAUAUUCUGAUGGGUAUUGUUUGGUCUGUGUUUUUGCUAUUUGGAUUAGGUGGAGAGAUCAGUAUCAUACAAUGAGCACAGAGCCAGUACACCUCCACCAGACUUGCCCUCUAUGUUGCUCCAUGGUAGAAUAGUUUAUAUUGGCAUGCCGGUAUGUCAUCUUGUUCAUCAUCUGACAUUUUCUGAGUUACCCUGUGCUUAUUAGUGACUUUUGCAACGUUUUGGCAUAAGUAGGUGUUUGGAAAUAAAGGCUAACAUUCAACUUGUUCCUUCUACCAUCUUAUCCUAAUUCAUUCUUGUGCUUUAAUGCCUUGUUGUUCUUUCUCUGGUAGAUUUGCUGCCCCUUCCAAGUUCCACUCUUUCUCCUCAUAAAUAUCAUGUUCUUACAAAAAAUUAUAUAACUAAAGUCCCUACAGAUACUUGAUCUUUCUCCACACUUUUUGCCUUUGACAACUUUGGAUGCAUCCAUCUUUGUUCUGUUUGCUAGCAGUCAGCAUAAAAAGCCAAAUAAGAAAUGUGUUGAUGAGAAAGGGCACUUCUUGGUUGGUAUCCUUGUAUUGAAUGGUGAAUGUAAUGUUAUUUUGUGUCGAGAAGAUUCCUCAAGAUCGAUGGAAGGAGAGAAUUGGCUGGUGCACGCGAUGUUGUUGAAGCUGGUAAAAUCAGGAUGAUCUAUGGUCUACGUACUCGGAUAUGAAAUUGCGCAUGAAAUUUUCAAUUUAUUUGAAAUGAAAUUUAUAUAUUUGUAAACUAUGUAAAAAGUACUAAUAAGUCAUAAUAAUUGAUAAUUCUAAAUGUUUAAAAGAUCUAUGAAAAAUUUAUGGUCAAAGUUAGACUUGUUUGAAUCUCAAAAUUCGAAAAGUGCCACAUAAGAUGGGACGGAGGGAGUACCACGUUUGGUAGCUAGUUAAAGAGGUAGAUUAUUCAUGAAUAAAAUUAAUAUUGUGUUUGAUUUUGUUUUUAAAAGCAUGCAUAACUACUACAUGUAUAAGUUAUGUAUUAUUUUAUGCAUGAUAGAAGGUUGAAUAACUAAUACAUUUAUUACUAAUAGUCUAAUACAUAAAUAACUAAUACGUAGAUUCCCUCACAACUGAUCCCUACAUUACUAAUACCUACAUAACUCUUUAGUAAAUUAGACACUUCUUUGAGAUGCUUGUAUUGGACAUUGUCAUCCCAAUAUGUAUAACGUAGCUGUUAGAUCUUCAAAGAAACUACUUUGUUUCUCCAGCGCAACCUUUCUGCUUUAGUUGGGGUCUCUUGUAUGUGCUGUUCCAUUUUAUUAACAAGGUUCUCAUGCCCUAUCUGAAGGCGCGUUUCCAAGAGAAAAGAAAAAUGUGAGACACGUCUGCUACUUUAGAAUACUUAGUUUUGUCCCAUUCAACUAUCCUAUUUUCCGUGUUGGAUUAUUGCAAGAUUGUGUUUAUUUUUCUUAAAUGGAAACAUAGUUUUGCAUUCCGUGACAACAACAACUACAAGUCUACAACAAACAUAAACACAGUGUAAUCCCACGAGUGGGUCUGGGAAGGGUAGUGUGUAUACAUACCUUCCCUCUUACUUGUAAAGGUAGGGAAGGGUGUUCCUAUGGCUUAUAAAAAACACAAGGCCCAAGGAAAAGGUUACAAGACCUUGUAAUUAUACUACUAAAAUUAAAUUUAUUAAUAGUUAAUUUCAUCUUACUUUGAGGAUAAUGCUAACGUUCCCAGUUGAUAUAUGUACUAUAUUUGUCAUCAUAGGUUCAUUGCUGUAAGUUUUGGUGACAGGGAUGCUCAUGGUUAUCUGGUUUACAUCAGAAACUAUAUUGUAAAAGAAACAUAAACCAUGUAAAAGAUGAUUUAUUGUUAAUUACUCAAGGCAACAUGCCCAGAUGUUUUUGAUCAUACCAUGUCAAUCUAUGUGUCUUUAUUUGUUUACUUGAUUUAGAGGUACAAAUGACCAUCUUAAUUUUGGCGUGCAAAAAUUUUGUAGUAGGCUUAACUAGCUAAGGUUUAAGUGUGUUUUACAGCAGGUAAACUGUCUAAAACGGAGAAGUUUUUUUACAUGACUUCAUAUUAAUUUAAUCUGCAAAGAGCUGAACACUCUGAUACCUACUUGUUUCAUUAUUUGGACUUUUGGAGUUUCCAUCUGAUGUACUACUUUUAGUUUUGCCCAAGUUUGGGCCAUUUGGGAUAUGUUAUAUGGUUCUUUGGCAAUUGAAUUUUGCACACAUGAAUAUUGUAAAUAUGUUGACACCCUGAAUUUCUAGUCUGGUUUGCAACAACUUGUGCGUUGCUACUUAUAUUUGCAGUUCAGUUAACUUCCCUUUACUCUUCAUCUCUUCAUUAGCACAAAAUAAUCACGAUUUUUCUUUUCAGUUGGUGUCAGCAGUCACAGAGCUUGUGAUUGCAGAGUUGAUGUACCUACAGUAUAUGGAUCCUAAAGCGCCGAUUUAUCUAUACAUAAAUUCUACUGGGACUACCCGUGAUGAUGGUGAAACGGUGAGUUUUCAUAUAGGGGCAUGCUCAGUGCCUCUCUCCUGUAGUCCUCAUAGAGUAUUAUAGGAAUCUCAUUGUUUAUGCUUACACGUGGUUGCUGAGUUACCUUUACCCUGCAUUUUCUCAUAUUUUGCCCUCAUUAAUUACCUAAAACCACUCCCACCUGCCCCUUCCUAAUUGAUGUGUACUGUGUAGUGUGACUUCUUGGACCUCAUUAAUGCUUUGUACGUUCUUCUUAAUAAAAAAAUAUAGAUACUUGAAUUAUUAUUUAUUACUCCCUCUAUCCCAUAUAAUUUUUCCACAUUCUAAAAGUAUUUGUUCCAAAUUACUUGUCGAUUAUUAAAAUCAAGAUAUAAUUUUAUUUUUUUCUCAUUUUCCCCUUAAAAUUAGUUCUUUUUGAAAGUAAUAAGAUUGUAAAGUUCCUCCAUUGUUAAUCUUGAUAUUAAUGGAUAAGGCACAUAAAUAAAGUGUAUUAAUAAGAGUUAAAGCGUAAACUAGUAAAAUACUUCUUUUAUUUAUGAUUUCUUAGGAGGCCUGUAAAGAGAAAAGUGGACAAGUAACAUGAGACAGGGGGAGUAUUAUUGGGUUAAUUUGUGCAAGACUAUAAAGUUUAAACUAAGACUAUAAAUUAAUGUAAAUUUAAAGUUAUGGAAAAGCUUAUUAUGUUAUUUAGAUGGUUCUAGAUGAUGAAAAUAUGGGUCUUUGUUAAUACGUAUGAAAACAAAAUACAUUAUUAAAUUUCAAAUGAACUUGUGGGUGUUUGGUGUUGGGGUCGAUGUUAUGCUCAAAUUAUCCGAUCUUGGGAUAUUUUAUCAAUGUAGGUUGGUAUGGAAGCAGAAGGUUUUGCAAUUUAUGAUUCCAUGAUGCAACUUCAAAACGAGGUAAGCUCUCACCAACUAAAAUAGUUCUUGCUAGAAAGUGUUCCAUUUUAAUCUUAGCAUGGUAAUGUAAGAUUUUUCCUUAUCUAGGUCUUCUUUUUUUUUUAAGUCAAAUUUACUGGAUAAGAACAAGACAACAUUGGCCUUUUGAUUUGUGAUUUUGUUAAAAGAUAAGUUAGUUUUCUUUUCUUUUCCGUGUGAUUGUAUUGAAUCUGCAUGAGAGUUUUGGCUUUGUUCAAAGUUGGUUGCAUUCUUUGUGUCAAACUUAAUUGGGACAAUCUAUAGUUAGUUGUUUUCCUUAAUCUCUAGGCAUUCAGAGCAAGUACAUUGAAAUUUAAGCUUCAUGUUUACCUCUGAAAGCAUAUAUCAGCCUUUUCCAUUUAUGAUUUUGUUAGGAUUCUCAGGUUGUUAAUUACCCGUGCAGAUACACACUGUAGCAGUUGGUGCUGCCAUAGGUCAGGCAUGUCUAUUGCUUGCAGCUGGUACUAAGGGCAAAAGGUUUAUGAUGCCACAUGCCAAAGGUGUCAAGUUUUCUCGUUCUUAGUUGCAAUUUUGACAGCGUGGAUUUUCUUUCAUUUUCAAUUUUUUCUUUUUGAUGAUUCAUGUUGUUUGGGUGAUGUUCUAUUUCAGCCAUGAUUCAACAGCCCCGUGCACCAUCAUCUGGAUUAAUGCAGGCCAGCGAUGUUUAUAUCCGAGCAAAGGAGGUUAGUGUGAUGUCUUCUUCAGUUAUCUUCCAUUUAAUCUACAAAACAGAUGUGUCUUCAUGGUAGUAACUAGUAGAGCUUUAGGUUAUGAUGGUUGUUGAUGAAAUCUUUGAUCAAUGCUUUUGUUUUUACUUACUGUUUAGAUUCUGAUCGGCCUUCUAUUUAACGGAACUAUGGAAUCUUCUUUGUGGGAUUUUUUGUUUUCAUUCUGAAAAAAGGUAUCAUUGUGGGACCCCUCCUUGCCAUCACAUUCUGUAAGGUUAAAUGACUAUGACGUCAUAAAAAAAUGAAGAAUUGUUGCCAGUUUCACCAUCAAAUAAACAUUUUUGUUUACCUAAAAGAUCUUAUGAAAAAUAUGAGGUUUUGCUUUUUUGACACUAGUAACAUUUGUAUUUCAGUCAGUACUUAGGUAGUACUGAAAAACCAUAUUUACAAAAAAGAAGAAAAGAUUAGUCUUUCCAAUGCUAAACUAGGAACUAGAUGGACCCUAAAACAUCUAUGCUUGACUUAGUCUCAUUGGAGUAGACAUUUGUACACCAAAAACAGAACAACAAAAUACAUUUAAGCUCGACUUCCUGCAGGUUGUUGUCCCUAUUUUCAAAACAUCUAUCAUUUCUCUCUCUCCAUAUAGUCCACCAUAUACAAGCAGGGAUCAUCCUCCAUCUUUCUCUGUGUGUAGCCCCAACUCCAGCCUCCUCCCAACUGAAAAGAGUCUCAUCAAUCUUACUAGGCAUACUCCAGGAAAUGCCUCUGAGAUUAAGGAAAAUCUGCCACAGUUGGUCAGUGAAAUUGCAGUGUAGAAAGAGGUGUUUUACUGUCUCUGUAUCCUUACCACAUAAGGAGCAUCUGUUGCAUAGAGAUAUACCUCUCUUGGCCACAGUGUCCAAUGUCAGAACUGCUUCAUUGGCUAGCAGCCAGGUGAAGCAUGCCACUUAUUAUGGCACUUUGACUCUCCAGAUUUGCUUCCAGGCCAUUUGAGGUUUUGUUUGACUGGGUUAGCUCAAUCCUUGACCAAUUGGUCUACCUGCUGAUUCCAUUGGAUAAGGUUACCUUAUGUUUAAAAAAUUGUUUCGGCUUUGUUUCUUUUCCUCAAGUUUUAAUUAAAAAUUCUCAUGAACAUUAUAGAAAUGAGGGUCUUUUAGUAAAUAUAUCUUAGUUGACACCUUUAAGUUUUGAGGAGGCGAGGUCUGUUUAGUUUCCUAGGCCAGAUUGGAGGUGUGACUGUGAGUAAUUGGACCAAAGAUUUAACGUCAUUGUGCCAAUUUAAUUUUUUCAAGUUGAUAAAAGUUCUUACAUCAAGAACUUCAAAUUCCUUUGUAUUGAUCAGUAGCUAUACAUUUCUAGUCAAUGGGUACUGAAAGAGAGUUCAUGAUAUCAAUAGAUAUUGAAACUUUCGUGGUCUUAACAUGUUGCCCUAUUGUUUGUUGAGUAAGGCUUUGACUGUUAUAAAGUGUUCCGUUAUCUUAGCAUUUAUAUAUGGUGUUUUUUCUUGCAUGCUGAUUCCGAGUUAAAGGGAGGCAGGGGAGUUCAAUUUAAUCCCCUUCGCCGAAAAAUUGUACCGCAAAAAAAAGGGCAGAAACAAUUUUUUUUGGUUAUAUAUGAAUUGUUGAGUCCCUUUAAUUAGAAGGGAAGGUUGAAAUAUAGUGGCAGAGAGAGUUACUUUUAAUCAUCGGUCAAAUCCUAAGUGUGGCUCUCUAGUUUUUUUCUAAUUCCUUUAAUGAAUUUCUGGCUCCACCACUUCUUGCAUGUGUAUAUCUUUUGUUGAUGUGUGUGCACACACACUUACGAAUACAUGUAAAGUUUGUGACUUGCGUGUUCUAAACAUAAAGAACAUACAAUUGAUUGUUAAGUGUGUAACCUUAAAAUUGUUACAAAGUAAACUACAUGCUAGUUAGUUAAGGGUAUUUUAGUCAAUUAUGGCUUAUUCAGAACUCCAUAUCAUGUUCAGUGUACCCAAAGGAUGGUGAGUACUUUCUCAAAAUAAAUCCAUCUAAAACUGAACUACCUCUGGAUGAGGUCAUUGCAAGCUGUCUUACUAAGGCAUCAGCUCUUCCUUUGUGAACCUGAAUAUAUUCGAUUGGGAUCGAUCAGCUGAUUAUUCUCUUUUGCAGGUAAUCGUUAACAGAGACACACUUGUCAAGCUUUUGGCUAAACAUACUGAAAAUGUAAGUAGUGAACAUUUCUUGCGUGUUGUCCAUUUGUAAAUCAAACAGAAGGUAUAAUGACAUUUGCUGUUGUAUCUUACCAGUCGGAAGAGACUGUUUCCAAUGUUAUGAGAAGACCAUAUUACAUGGAUUCUAUCAAAGCUAGAGAAUUUGGCGUUAUUGAUAAGGUAAACAACUUUCAUUAUUAUGCCAACUGUGUCAUGUCUUAAAUGUCUUCUGAAGUUGCUGGAGGUGCUAAAGGUUUAUCAGGUGGCUUUUCUGACUAACACCAAUUCUUGGGUUUCAGAUUCUUUGGCGUGGCCAGGAGCAGGAGCAGAUUAUGGCAAGUGUUGAUGCACCAGAGGUGUGGGACAAUAAGGCAGGCAUCAAAGUUGCUGAUGCUAUUUAGGUCCUUUCAAUAUAUAAUCUGAUGGUAUUCUCUUCUUCCCCUAUUUGUCUUUUCAGUAGGUAAAUGUGGGUUAGUAUAGCACACAAAACAAAACUAAAAUUAGGUUUAUAUAUAAACUAAGAUCUGCGGGCAGUGCUUUCUCACGAUGUUUGGGCCCUUAUGUUAUUGCUAUCUACAAUCCAGAUGUCCAGUCUUGGAUGUGCACUCAGUGUUAACUGUUCAGAGUCCUACCUUGGUUGAGGGUAUGAUUUAUAGUCUCUUUGUGGUUUUAGGCAAUUUUCACCUCUUGAUUUAGAUUUUGGAUUGAGUUAAUCCAUGAUCGAUUUUGCUUCACGUAGCAUCAGAGCCUCUAUGAUCUCAGUAAAAACUUAAGCAAUUCGGUGAGCAGGUGCCUGGCCGAAAUUUCGUCUUUUCUUUCUUCUUUUGGACUUUUUGGAAUUUAGCACUGCCUCUUUUUGGCAGUGGACCUUACUCUCUUAGCUACUGGCACCGUUUAUCUCUUCAAUGGAUGUUUUACUACUUAUCUUUUCCCACAUGGUAUAAGAGCCUCUACAACCUAAGUAGACUCUUAAGAAAUUUUGCCUGCCAACAGAGCCUGGCCUUAUGCAGCAUACCAGGCUGUGAUUUUCUUUUCUUUUCUUCUUUUUGGUGUUCGGCACUGUUUCUUCUUGGUUACCUUCCUCCCUCUGCUAUUAAGUAUUAGCACCUGCUCAUCUUUCCAACGACUGUAUAGCCAUUGUCUCUCUGUACAGAGACGGGCGUUGUUCAUCUGCAUGACAACCAAUGCUACUAAUAGCUACUGCAGCUGGCACCCUCCUCUUAACUUUGUAUUUUCUUGUCACUGUUUCACCAAUUCAAAUUAUGUUAGCGUAGAAAUUUCACAAACCAUACCUCUUUCUAGUGACUGAUUUUUUUUCUGAUUUCCAUGUUAUUACAAGAAUCACUUCCUAUUUGUGCAAAUUGCAAAUGACUGAAGACUCCAUUAGAGGAAGAAUUCUAUCUUGUCUUUCCCUUUUGAUGAUUGUGCAUUAUCCUAAUGAAUUUUGGUGGCAAUCUGUUAGGUUUUCAAACAAACAAACUCAAGUUGUUUUCUCUACUUUGAGUUUGAAAGUGUGUUGAAUUUCAUGACAAAUAUUAUGUGUGUUUAGAUAUAAUGAAUUUAAAUAAACAACAUAUGAUAAAUAUUCGGCGAAAUGGUCUGGUGAACCCUUGUACUUGUAUCAAUUUGUAUUCUGAACUUUUUUACUUACCCCUUUGUCAUCUAGACCCUUAAACACAAUUAAAAUAAAACUUUUAAGCCCCUCCAACCAUGUGUGUAGCUCACUCUCCUUUAUAUAAUUGACAUGUCAUAUCCACAUCAGAUAUAUUAAUGCCAUAUCAUAAUUAUUUCAUUUUUUUAUUUUUUUUAAUACCACUAAGUAGAUCUAAGUGGAUAUAUUUUAUUAAAAUAAAAGGUUCAACAUACAAAAAAUAAAGAAACCAAAACCAAAAAAAUAAAUAAAUAAAUUACAGUGAAUAGAUUGAAGUGAUCCUCCAAUUUGCUUCAAUUAGGAAAGUUCUUGACAGCAAUCUUCAGCUCAAAACAACGCUGGAGAUGUCUAUCUUCAAAGGAUUUCUUAACUGAGCUCUCCAUUGUGGAAUCACUUCUUCGCAUCACAAAGCUCUCACCGAUGCCGUGUAUCCAUAACCAUGGAGAAGAUCUAAGACGAGUCAGCUUUUCCAUCCAAGUAAAGUUGCAAUCUUCAAUUUUCCCUAUUUCUGUAUGGGGUAGGUUAGAUCUUUACGAAUCCCACGAGUUCUGUUGAUAAACCCCCAAAUUGUUGAGAUAAACCCUCAAAUUGUUGAUAAAUCAUUAUUCAUCUUGUAUGAACAGUUGGGGAUUUCUUUGAUUGUUGUGGGUCUGCCUUAUGUCUUCUGUUAUUCUUGUGCUUGAUGACUUGUGCUCGUAUUUCUGUGAUAUGUUUGGCAUUUUUUAAAGUGAAAUUUCAUACAUUCAAUUCUCCCUAUUUUCACUGUUUCACGACCAUCGCCCGGAGAAAGCCAUCGUCGCCGUCGUCGUCAUUUUUGCCGGCGAAAUCACAUAUACUUUCUUCCUCACCCAUCUUCAUCUCCGCCGCACACCAUCACUAUUUUUCUUUUCCUCCUCCAACCUCCACAAAAACAACAACCUAAGCCACUGCGAUUCAGUGGUGGCGUGCACCACCAGCGUCGCCUCUCUCUCUCACGCCACUGCGAUUCAGUGGUCUCCGGCGAGCGUUGGUCCGCUUUCUCGUGAAUAAGUCGCCAAGAUCUGCUAAAGGUGUUAGUAAAUUGUGGAGAAAAAAAAAGUUUGGUCAGGCUUGAAAAUGGCCAAAAAGAAGGGGUUAGUGGGGAAGAAGAAAUGACUUUUUAAUUAAUUGUUUUUUUUUUUAAAUAUCUUUUUUAUAAUUUUAAUUUUUUUUUUAACCUAAAAAAGCUAUUCACUCGCCUUAAGGUGCGUGAAGUCACACACUUUCGCCAACUUAGCCAUCUUAAAGACACAUAAGCUUGGUCAAUGGUCAGAGGGUUUUGUUAAAUUGUGUUUUAUUGAGUUUAAGGGUCCAGAUGACAAAAGGCUAAGUAGAAGGGUUCAGAAUACAAACUGAUACAAGUAUAAAGGUCCACCAGACCAUUUCGCCUAAAUAUUCUAUGUUUAAGUAUCAACUAAUUACAUGCCAUAUUAGAAAUAAAGAUUAUGACAUUCUAUGUUGUUCGUUGCCCCAAAUUCCUAUAUAUGGAGCUUCAGUUGCACAUUGUUAAUAGAACAAUUCAAAUACACAUUUUUUUUUUCUGUUGCUUUCUUUACAAUCCGAUAUUGACAUUCGUAAAGGUGAUUUGUUUCCUUCUGCCUAAGCCUUGUUGAGUAAAGUCAUCCGGUGCCUGUGCUUGUGGAAUGGUCGAGGUGUGCACAACUAGACAGCACACCAUUUAAAAAUGGUUAACAAGAAUGUUAUUUUCCAUUCUGUUUUACUUUUCUCAUGAGGGUUCAUUGAAUCCUUUAGUUUUUCGCUUUUCUAGUGUUAAAUGAGUCAAGUUUAUACGGUUUCUUGGUUUGUCAGGUAUCAUACAACACUGUGUUCAGUAGUGAAUAUAUUUUGGAGAAGCAGCUAUCUUGUCAAGUUGUUUUAGACUUCAUGAUCUAUGCUAAGCUCUUUUAGCUAUUCAUUGACAGGGAAUAUUGAUGGAAGCAUUUCAACCGUCAAGGGGACUGAAACUCCGGUUCAUUUCACAAGUAAAGAGUGUUACCAAAUGAGAGAAAAUUCUGGUUUGAGCAAGUCUUGAAAUGUACACACACUCGCUGUAGCUCUCCAGGAUUAUACAAGUAUCAUGAUGAGAUGCUUACUACAUAGUAACCAAGAAUAGGAUUUUUGCUUUGGAUUAAAAGCAUUGUACACAAAUUGUUGCUGGUUUCUGAAUUUGUGAGUGAGUCACACAAUUAUCAGCUCAUGGGCAAAUCUUUUUUUCUCUCUAGAUUAUGAAUUUAUCCACGUUUCUAUUUCCUAUCUUUCCUUGAAUUGUUGGAAAAAGUCUCUUUGUGGCGAUAACUUGAGUCAUCAACCAGUCGGACUUAACAAAUGCACUGCUAUUAAAUUCAAGGUAUGCUCUAAAUUUUGGAGAAUUACACUUUGUUUGGAUGGUUGUUAGGUAUUGUUUCAUAACGUAUUGUAUGAUAUUGUAUUUUUAUGACUAAAGUAGGGUACGAGGUAGAACUACUGUGAAAAUGAUGGGUAAAGGAUAAAAUAAGAUUAUUAAAUAAUAAUAAAAAUAAAAUGAAUAAGAUUAAUAAAUUAGAAGAAAAUAUUAAGGUAAUGAAUAUACAUUGAAUUUAAGAACAAUCAAAAUGAACAUUAUAUUUAAAUUAAUACAUUACAACAGUUUAAAACCAUUCAAACAAGGUGUUACAUUACAACAAAUAAUUCAACACUGCUCCUAAAUUAGAUAUUUGCUUAUUUAAGUCUCGAUUAUUAUAAUAUAAAUUGAUAUUUGCUGUGAAUAUUUUUUCAAAAACCAAUAGCUAUGCGUUGGAAGUUUUAAUGAAGUCUUGAGCUUUAUCAGUACCUUGGUGAAAAGAUGAAGUAAAAAUGAAUCUAGUUUCUGUUUGUUUAAGUAACACUGACCCUUCUUUUAGUCUUAGAGCUUAAGCAGUUAAUAUCUUAAAAUCCUCCCAACACGUUUUAUUAGUUUAAUUCUUAAAUUCAGAGGUGUUAUUGUUUUUCUUAAAUUUUUUCAAACCCAAGAGAACAUUUUUGUUUACAUGGAGUCCUUGAGGUUUAUUCGAGGGAAGAAGUAUUGAAAAUAUCUUUAUAUUUGAUGUAUAUAAUUAGUUUUAUCUCAGAAUUAUUGACAGUAUUAAAAACACAUGUUGCUUGACUAACUAAACUUAGGUACACAAUCAAUCUAUGACAUGACAUAACAAGUGGUCUCAAACUCUUGUAGGAGUAUGAGCCUCUUAAUAAAAAAUUGAGCGAAGUGUUGAAAACACCCCUAAUUUGGUGAGAAUUUAAGAGUGUAUUUCACUUAUGUUGCAAAACUUGGGAGUAUUACACUUCAGUUAAUCAAGUAAAAAUGUGUUUUUAAGGUGAUCAAUAAUUAAAAAUUGACGAGAGGGAGUUGCUCGGAUGGUAAGCACCCCUCACUUCCAACCCAAAGGUUGCGAGUUUGAGUCACCAAUGGAGCAAAAGGGUCACUUCCAAUCCAAAGGUUGCGAGUUCGAGUUACCAAGGGAGCAAGAGGGGUGGGAGCUCCUAGGGGAGGGUUAAAAAAAUAAAAAAUAAAAUUAAACUAAUAAUUUUCACCGAAUUUAGGCAUGUUUUGUCUCUUUAAUUUUAAUCAAGUGUCACCUCACGACCAAAAAACAUACUCUCUUUGUUCGUUUUAACUUGUCACUUUUGACAUAUAAAAAAAAACAAUUAUCUUUUUUGUUUUACCCUUAGCAUUAAAUAUUUAUUCCCCAAAUCAUUUUCUAAGACCUAAUACUCCCUCUAUCCCUAUUUAUUUGUCCAUUUUUGAAUUGACACACCUAUUAAGAAAAUAAUAAUUGACAUAGUGAACUUACCAUUUUACCUCUAUUAAUUAAUAGAAAGACAAAUUUAGGGAUAAUAAACACAUAAAUCAUAUUAGCGUUCUAUAGCUACAUUUUUGCUAUUUGGCUAGAGCAUCUGAUUUGUAUAAAUCGUAGGCAGGCAUCUCGUUUGUAUAAAAGCGCAACGAUUGCAUGUAUCGGUUGGAUAAUUGUAUAUAUGUAACUACUAUGUAUAUGUAUCAAUGAUUGUGUAUAUAGUAUGCAUAAAAAUUGAAUUUGUAUACAAUUGAAUCGAACUAAAAUAUUUGUAUAUCAAAUAUUUCUCUCUCGCUUUAUACAACACAAAUUAUACAUUGUAAUUUGUAUAAUUUGUGUUUGUAAUUGAAUCGAAUUAAAAUAUUUGUAUAUCAAAUAUUUCUCUCUCGCUUUAUACAACACAAAUUAUACAUUGUAAUUUGUAUAAUUUGUGUUUGUAUAAAGCGAGAAAGAGAAAAAGACAAAAGAGAAAUGGGCAGGGGAAGAUCUCUAUUUGUAUAAUUAUAAGUGUAUAAGAUGAAAAUAUAUGUAUUUGUAUAUACAAUUCUCUAUUGCUUUAUACAUACACAAACAAAAUUUAUACAUUUGUGUUUGUAUCAAGUGAGAGAGGCGAGCGAGAUUCUCUGAAUGAUAAAGUGUUUGCUAUGAAUUUGAAUGAAAUGAAACUGUAGCUAUAUAAUUUAUUUUGAAUUAAGUUUGCUAUAAUGCAUAAUUUCCCCUUGAUUAGAAUUACAAAUCAAUUUACUCAUUAAAGAUGUUCUACCUUUCUCACAAAAAAUAACUUUCUAAAUAAACUGAGAAUAUAAUAGAUAAAAAAUAUUUUUUUGAUUUGUAAAAAAUAACAAGUAAAAUGUUAAAAUUGGACAAGAAGAAAAGGAAUAGAGAAAGUACUAAACAUUACUCCCUCCGUUUCACAAAGAAUGACCUGGUUUGACUUGGCACGGAGUUUAAGUAAAUAAAGAAGACUUUUGAAUCUUGUAGUCCUAAAUUAAAGUUAUGUUAAAUGUACAAAAUUGCCCUUAAUCUUGUGGUUUUGAACAUGCCACGUGGAAAGCAAAAAGUAAAAUGUUACCAAAAAAGGAAAAAAGGUGAUUUUUUUUAAACUGACUAAAAAGGAAAGGAGGUCAUUGUUUGUGAAAUGGAGAGAGUAUUUUAUAAGGAUAAUUUAGUAAAAUAUCUAUAUCAAUAUUAAGUUAAACAAUGACAAAUAAAAAUAAAUUAAGAGCAAUUAUCAAAGCUCAUCUCUAUAUAUUGUGUACUCGGUACUCCAACAUAUUUCUUUACAGGAGCUCGCAUUUAAAGCCAAUGGAAUUAGUGGGAUGACCCCAAUUUUCAGAAGGGAGAAGAAAAAUGAGCCGGCCAUUGUUCUCUUUCAAAUUCGUCUUCUUCUUCUCCCUUUCUCUUGCCGCUUCAUACACUGUCACUUCAACCCCAACAUUCUACUCCUUCCGUAAGCUCAAACUACGUUCCUCCUUCGCCUCCCCAUCCGUACCGAAGGCCUCAGCCGCCGAUUUGCUCGCUCUGUUGGGCCCACCUCAACAAGCCUUAGCUGUCAACUCUCAAGAGGCGCGUCAGCUACGUUCUUGCUUCAAAUUCCUAGUUCCUUUUUCUCCGAGUUCUCAGACUCCGAAUAGACGCUCCUUGAGUUCGAAAUUGAGUGAUGAUCGAAGGAGUAUAAGCGAAGAGAAUGAGCUUAUUUGGUGGCCGCCGGCGCCGGUAAUGGAGCUUGCUCGGCUCGCUGUUGACUCUGGUGGUGAUACUGCGUCUAUUCAAAGGACUCUUGAUCCAACAGUCAUCCCUGUGAGUUUUCAUAUCUAUCUAUUUUAACAGUAUUUUCUGUAAUGGAUUUGAAUGUCAUUGUUUACCGUGUAUUUUAACCAUGGUUAAGUGUUAACCGUCUGUACGAAUGUUUUUACCCUGUAAUUACAUAUAAAUCAUAUAAGACAUUUGUUCAUACAUUUCAUUGCAAAAGCAAAGCCAAUUAUUUCAGCUCAUUGUAUACAGUACAUGAUGUUGUGAUCAAAAUUUCCUUGAGGAUAAUCUAUUAUUGGCAUCUGAUCUGAUGAAGAUAUUGGGAAACCUGUAAAAUUGCUCUGUGAAGCUAAUAGUUCCAAAAAAAAUUUUCAAUAGCAGUAACAACAUAAAAAGAGAACAAGGAAAAGUAAUCUGAUAUAUUAAACUAAGCAUGUUGUUAUCUCGUUCUUGUUUCAAAUCCAAUGUGUAACAUUUCAUUUCACAAAGCUGAACUGUCUUGAAAAGUGUUAGUAUAGUAAAUAAACAGGUUGUAAAAGUGCCAAGUGUUAUGGCAAAACUUAAUAAAUACUAAACAGAUAACUGAGAAGUGAGACUUCCAGAAAACUUGAUUCAGAGGAAGACAAUGGAUAACUGCAAAAAUUCAAAAAGUGGAUAUAGGGAUGGCAAUUCGGCAGGGUAAGGACUUAGAAUUUAGCAGGGCAGGGUGGCAUUAUUUGCCUCUGGCAACACUAAUUCAGGGCUACAUACCUAUUAUAAUUCUAUUAAGAAUUAACAACAAAUAGUUUUUGCUUUUAUCCUCUUCGUCGUGAAAGCAUUUGUGUCAAAGUUUCUAUACAGAUAAAUGAUAAAUGCACAAAGAUAUGUACAUUUUUGCCUUUUUGUAAUGCCUCGGGUGGCUGCACGAUAAAUAGUGCUGAUCAUUAAUCACAUACUAACAUGGCUGGAAAUUUUAUUGGUACACCCUUUGUACAAUAUUGUUAAAUGCAAUAUUCGAAGUACCUUACCUAUAACUUGUGUAAAGGAACGAAUUUCAGCCGGAAAAAAGGGAUAGUUUUAGCUCGCGAUGUCCAUCUAAAAACUUUAUUGAUGACCCUUAUUAAUAGGGUCUCUUAAGUCACUAGCAAUUUUGAAGUGCUUCCUCUUUCAAUUGUCUUUCUCAGAGAUUUUUUACAGUAAGUGCAUCCUCUUCAAUGUGCAGGUUCCUGACAUUGAAGGAUCAAAGGAAGACCGAUGUGAACUUACCAGAACUCCUUAUGGGAGACUGUUUAUUAAUGAGGUCGGCAUUAAAAUGGAACUUCUUAAUCCUCUUGAAAUGAGAAUUUCUGUUGCCGGUUAAUGUUGAGUUCAAAUGUUGUUUUGUAGGAGAUAAAUUCAUACCUCGAAUCUUUGUUUGAAAUGAUUGUUGCUCGGGGACCCGGUGUUGGGCUGAAUGUAUCAUUGUCGCGCUUUGAUUUCUUUCAUGGUCAUGUCUUUCUUGCCAGAGACUCUGGAAGACUUGGGAUCUUGUAAGUUAACAUGAACCCUUCACCGUCUUGAGCACACAUGACAAAAAUGGUGCUUCUGUUACUCGAGUGUUCCACAGAAAGUCGUGCCCUAAGAACUCUUCGUUGUAAAUGACCGAGCAAAUACAAUCAGAUUUGCGUCUAAUUACUUGGCUAAUCGGAUAUUUGGAAGGAUAUUUUUUCUUUCAAGUGUUUCUUUUACUUUGGCUAAUAAUUAAGUGAACUAGGAUAAGAGAAAACUAGAGAAGAAGACCGUUCACCUAUUGGAAGAAUAUGAUGGAUGCUCAUGUAACUGAUUCAGUUGCAUUUCUAUAGCCUUAACUCAAUCCAUCUAAAUAGCAGCAGGAAGAUGGUAAAACACAGAUUUAGUUGAAUUGUAACAUUUCUGCAACAAGCAAAGAUAAAAGGCAAUCUGAUCGGGUUUCUGUGAUUUUUGUCUGUUAUUGUAAACUCAACCAUAGUUGUUGUGUUUUCUUGAAUAUCUUUAUCUUGUGUUAUAUAUCAUAUUCCGUUGUCGGGAACCUUAAGGACAAAAAGCAUGUAACGUCUAAUUCAACUUGAAUUGUCUACUUGUUCAAGACUUGAAGCUGUAGUAUGCUUAUUCUGCUAUGCACAAUAGUUCAACUAUAAAUCUUCAAUUUCUUUUGCUUAAUCUUCCAGUUCUAGACACAGCUAUCAUCUAGCAAUAAUGCUUUUCAGUAACAUAAGGUUUAACAAGGUGGAUAAAUUCCACAAUUAAAGUGAAUCCUGUUGACAGAUCCACAAGAGAGUGUGCGUUAAUAAACUCGAAUGAGUUUCUUCUUUGUUGAAGUAAAGUAUUCUAUGCAGUUGAUCACUGGCUGCAUGUUCUCAAAGGAAUUAGAGCUUUUGCUGCUAUCUGCAGUCUCUGUUUUCCGCAAAAGACCGAGUCAGGGGUUUCUUGGUUUAUGAUUUGGUUUUCUUUAUGGGGUUUAGUGUUAUAGUAGCAAUCAUUGUGAGUGCACUGAAGCUACCUGGAGACGUGCACUAGCUUUCGGAUAUAGGGCAAAGAGCCAUGGGUGGAAACCAUUCAUGGAUCAUCACUACUUUCUCUCAAUGAGAACCAGAUUGGUAAGAUGGGGAUCUGGUAGGCGUUUAGUUGUAGAAGUAGAAUUCUCGUUCCUCCAGUUUGCUUAAGGAGUUAGACUUAGUAAUUUAUGGGAUUGAGGGACUUCACUUAUUUUCAGCAGCCCAGUUUUGCUCUAUCGGAAGUCCAUAACUCCAUAAACACUAGAUUAUGUCGUUGAGGAAGGUUAACAUUCUAUCCACUGUGUUUUGACAUCUUCUAGUCUAUACCAAAAAUCCAAAAAAGAGAUACAACCAUGAUUCAGAGUAUGAGUGUUUUCACUUAUGCUCUAAAAAACAUCUUUGGUUUCUUUUCUUCCACAUCUCUCAACAAAUGCAGGCAAGGAUCGUAUUCAAGAUUCUUUUAAUCCUGUAAUCCGAAUUCCGAAAUACAAGACCUCUUGUUUGUUAGCUGGUCAGAGGCAGCUCUUAAAAGAUACUCUGUAUUUAAUUAAAUAUGAUAAGGAGAUCCUCUUGUUUGCUAGCUUGUUAAGGAGUAGAGAAGGUAAGAAAUUCCAUUUAUCCUGUAAUCCAAAAUACAAGAUUACCCAUUGUCCCAUUUCAAUUUGAACCUGCCUCCAACCAGUCAUACCCUCUCUACUCUGUCGACCGUAAGAUGGAUGUGGAUGUUUCUUCAAUUUUGUUUUGUCCUCACAAACUAUUUUUUUUCUUUUCUAUAUUUGUUUCUAUUUCUGCUAAUAUUUUUCAUUUUCUUUUUGUGUGGUGGUUCAUCAUAAAUUGAUUAGUUUUGCACUGGUUGUGAGCCUGCUGCAACCCUACUCCUUUUAUCCGAGAUGGGGAUGGUAAUAGAAGGAACUUGUCUUGAAAGACCUACAAUCUCUUAGAAUCCAUGUAGACAUAGCAAAAUAGUAGGCCACAAUAAAGUAAAAAGAUCUAUAUAGGCGAUACCAAUUAGUUCGGAAUAUGUUUAGCCAUGUUAAUACAUUUACUUUAGGUUUUACUAGGAGUCUGUUAAUCUUGUCAGAGAUUUGUAUAUCAGUAGGAAAUAUAGGAACUUGUGCUUUCAAUUUUUUUUUUGUAUUUUAUUGGUUCAAGAUAAGCUUAAAUGGGUGAUAUGAUCAAUGAGGAUUCAUAUAGUGAUCCCAACUUGCUUAUGGUUUAGAUGCAAGUUGUUUGUUGUCGUCUUGUGUGUGUGUGUGUGGGAUGCUCGUGAGGUUAAAAGGUGCAAACACUUUUCAGGUUCCAUGCUAAGGAGUAUCCAGCAUAUGAUAAGGAAGUUUUUCCUUGCAACAUGGGCUACUGCCAAAUAGGUAGGUCUGUCUGCAUCUUAACCACUUCCUGUGAGAUCUACUGAAUGUUCAGAAUUGGAUUUUCUCAAACUUUAUUUACCAUCAGCAGUCUUCCCAUCAGCGUAUUAGAAGGACAAUAAUGAUGUUCUUUAUACUCAUGUUAGGUUUUAUUGUUCUCAGGAACUAAUGUUUCUUAUGACGAUUCAAUGAAUUUGCAUAACAUAUUGUGGCUAGCUCCAUUAGCUAGCAACUCCUCAAAUGAAUGGUUAGCACCAGGUAUGUGUCUUUGAGGUUCUCAAAUUACACUUAUAGUGGAAUGUUUCCCAGUGCAGUAUACUUUACUGCCCGGACCAUAUCAAAGAUGCGGAAGCAUCUCUACGACUUGCAUUUUCUUAUUUCUUUUGUCUUUUUUUUUUUCUUUGGGUGGGUGGGGAUAAAGAGGACAUUGUGUUUGUAGAAUCUAAUGGAGUUCAUCAACUAUGCCUCAAUCCCAAGCUAAUUAGAUCAGCUUACUUACAAAUUACAGUUAAUAGCUGCAGAAAUGCAACUAUAGUUUGGAGUUUAAUGGGUUACCAAGAUUCUUGAGAAAUUUAUGGGGCUGUUAGUGAACACUGUUCUGGCAUGUAUCACUGGGAUAAGAGCUUUCACACAUCACCCAGAUUUCCUCUUGAUAUUCCCCUUUGAGAUACAAACUCACAGUGAGGAACUUCCUUCUGCUUUAUUUUUUAAUAAUAAUACCUUCGAGUUCUCUUUGGAUAAAGUAGCGUAAAUCACAUGAUGCUGUUGAAUUUCUAAAGAAAGGUGAUCCUGUUGCUACAACUAAGGUAGGGGUAAGGUUUGCGUACAUCCCACCUCCCCGGAUCCCACUUGUAGGAUUACACUGGGUAAGUUGUUAUCUUUAUUAGUAGAGUUCCACCGUCCACGUCUCUUUUUAGCUUUCCCUUAUGUUUGUCCAUGUUUCUCAAGUAUUUUUUUUGAUGAAGUAAAUGUUCCAUUGAAGGCAUCAAGAAGAUGCAAAUUAGUUACAAAAGUAGAAGCAAAAACAGUUGGUCUGCUGGCUCAAGUACAAUUAUGCUAAAACUAAGGAGCCAACAAAAUUUGAAAAACUAUCCAGGGAAUCUACAUAGGACAAAUUAACCCAACUGUACAGACACAUAAGGCAUUCCGCUUUGAGAGAAUGUAAAGGAGUUGAUAGACCUUCAAAACAUCUUCUGUUCCUUUCCCUCCAAAUACUCCAAAAAAUUGCUGCAGGUAUCAUCUUCCAAGUCUGUUUGAUGGUGCUGUCAACUUUCCAGCAACACCAACUCUCAUAAGCUUCUUUGAUACUAUGUGGCAUGACCCAACUGAGUCCAAAAAAAGAGUAAAACAUGUUCCACAAUUUUGCUGUAACAGUACAAUGCAGAAAAAGGUGCCUAUUGCUCUCUGCUGCUUUCUGACAUAAGUAGCAUCCAUUCACAAUGAUGCGUUUCCUUUUAUAGAGGUUGUCUUGAGUUAGGCAUGCUUCAUAUAGUGCAGUCCAGCAAAAACAGACGAUCUUGGGCGGUAGCUUGAUUUUCCAAAUUAAUUUCCAUGGCCAGUGGUCAGUGACUGCAUUAAAUGCUCUUGACUGCUUGUAGGCUGCACUCACUGUGUAAUUCCCGUCUCCUGUAGUACCCCAUUUGAACUGAUCUGUUGCCUGAGUGUUGAGAGAGAAACUCUGUAGAGUCUGUAGUAGUUUGAUCAGGUCAUUAAACUCCCAAUCCUGCAUAUUCCUUCUAAACAUAAUGCUCCAGGUUGCUCCAUCUCUAUUUUGAGAAAUUGUUGAGUCUGGAUCCCUGGCUAAGUUGAAAAGACUUGGAUAAUCAUCCAUCAGAACUGUGUUGCGAAGCCAUUUGUCUUUCCAAAAUCUGAUAUGAAGUCCAUUCCCCACUGUGAAGUGCUUAUGCUGAGAAAAUUUCUCCCAUAGCUUGCAUAUGUGUUUCCAGACUCCGACCCCAUAAGGUGCUUUUGAAAGACUGGUGCACCAAUGACUCUGUAUCCCAUGCUUUGCACUGACCACAUCCUUCCAUAAAACAUGUUCCUCCUGUGUGUAUCUCCAUAACCAUUUCAUAAGUAGACACUUAUUAUGCAGCGCCAAAUCCUUGAUCCCUAACCCCCCCUGUAGUUUAGGAAGAAGGACUUUUGGCCAUUCCACCAGAUGAUACUUGUGCUUCUCACUAUUCCCUUCCCAUAGAAAAUCUCUCCUGAUCUUGUCAAGUUGUUCCAACACUUUGCCAGGAAUAGGAAAAAGUUGCAUAUAGUAUGUGGGAAUACUAUCAAGUACACUGUUGAUCAGUGUAAGUCUGCCCCCUGUCGAUAGGUACUGCAUCUUCCAGGAGGCAAGUUUUUUCUCAAACUUCUCAAUAACUCGUCCCCAUAUAGCUGUUGACUUAUACUUUGCACCCAAUGGCAACCCCAAAUAGGUUGCCGGGAAUUCACCCACACUACAUCCCAAGAUACCUGCUAAUUCCUCCAAGUUUAGCACCUCAUUAACAGGAUAGAUCACACUUUUUAGCAUAUUGAUGUGCAAACCUGAGAGGGCUUCAAAAAUCAAAAGGGUUAGAUUCAAAUAGAGAACUUGACUCCUGUUUGCCUCACAAAAUAUCAGAGUGUCAUCUGCAUAAAGCAGAUGAGAGAUGUUUGUAGUGAUCAUGCUCCCACAUCAAAACCAUUCAGCCAUUGCAAUUGCUUGGCUUUAUCUAACAUUCUGCUUAAACCCUCCAUUGCAAGUAUGAAGAGAAAAGGAGAAAGUGGAUCUCCCUGCCUCAAACCUCUUUGUGGGGAGAAAAACCCAACUGGACUUCUGUUGAUGAGAAUUGAGUAUUUUACUGUAGAAAUGUUGAAAUUGAUCCAAUUGAUCCAUCUUUCACCGAACCCCAUUUGCCUAAGGAUGGAAAGAAGAUAUGACCAAUUCAACUGAUCAAAGGCCUUCUCUAUAUCCAACUUGCAUAAGAUGCCCGCCCCUCCGUUUUUUAUUUUCCAAUCAAGAACCUCAUUUGCAAUCAGUGAGGCAUCAGUGAUUUGCCUAUCUUUAAGAAAAGCAUUCUGGUGUUUAGAGACUAGCUUUCCCAUAACUGUCUUUAACCUUUCUGCCAGGACUUUAGCUAUGAUCUUGUAGACACUCCCAAUUAAACUAAUUGGCCUAUAAUCUUUGAGUUCUAUUGCUCCUUUUUUCUUGGGAAUGAGAGCUAUGAAGGAGGCAUUGCAUGAUCUAACCAUCCAACAAUGUUGAUGGUAAUGGUUCAUAGCUGCCAGUAUGUCAACUUUGAUGAAGUCCCAUGAUUUCUGAUAAAAUGCCAUUGUGUACCCAUCUGGCCCUGGUGCCUUGUCGGGAGCGCAAGACUGAAUAGCUGCCAAUACUUCCUCUUCUUGAAAAGUUGCUUCCAGAUUAAACUUUUCCUCAACUGAGAUGGAUGGAAUGCCUUCAAAGUUGGCUGAAGGCCUCCACUGUUCAGGUUCAGUGUACAAACUUUCGUAAAAAUCAACAGUUUCUUGCUUUAUCCUAUGCUUAUCUUCAAUGAUCUCAGUUCCCACUUUGAGUUUGUCUAUGCAAUUGCCCCUUCUAUGAGAAUUUGCAAUUUUUUGGAAGAACUUUGUGUUCUUGUCUCCCUCUUUGAGCCAUAAGCAUCUGGAUUUCUGUCUCCAUGAGAUUUCCUCAGCUUUAACUAGUUGUUGAAGCUCAAUUCUCAGGUUCAUCAUCUGAAUAAGCUCUGGAACUGUUAAUUGUCUUUCGCAGUAUCUUGACAAUAUUCUCCAACUCUGAAGCCACAUAGAGCAGAGGAACAAGCUGGCUGUUAAAUACUUGUCUUCAUAAGUAACUAUAAACUGAACAUGGUUUGUCUUCAAGAAAAUAGAGUCACUUUAUUAAUACAGUAAGGUUGCUAAAAGUUGCUAAAAGUUGUGAGACAUAUUAUGGAGCACAAAAAUAAGUUGUCAUGAAUGUGUUAUUGUCGUCGGUUUCUUAAAGAAAUAUGUAUCCUUGAGUUUAGCUCCUAAACUAACUUUUUUCUGUGGAUCCCUUCCACAAAUUCACGUUAUUAAUUUCCUGUUGUUUUGAUGACAUGUUGGUAGAAUUUCUUUCUAACUCUCUGGACUAUCAGUGAAGUGUCUUCCUGUUUAAAGACAUGGUUGACACUACAUUCAAUUUGUCUUGCAAUGUUAGUAAAAGUUUAGUCAUAACGAGUUUGUGUAACUUUUUGAUUUGUGGACAAUCAAUGAGAUCUUCAAUGACCUAGAUAAAAUCCCCUGCCUAUUGGGCGGUAUGACAAUCACCUUUUUUUCUGGUGAGUGACAGUUUAGUACUUUUGAGGGGAGGGGCCAGGGCAGUGUUAUGAAAGGCGCCUCGCCUUGGCGAUGGGUCAUCGCCUUUUUCCGGCGAAGCGAGGCGACUUCAGAAAGGCGUCGCACGGAAAGGCGUAAGAUGACGUGGUGUGGCGAUGCAAUAGGCGUCGCCUUUUUAUUUUUUAUUUUUUUAAGGUCUGACUUCAUAAAUAAAAGCCAAAAUUAGGGUUUUUUGGGUAUUUUUGCAAACUUGACCUUCGCAAGACGCUCCUCCUCUUCUCCUCCUAUUUCGCGAUUGUUGCUCCUUCGUGGAGACUUCUUCUUCGCGAAUUGCAAUCGCGACUGCUGCUCUUUCUUAAGUACGAAAUCUUAUCUCUAGUUCUUCUCUUCUUCUCUUCUAGUUCUUCUUCUUCUCUACUCUCUAGUCUCUACUCUGUUUUUUUUUUGGUGGAACUACUCUAUUAUAUUUUUUUGGGUGGAACUACUCUGUUUUUCAGUAUUUAGAGUUUGAGACUAUGCUUGGUUCUGUACUUCUGUGGUAUCACUGGGCUGGAAUCUGCCUAUAUUUUUUUUAAAAAGUAACUUAAUCCUUUUAUAAUUAUUUCCUCCCUACUUAAUUUAGUUUUAUACUAAUUAAUAUAGUAUUUAUUUGUCCAUAAAUAGUGAAUUCAAUGACGUCAGAUGCUAACAAAAAGAGGGACAUUGCUAAUGAAUGUUAUUGUUAUUGAGAUUUUGGAUAUUUAUAUAUGCAAUUAAAUAUUUUACUUUUUUUUGUAUUAAUUGGUGCCUCAAUUCAAAAAGGCGAGCGGCGAGGCAGGCCCUUGUCGCCUUUUGUCGCCUCUUGCCGUCCAAAACACUGGGCCAGGGAGAUUGUGGGGUCGGCAGAGGCAAAUUUUUGGUUCAGUUGAAAUGAUGGGAAAUGAUGAAGAUGGAUAGUAUCAUUUUGAAAAAGGUUUUCAUUUUUUUGGGCUUCAAGUAAAACACUGCUCAAUUAACUUAAAGUACCUAGUACAAGCUACAAAAUGACAAAUCCAAUCUAUUAGGAUAACCGUGAACAUCCUGAUGAUCUGUAGGAAUGAAUUAAUCGGGAAGAGAUAGAGAGAGGAACCAAUUUUCUCUCGCAGAUAAAAAGAGGUUACAAGUUUCCUGUUUGAUUACCUUGUGACUUCUGAUGUAGAGAAUUUCAUGUUGACAGCAGCAGGGACGGCUCAAUGCCUUUAAAAAUGAGGCAUCCGUCUUAGUCCCAAAAUUUGAGACCCUGUUUUUUAAAAAAGUAAUAAUAGAAUUAUUGCAAGUAUUUUUUAACAAAAAAAUAAACUAUAUAGUGUCUUUCUUAUAUUGUUUCGAAACAUUAAGGAAUGUAUCUUUCUUUUUUGUCCGUUUUUAAAUUUAACUUCGACAUGACGUGUUCAUUAAAAAGAUCAAAUAACUUUGGAUUUCAAAAAUAAAAGCUAGGCUUUGGCAACUAAUUACCGCAACUGGACAGGAGUCUUAGUUGUCCUGGAUGCACGUCCAACUGGAGUCAUAUGCAAGGACCUCAUACCUGAGUAUGUUCAAAUUGCCAGGACCCUGUAUGAAGGUUUGAAUUUUAUUUAAAUUUGAAUCAACAACUCAAAGUUAACCUUAUUAUGAAAACUUUGGAAACGUUUUCUGAUACAAUCAUUUGCUGUUCGCCAGAUGAUUUUGGGGACGUUGCUUUUGAUGUUAACUACCUAAACACAGGAGGUGAACCACCUAAGUUUCAAAUUUUCAUUUGCUGACCUCUUUGGAAAGGUUUGACUGUCAAUUAGCAGUUUCACGAAGUGAGAAUCCAUAUACUCAAUAGAUAUUGCUUAUCAAUGUCAUGUAAUUUCUCUGCCCGAAUCGAAAUGCAUCUUUGAAAUAUUUACUUGCAGCACUACUGUCAUCAGUAUUUGAUUCUAGCGCAUUCAAGUGGAUGGUUGUUUGGAAAAGGCAUUGUUUGAAGGAGAUAUUACUAUUAGAAUCGCGAGUCUUUAGUCAUUUAGUUUGUGAGGGGAAAUCCUUAUGACAUAUAUCCUCUCUUGAUUGUCCUGUGAAGCUUGGACAAUGAAACAAUGAUUGAACUGUGGGGUGUAGAGUAGGAUUUGUGGGUUCAUAGAAACCCAAUAGCUUUUGUUUAUUCCACGUUUAUAUAAUAAGAAAUCCAUUAAACAUUUAAUAUUUAAUUGUAAACUCAGUUAUUACUCUACAUUAAUUUGAGGUUGCUUAUGAACUUGUAUGUAUCUGCUUUUGUAUCUCAAAGAUGUCAUUACUCGGAAGGGUUCAUACUCUACGUUGUCUCUUAGCUAUUGUGGCCUUACGGUAGUAUAAGUAACUCUUAGCUAUUGUGAACUAAUUUAGGCCUUACGGUAAUGUACGUCAAGGAAAAAGAAAAUGAACUUUCUUAAAUUUUAAGCAAUGAGAUCGUUAAACCCAAAAACUCUUGAAGAUUUUAAAAACUGAUAAUUGGACAUUUUUUACGACCAAAGAAAAGGAGUGAUUCAUAAGGUUUUUUUUUUAGGCUGGUGCCAUUAUGAGUUUUUACUGAUUCAUUUUUUUAUAAAUCCUGAAAGUGAAAAGAAGUUUAUUAAAAUUUAAUUGAAAUAUAUAAGUGAAAAUGAAAUAAUUUAUCAAAUUAAAUAGUUUUUAUAACAUAUUCUAUUUUUUUUCUUUGUCAAGUAAACUAGCCGUCAUGAAUGAGUAAAUAAAUUUAAACGAUUGUUCUAGAAUGAGAAUAAUUGGUGCUUGACUAAACAUUGAAAUAAAAGAAAUUUUAUUUUAGGUUCACGAUGUCAUACAAUCAAUGCAGUUGCAUGAUAUAUCUUUUUUAUUUCACAUAUUAGUAAAUUUAAAUUAUUAUUUUUUCCAUAAAUAUCUCUUACUAGUGUAUAAAAGGAAAUUCCUAAUAAAAAGUAGACCGAAAAAAAUAACGGAAAAGGGUCAAAAUUGCCCCUGAACUAUGUGAAAGAGACCACUUAUACCCUUCGUUACAUUUUGGGAUAAAAAAUGCCCAUGCUGUUAUUCUAAGAGACCACAAAUACCCUCAAGAGUUAACACCCCAAAUUUUUAUUGACAUGGCAAGCCACGUGGGACUAAUCCUUCCACCUACGUUGCCAACUAGGAUUCACUACAAAAGAACUAGACCUUUAGCGGCGACAACAGUCGCCACAAAAGCCAAGAAAAUCGUCACUAAAAGUUUUAAACUUUAAAUUUUAAUUUUGUGUUUUUUUCUUCAUUGUUUUUAAAAAACAAAAAAUGAUAUCUAUUAAGUAAGAGUUUGAAGACACUGUAUGUUUUAUUUUUAUGUCAUAUGUAAAUUUAUAAAAUGUACAAUGAUGCAUUAUAUAGUAGGAGAUUUGAAUCGAGAAGUAGUUUUGAUGAUUUUUCGUAAUAAUAUUGAUAUUGCAAGUUAUUUAUUUUAGAAAAUUAGGUUGCAAUCGAAAAUUAAUUAUCAUAUUUUUUGUUGAAAAAAUAGGUUUUACUAGCGAAUGGUUGUUGGAGCAUUAGUCGCCACUAAAAAUCACUCAUAACCUUUAGUGGCAAUAUUUUGAGAAUUUGUGGCGACUUUGUCGCCACUAAAGGUCAAGUUCUUUUGUAGUGAAUCUUAGUUUGGCAACGCUUAGGUGGAGGGAUUAGUCCCAUGUGGCUUGCCACGUCACUAAAAAUUUGGAAUGUUAACUCUUGAAGGUAUUUGUGGUCUCCUGGGAUAACGGCGGGGUGUUUUUGAUCCCAAAAUGUAAUGGAGGGUAUAAGUGGUCUAUUUCGCAUAGUUCGGGGCAAUUUUGACCUUUUUCCGAAAAAAUAAAUAAAGCAGUGCGUCUCCACGUAGAUUUCGGGGCCCACAAAAGAUAUUUAAGAAACUCGUAACUUUAUCCGUUUUGGACACAACUUGCGCACUACUUCCCCUUUAAUAAGUCAUAUAGGAAAAAUAAAAUAAAAAUCGAAACCCUUGUGCUUUUUUUCUCGUCUCACUAUUCUCGCGCUUCGCUUACUCCUGUACACAAAGCUUGGAUCAUCUUCACCACAAUAUAUAGUAAUUAUUUAUGUAUAACAAUUGCAAGAGGUGAAGAGUUAAUUGAGAAUGGUUUCAGGGAGGUGGAUAGAAACUGGAGCGGAUCUAUGGAAAGAUAGGGCACGAUCGCUGCAGCUUCGUCUGAGAGACCGUCUUAGAGUCGCCGUCGAUCAUCAUCGUCGCCGUCCGAAGAUCUAUGAUGGUUACUUAUCAUCUACCGUCGAACGCUGGCUCCAACGGUUCAGCGAUUUCCGUAGAGAUACUCUGCCUUCUUCUUCCACUUUGUACCGUAAAAAAGGUCAGUUUCCUUUUCCUUGCAAUAGCAUCUAGUUUGGUACAUCGAAAAUCUAAAUGCAGGAAACGCUGGUAUUCAUAGGUAGAGUUUGCAACAUGGUUAGACUAAGAAUUCAAGAAAGUGACGGUUGUUAGUUUAUUCAAUAAUGUUUUCUUCAAGAAAGUUUAUUCAAUAAUGUUUUCUUCAAGAAACUAUUCAAGAAAGUGACCGUAGUUAGUUUAUUCAAUAAUGUUUUCUUCAAGAAAGAAAGUGACUGUAGUUAGUUUAUUCAAGAAUUCAAGAAGGUUUUCUUCACAAUAAGUAUGUGAUUUCAUGCUGAAAAUUACUGAAAUUAGUUGCUAAAUUACUCCUAUUACCUACAUUUGUCUGCCUUUGAUGAAUUUAGGGAAUUUUUGAUAUGUUAAAUCCCGCCUUUCAAUUUCCAUUGCCCCCUUCAUGACUUGGAAGGUUAUUUCCACUAAACUAUUACUCACUUGUAUUUGCUAACUUUUAGAUAUUCAAACACACAAAAAGAAAAAAGUAACUUUGGUUAAGAGUAUGAAGUGAUCGCAUUAAUAAAGUUUCUUUGGUAUGACAUCCGGGCUUGUUUGGCCAUGUAAUACUAAUUCAGUACUUGCUAAUACUGAGCUUCAUUUUUUGAACUUCAAGUGAAAUAUUGGUUGAAGGUGUAUUUGUGAAAUGGACUUUUAUUUCAAGUGAAGUUCAUACCCGAACAUAAUUUCAACUUCAAUUCAAAUACUGCCCAAAUGCCUGCUUAAGUGCACCAUCAUUGUGUUGCCUCCCCUCACUUUAAGCAAUAAGGAAUUGUGUCUAAUAACAUUGCUUAUAACUGCAAGUUGUGCUGCAAAAGCUAUAUGAGGAUUCUUCAAGAUGCUUUUCAUGGUUGAUACUUAUAACUCUGUAUGCCUAUGACUGCAGUUAGCAAGGAUAUUGAUCCAGAAGCAGAUUCAGUCCUGACUCGCAUGCUGCAGGCUGUGGCUGUUCCUGUGCUUGGAAAUGUUUGUCAUGUGUUUAUGCAUGGCCUCAAUCGUGUUCAGGUAAGCUAAAUCUGGGUGAGUUGCUAUUUCAGCUGUUGCCUAGUUGAGAAAAAUAACUCGACAACUUUUGCAGAUAUAUGGUGCAGAAAAAUUACAUCAGGUGCUGGAAAAUCGAAUGGAGAAUAAACCACUUAUUACAGUAAGCCAUGUUCCUGAGUUACCUCCAGUUCCUUCUUUUAGGCCUCACCUUAGACCCCUGGAUUUUAUCUUUUGAUAUCUGGUUCUGUUUUGUAAAUCAACUCAGGUGAGCAAUCAUGUUGCUGCUAUGGAUGACCCACUAGUUAUUGCUGCAUUACUUCCUCCCAGUGUUAUUUUGGAUGCACAAAAUUUGAGAUGGACACUUUGUGCAACUGAUCGAUGUUUCCGCAAUCCAGUGACAUCUGCCUUCUUCAAACAUGUCAAAGUUCUUCCUGUGUCCCGUGGGGACGGUAUUUAUCAGAAGGUAUUUUCUUUCUGAGGUGCUGGUGAGAUGAAGUUAUUGAUAUUCUGAUUGUUUCUACAGCACUGUUGAUGGAUGAUGUAUUAGAUAUCUCGCUCAGCCAGUCUAAGAUGUUUUCUUUAAAAUGUUGAAAGAGACUGAUAUAGUUUAUAGCUAAUUCUCAGUCUAUUUCUGCAUGUUUUGCAGGGGAUGGACAUGGCUAUUUCAAAAUUGAACCGUGGUGGAUGGGUGCACAUAUUUCCAGAAGGUAGUCGCUCUCGAGAUGGUGGCAAAACAAUGGGUUCUAUUAAAAGAGGCAUCGGAAGGUACUCAUUCUUUCUAAGUAAUAAAUUGUGAAUUGUAUGAUUAUCCUUAAGUAGGUAACUUGUGAAUUCCAUGAUUGUCAAAAAAGACACCAGUUUGUUGAAUUUGUAAUUUCAUAUUAUUUGGAGAAGAACAAGACCCAGAGACAAGGUAUUGUUGGAGUUCUGUAGAUAUCAGGGGCAGAUUGAUUCAGUUGUAUUUCUGUUGAUUACCUGUUCGUUUUUUGCUCUGCUAUAAAAUGAAAAAGAUCCCCUCCUCUCCGUCCUUCCCCUGUUAGUUAAUUAGAUUCAUGUUGUCUUUAUAAGGGUUGGUGCUAUGUCUGAGACUUUUGGUUGUCUUAAUAGAUUGAUCCUGGAUGCCGACAAUUUGCCAAUAGUCAUCCCUUUUGUGCAUACUGGAAUGCAGGACAUCAUGCCUGUAGGAGCCAAGCUUCCCAGGAUUGGAAAGACGGUAUGUAAUUAUCAUUUUGAGGAUGGUGAAUAAUGCAGCGGCAUGUAUCAUGCACCAAUAUUAUUAGGUAUAGAGAAAGGGAAUCAAAGAGAGAAUCAAUUGCCAUUGCUCUACUUUAGUUACCAUUUUCAACUUCUGGUAUUUAUGAUUUACAUUCUCUUGGUAUACUCUUAAUGAGCUGUAAAAACUGCAGGUGACUGUUCUUGUUGGUGAUCCCAUCGAGUUUGAUGACUUGCUUGCUGCUGGCGAAAAGGAUAAUAUGCCAAGAGGAAAAUUAUAUGAUGCUGUGUCAACAAGAAUUGGUGAUCGAUUACAGAUGCUCAAGGCCCAGGUGGACAGACUAGCUGUCCAGGAAGCACUACAAUCACAACACUACCAUGAUUAUGUUGCUGAACGAGCUGCUGGGAUUGUGCAGCACGUUGACUGGGAAGCUCUAGGCAUGGACAAUUACAUGAGCAUUGGGGAGGAUCAUGCCUCUCCUCCAAGGCAAGAACCUAGUAGUGAGCAGCCAUUAGUUGAGAAGCUGAUGGAAGAAAAUAGUCAGGAUAGGUACUUUCGGUUGGGCUUUUCCAGGGAAAGUGGAAUCGUAUCGAGGAUCAGAGGUUACAUGGGUUCAACUGAAUUAAUGCUAUUUUCUGCUAGAUGUUUAGUUGCUAAUAGUAGGGUAAAAGAAAAUUUUGAGGACAUUCAAGAGAUUGCUCCAUUGAAGGCUUGGAACAACUUUUGGAUGCCCUUGUAUGAGAGUCAGGUUUGUAACCGGGAGAUUUUACUUUAAUUGAAGAGUUUUACUGGUAUAUAUUUAAUACCACUAUAACUCGUUAAAAUAUACUAGAAGAAUAAAUUUAAUAUUACUGUAUCAAGUUAAAAUAUCUUAUCGCAUUAUUAUGCUAUGGUUUAUGGUCCCUUGGCCAGCCCAUCCCAUUUCCAAGAAGGUUUGCAUAAUCUGUUCUGUCAUGGUGGCCCUUGAUUUUUCCUCUUCAAUUGGUCCUUUUGCUCAAGUUUGUGAGUUUCUGCCACUUUGGGGUCCUAUUGGGGGUCAGGUCACCCGUCACCGGAAGGUACAAUAAUGCUUCUUGUCGCGAUUAGGGUAGAUGGUUAUUCGGUAUGAAGUGUUGUUUUGAUUCUCGAGGGGUUUAGUUGUAUUCUUAUAGCGUCUUCCUUUUGAUUUCACCAUCACUUGUUGAUUGUGUUUAGGUUAUCACAUAAUUUUAUGGUAGUUACUGUUUCCUUAUCGGUUGCUUUAUUUCUUCCCCACUGUCUUUCUUUUCUUCAUACCUAUCUUGAUAUGUUGUACUCUGAAGGUCUUUUGGAAACAACCUCUUUACCUCCACGAUAUAGGGGUAUGAUUUGCAUACACUUUACCUUCUUCAAAUCUCAUUUUGUGUAAUAUCAUUGAAUAUGCUAUUAUUGUUGUUGUUGUUGUUGUCUAGAUUUGAUUUUCACAGAAGUGACAAAAUCAAUGCAUUUUGUAGUAAUUCAUUGAAUUCAAUACAUUCAAGUUUUAUCAGAUUGUAAUAGAUGGUUAUUAAUGGAAUGAUUCAUCAAAUUCUUAGGUCAACCCAUUGUCAUUCAAGAGACCAAAAAUACAAUUUAUACUCUAGCAUCAAUUUUUAACAAUAUAGUGGAUCACAAAGUAUAAAUUACAAUGUAUUAGAAAAAAGUUAAUCAAUCAAUCUGAGUAUGUCAAACUAUUAUUGUUAUUAUUUUACGAAAUAUCAAAUGAGGGCACUGAGUUGCAAGAGAACAUAUUUGGCAAGGAAAAAGGACUAAUCGAACGGUUAAGAUUACGUGAAAGAGCAAUAUAACGUCCAUCUGACGGUUCAAUCAAACUCAAGUGAGACCCACAGUCAACCCCUGUACAUAUGUAGCAGCAGGGACAAAAGUGGAAAAUUAAAAACUGGAAACUCCACUGAUUUAACAAAAGAGAGGGGAAAGCGACUCUGGUGGGGUUGAUUGUAUCUUCUUCGAAUUUGAAUUGAAUUGAAUUCAAUGGAGAAGAAUAUCUGUUAAUAAGAUUGCAAAAAAAGAAUAAAAAUGUUAGAAGAGGACGAAGAUUUUCUGGAAUCAGAAACUCAACUUACCGAUGACCAGAAAAUUGAGAUUGCCAAAUGGUUCCUUCUUAAUGCCCCCGCUGGCGAAAUUCAGUACGUCGCCAAAGGUCUUCUUCUUCUCUUUCAUUUAUUUUCUGCGCUAAUUUUUUUGUAUUUUGAAGGUUUUUUCGUGCUUGAAAUUGUGACCGCAUUGGUGUUCGUUUGCGAUCGGCAGUUUAUUGUUUUCAUUUUUGGUUUUGAGCGUCAUUCUGUUUGAUUUGCAGAUGUUAGAGCUAUUUUAAAGGACGAAAAUAUAUAUAAGAAAGCGGCCGAGGAGUCAUUUCCUUCUUACAACAAAUCUCACUUGAUUUGUCUCGAAUUCCCAAACAGAAGUGGCGAUGUAAGUCUCUCUCUUGUUUUCUUUUUCAUUGGGUAAGUUAGAUCUUUGAAAAUGUAAUUUAGGCUAAUCGUGUCAUUCGAAUUGAUAAUUUCAGAUUUGAUAGUUUUCCGUAGUUGAAGAUUAAAAUAUCAAGUAAACUGUAAGCAAUACUUAUUGUACUGAUGUUGUAAUUUUCCUUAGUUGAUAAUUUCAGCUUUGAUAGUUUUCGGUAGUUGAAGAUUAAAAAAUGAAGUAAAUUGUAAGCAAUAUGGUGUUGCAAUUUUCCUUAAUUGAAGGUUCAUGACCUCUUCAUGCAUCCUUUAGAGCUCAAAGACUGAAAGAAAACAAAGGAUAAAAGUUAUGCUUGAGAAACUUCUUUUAAAAAAAACGUUGCAUGAAAAAUAAGUAAGAUUAAUUUAAUAAGGCUUUUAGGAUAGAGAUAUACUUCACGGUACUUGGAUGCUGGCUCUACUAUAUAUGAAAGAGUUGGGUGUUGUUUGUUGAGCACCAUGUUUAUGGACAAGUUCUCUACAUCUGUUUAAAGCUUGUGUAUAGGGAAUUUCAACCACUUCAAUAAAUGAUUACUUCAUCAAUAUAGAAAAGAAAACUUUCCGGAGAACUGUUCUUUAUGAAGUCUAAGAUUUUGAGCCCUCUUCUAAAAAGAAAGUAAAAUGCUUAUCAUUUAUGUAGUAAUGGCCACUUGGAAGCUAUUUUCAUAAUCUAGCUGUGUAAAGUUGCUGCUCACUAAUUUGUAGGUACUGAUUACAUCAUUUAGUGAGGUUGAUAAGGAUGAGUAUCUUGAUCCCCGGACUGCCCAGGUUGCCAGAGUUGACCAUGUCAAGCAAGUACGUUGUUCAGUUCGUAUACAAUGCUAAAUGCUAUUUUUGGAUUUUUUACAGUUUGGUGUUUUGACUUUCUUCUUGUUGAUAAGAUUAAAAAUUUCAUUGGAUGAGGCACCUCCUUCCAUGUGCCACUAACAAACUACCUUGCAAAAACACAAAAGCACCAAAAAUGGUGCUGGAAUUUAUCAUCAAAUCCUCAGUCUCUUAAUGUCCCCAAUAGCUGCAUGAUAUGUAAGUUUAAAAACUCAUAAUCUUGAAGGGAAUCUAAAGUGACGAUGAAAAGCUUAUCUUUUUUUUUGGGGCGUGGAGUGGUGGGAUCCAUAGAAGAGGAAGCAGGUUUGUAAGGAUGAGUAUUUUGUUUAGAAGGCAAUUCAAAAAAGCAAUAAUAUGGACAGACAUAAACAACCUGGUAGAGAUGGUGGGACUAUAUCCAAAAAUGUGCUUAUUCUGAAAGAAAGGAAAAAGAAAAGUAAAAAGAUCAGGACGAAGUAAAAAAAGAAGAAAGAGAAGCAUACAUAUAAUGCUGGGUGUACUCCUUUUUAUGCUGUGCAAUUAAAAAUCUCUACAUAAACUGGUUUUAUGCUCAUGUUGUUUAUCUAUAAUUUAGUAUGUUUAGACAUCUUAUGGCUGAUUGGAACUUGAUUUGUUAAACACAUUCAGGCAUUGGGGACAAAGAACAAAACACCAGAGUGAAUUGUGUUAACUGUUAGGUUGGUUUUCAUGAUAGAAGUGGAUAUCAAGAAUGAAGAUAUUGUAAACUUGAAAAAUGUGCUUUGAUAUAGCAAGCUCUUGAUUAUCCUCAUUACUCAAUAGUUAUGAACUUCACAUAAGAUGCAUUUUCUAUUCGAUAUUAACUUGAGAGGUUUGGAUGGAAUUCAAGGCCCAGUGUAUGUGGGUACUGGAUGUGUCUUCAAUAGAACAGCUUUAUAUGGUUAUGAACCUCCAAUUAAGCCAAAGCAUAAGAAGGCAGGGUUCCUCUCUUCCUGCUUUGGUGGAUCAAGAAAGAAGGGUUCUAAUUCAAGUAAAAAGGCUCAGACAAGAAGAAAUCUAGUAAGAAUGUUGAUCCCACUGUGCCAAUAUUCAAUCUGGAGGAUAUAGAGGAGGGAGUUGAAGGUAUAGUUCAAAUUAGUAAAUCUUUUCACUUCAUGUUAUCUUUGUCCAAGUACUUCACCAAUCCCAGAAUGACCACUCUGAUGCUUUAUACCACACCUUACUCAGCAACUCCUUUUAGUAAGUUAAUUGGCAAAGCUGUUGCAUCAUCAGGGGAAAAAAAAGGAAAAAUUGCAAGUUGCUAACUCCCAUGGAUUUCAAUACCGAUACUUUUCAACAUCAGUAGACAGUCACUUCCUUCAUCAUUUAGACUUAUCUAACUUGUAGUUCAUUGCUUUGGAUUACCUCAAAUAUUCUUCAUGAAAUUACUUCUGAACCGGAAAAUAGAAGAUGACCCCUACCUUUAGUGAGUAGGACUUGUAGAGUACCCGGGACACACCAAGUAAUGGUUGUUCGACAAUUAGAAUUUUGUCCUAUAUUCUUUUGAAUAUUUGGGGUGCAAAUUUAGCGAUGUGUUGGAUGAGACAGAUGUGGAAGUGAGACUUGCCGCACAAGUCAUUCCUAAGAAGGAAAGUUUUAAGUAUCUUGGGGCUGUAAUCCAAGGGAGUGGCGACAUCGACGAUGAUGUCACACAUCGCGUUGGGGCUGCUUGGAUGAAAUGGAGGCUUGCCUCUNNNNNNNNNNNNNNNNNNNNNNNNNNNNNNNNNNNNNNNNNNNNNNNNNNNNNNNNNNNNNNNNNNNNNNNNNNNNNNNNNNNNNNNNNNNNNNNNNNNNNNNNNNNNNNNNNNNNNNNNNNNNNNNNNNNNNNNNNNNNNNNNNNNNNNNNNNNNNNNNNNNNNNNNNNNNNNNNNNNNNNNNNNNNNNNNNNNNNNNNNNNNNNNNNNNNNNNNNNNNNNNNNNNNNNNNNNNNNNNNNNNNNNNNNNNNNNNNNNNNNNNNNNNNNNNNNNNNNNNNNNNNNNNNNNNNNNNNNNNNNNNNNNNNNNNNNNNNNNNNNNNNNNNNNNNNNNNNNNNNNNNNNNNNNNNNNNNNNNNNNNNNNNNNNNNNNNNNNNNNNNNNNNNNNNNNNNNNNNNNNNNNNNNNNNNNNNNNNNNNNNNNNNNNNNNNNNNNNNNNNNNNNNNNNNNNNNNNNNNNNNNNNNNNNNNNNNNNNNNNNNNNNNNNNNNNNNNNNNNNNNNNNNNNNNNNNNNNNNNNNNNNNNNNNNNNNNNNNNNNNNNNNNNNNGGCUGUUAUGUUGCAUAUAUCUCUCCUGUCACUUAGAUUUGAUGUUCUUGAGCUGAGGGUCUCUUGGAAACAGCCUCUCUACCUCCACGAGGUAGUGGCAAGGUCUGCGUACUACUUACCCUCCCCAGACCCCACCUAGUGGGAUUUCACUGGGUUGUUGUUGUUGUUGUUGUUGGUGAUGGAGUGAAUACCAAUUUUGGAAAAGUAAAAUAAAUCUCUUCUACUGGUCCAUGGUUUUAAAUUAAUCCUCAUUAGUCUACGGUGCUGAAUUUCAUAUAACAUGCAUUUCUUUUCUAUUCUUGUUAAUGCGAUGAAGUACAUGUAAAUAGAUUGGAAAAGUGAAAUAAGUCUCUGCUUAAUAUAACAAGUGCAUGGGUUUAUUCAUAAUUCAAGGCCUGUGAAAUUAAAUGUAUUUCCCUUCUCUCUUUUUUUUUCCUAGUUAUUGUUGCCGUGUAAUAAUUUAUGCUCCCUUCUUGUAAGCUCAUGGUAUGUCUGCAUUCUAGGUUUGUAAAGACGUUAGGCCAGCAAGAGAUGAAGAACUUCCAUCUGCUUUCGUGGAAGAGUAUAGGUAAGCAUCUGUAGGGUAUGAGAUAUAUUUCUCAGUUUAAUAUCUUUGAUAUUUCUUCCCUUUUUAGUUACACUCACAUUCUGUUUUCUCCAUUGAGAUGUUGAAGUUUUUUUAUGUUAUGACAUUCACAAUUAUUUUGCCUAAUUUGGCUUAUUUUUUAACCAUGCUCAACAAGACUUGCAAAUUCAACCUCAGUUCUCAGACGGCACUCAGAUACGUAGUUGUGAAUAUAGUUUAAGGUUGAGAUGAUUUAUAUGCUAGAACAGUUGCAUUUCUUGUGGAAAUUUUCUUUCCGGCUUAAUUGAAAGAAAAGCUGCAUGUUUUGGUCUGCGCUUACCGAAAUCAGUCUGAAAAUAAAUAGUUUAGGCUAAUCUCUCCUAUAUAGAUGCUCUUCUUCUUAAUCAGUAUUAUUUCUUCUCUGUCCUUCGAUAUUACAUUCUAUGCCUUAUCUUUCGAAAUAUUCUUAGUAAUCUUCACCUCAAGUGUUAAUAAGCUAUCCUACAUCAUGAUUCAUGUGUGUGCUUAUUCCAUUAAGAAAUCUGAUUCAUAAUACACUGGUUUACCUUUUUGUUCAUCUUUAUCGGUGAGGAACAGAUGUCUCCAAAUUAAUGGGUAAUGACAUCAAUGUCAGAUACUAAAGUGGUAGUAAGAUACCUAAAGUUGGUAUUAUUGGGAGGCAUUAAGAGUAAAAAGGGAUUAUAUUCUGAGUGCGCAGUGAAUUCUUCAAUAGUUCCUAAUGCUUGACAUGCAGAUGAUAAAAAUCAUGUUUUUGUUUUAUGUCAGUAGUUCCCUUCUUUCCAGACCCCACCUAGUGGGAUUUCACUGGGUAUGUUGUUGUUGUUGUGAGUAGUUCCCUUCUUUACAUGGUUAGUUAUUCUUCUCAUUAGGGGCUUUGUUUAUGAGUACUGACUUUGUGAUUACCAUUGCUUGCCAAAUUCUCCUAAUCAUGGUAAUUCUUGUGUAGGUCUGCCAUGGAUGCUGAAAUUAUGAAGUAUGUGAGUGAAACAUAUCCAAAAGGCAUCUGUUCAGUUUACUGUACGAAGGGAAAGGAUGUGGAAGAGCCAGGAUUCGACUUUGAACUUGUUGUGGUGAUUUCAGCUGCUAGACAUAGUCCUCAGAAUUUCUGGUGUGUUAGAUUAUUAAAACUCUAACUCUGACUAAUUUGUGCAACACUCCCUUCAUAAUUCCUAAAUAGGUAUACUUAUCGUGGUGCAGAACUUGUAAACAGAUACUGAAGUAAUAGGUUGCUAUAUAUAAACAAAGAAUGAGGGAUUCUAUUGCCUAUUUUUCCUGUCCGCUUCACACUUGUCACUUGCGUCAAGUGAUAGCUUGUUAUAGCACGUCUGACUUGUCAAUUGGGUCAACUGAUACUUCUUAUAGCUUUGUCUAAAGAACCUGUACUAUAUGCAUCUUCUGUAGCAAUGGAAGCUGGCGAUCAAUAUGGAAUAUUGAAUUUAAGGAUGAAAUUCAAUCCGUAGAAGUGAGAGGCGAGAUGCAGGUAUGAGUUCAUCAACAGUGAGCAUAUAGUGUUUGCCUUUUGGUUUCCUGAUCUUUAUUUUUUCCCCUUCACAGUUUUCUGGUUUCUUCACUGACUUCUACUCAUGAAUGUAGACUCUACUGAAUUAUUCUUUUUGGAUUGAGCCGACCUUCUAGUUUAGGGGUGAGGGUAGUUGUUGCUUUGGUGUUGUAUCAAAAGCAUAAUUAUUCAAACUUGUAUAUCCUUUACCUGCUCUGUAUUCAGGUUGGCGCCCAUUACUUUGAAGAGGGAAAUGUUCAGCUAGAUGCAAAACAUGAAUGUAAGGAUACAACGCUAAUUCAGGUAAGUGACUAUAGUUUGUUCAUAAACUUCUCUUUGCUUUGUUGUCGUGUCCUUUUCCUGGUCUUAACUCGUAAGGGUAUAGCAGCUGUUCUCUGCUGUAGGUUGUGCCGUUUCUUUUGUUUGUUUCUUAACCAGUGCUAAGUGUUAACGCUUCAAAACAGCACAUAGAGACUGUAGAUUGAUGCCUUGUGAAGGUACUCGGAGAAUGCAAUGAGAGUUUAAUUCUUUUGGCAAUAAGUCAUGAUAAAUUUUCUCAAAAGAAAUGUAAGGGCGGUCUUGAGUUUAGCUAUUUUUCACCUCCCUUCUGCAGUGUGAGACUGUGGUUGUUGGUACUUGUUUUCAAUAAGCAAAGUCUGUUAGUUCUCAACUUCAUGGCAUGUAUUGUUUCCAGAUUACCAUGUCUGGAGCAAAAUUAUAAGCAUUACUAUCCAACUUUAGCAGUAGAACAGACUUCCGUUAUGAUAGCUUUUUUCAUAAUUUUCUUUCAUUUUCCGCGAUUUGUCCGUAAUUUAUACUUUCAAUGAGAGUAAGAAGGCACUAGGAUGGUUAAACAAGCUGCUUCUGCACAUCCUACUUUGUGUACCUGUGUAGAGAUUGAAGGUCAUAUUAAUAUCAACACUUUGUACCUUAAGCAAUCUGAUUGGAAAUCAUAUUGUAGAAGAAAUAGAAGUAGCAUGUUAAGAAAAUAAAUGGUGAGACACAACAGUUCCUGGAAAUCCUAUAUUUUGCUGGUCUAUUGUUGGAAAAGGUUAAAGCUAGAAUUAAAAAAAAAAAUCAUCUUGAGUGAUCUGAUUGGUAAUCGAACAGGGAAGAAAAGAAGUAGCAUGGUCAGACAGCCAGAAAGAAUAAAAAGUGAGACAACUGUUUCUGGAAAUCCUAUUUGCUUAACUAGUGUAAAAUUUGAAGGUCAAGCUAAAGGAGAAGUUUUUUUCUUGAACAAUCUUAUUAACUCGAAGAAAUAAAAGUUUGAUCAAGUCUCUCUUGUGAUUUUGUUUAUACUUUAAAUGGUUUAAGUUUGAAUUUACUGAUUCUGUGGUGUCUUUCUUAGUCCCCAGAUGAUUCUGCAAUUUCCUUGGUCAACAUUAUUCGCCACCAUGAGACUGAGUAUCUGGCUUCUCUUCAGGUUUUUAGUUGUUCCUGCAUCACAUUCAACCCCUCUUUCUAUCAUGUCACCUAACACUUCCCCCUUGCCUGCCACCACUUUUCUAUUAAGUCUCUGUUGCCGGUAUUUUUGUUCCAAGUUACUGAUCGAUUUUUUACUGGCAGACAUCUUACUUGAAAUUGCCUGAUACCACUUUCAAGGUACUCCUUCAACUUCAAAGCCUUUAAGUCAAAAUAUUUUAAAUGAAAGAUGCAUGAGUGCUUGUCAUUACAAUCUCACAGCAGUCAUGUUUUCUCACUAUUGUCUUGGCUGGGAGAAACACCUCUCACCACCUUGCACCAUGAAAAGGAUGCAAAUAAAUAAAUUCUUAUCUUUUGCAGGACUUGCGGAGGAAGCUUCCCGUUACUCGUACAUUGUUCCCAUGGCACAACACUGCACAAUUUAGCCUUACAAGAGACAUCGAAAAAGAACUUGGAAUUGGAAAAUAGAAACAUUGCAUGUCUUUUAUACAAGUUGAACAUGUAUACACCAUUCUUGAUAUGACAAGCGAGUUUACUUGAGAUUGCCGUCUCCGGCUAUUUGUUGUCUUCUCCCUAUUGUAUUCCUUUGAGAGAGGGAUUUUCAUUUUCUGUUAUUUUACCAUGUUUGUUAAUGUGUAAACUGCCCCUUAGUUGUUAAUUUGCCAGUUGGCCUGAGAGAGUUGUGUAUGCUGAGAAGAGUUGUAAAGUACUGAAUUGGAAGUCUUUCAUCAUGGUUUUUAACCUUGGAAUGACUGAACAAUGCUGGUAAAGAAUGAUACUUUUUAGUUGUUAUAAUGUACUUACUUUUUUCAAACGUUUGAAAGGUCGAGGUGAAUCCAACCAUCAAAAUGUUCAAACUUUGUUGUAAUUUCAUUUAAUCUGUCCCUUUAAGAUUUUGUUGGAUCAUAAAAUCUGUGAACCUUUGUUUGGAUGGUUGUUAUAUCAUUUCAUAAUUUAUCCUAUUGUAUUGUCAUCACGGUUGGAUAGAUUGUAUCAUUUUGUUUGUCAUGUAUGACCAAUUUGAAGGACAAUUAUGGUGUAUUGAAUUGUAUUUUCAUCAAGUUUGGAUAGAUUGUAUCAUUUUGUGUAUCACAUAUGACCAAUUUGAAGGGCAAACCUUUAAGAAAGGUAGGGGAAAAUGAAUAACUAAAAAUGUAUUAUAAAUGAUGAAGUAUAAUUAAUAGAUAAUAGAUAAUAAACAAAGAUAAAAUGAGAAAAAUAAAUAAGGUACUGUAAAUGAUAAAAUAUGAUAAACAAAGAUAAAAUAAGAAGAACAAUAAGGCAACAAUUGCUUAAGUUUGUACAAAGUAUACGUGAAAAUUUCGGAGGUCACACAAAAAAGUUCCGUUACCGGGAAUCGAACCCGGGUCUCCUGGGUGAAAGCCAGAUAUCCUAACCGCUGGACGAUAACGGAUGUUGUGUACCUUGUUCUAUUUAAAACAAUUUAACACAAAAGUACGAACUAUCGUCCAAUUUUGUUUUUGCCCGUAUUGUCCCAUGCGACCAUCUCCAACCCACCUCUAUUUUACUAUUCAUUCUCAAUAUUUAGAGAGUAAAAAUAGAGAAUGGGCACUCCAACCCCUCAUUAUUUUAGUUUCUAUUCUUUAUUUUUAGAGAGGUGAAUAGUAGUUUUAUUAUUUUGUAAUUAACAUUACUUACAUAUAAUGUCAUUACUUAAAUAUCUUAUAUUUGAUUUUUUUUAAAUGUAAUAUAAUAUUUUAAAAAUAUAUUAUUUAACAUAUACUAUAUUCAUUCCGAAUUAACAAUAUUUCAAUAUUUUUUAAUUUUCCUCACUAAUAUAAUUUGAUUUUAUUAUUAAUUUUCACUAUAAAGAAUGUACAAUUAAAAUGAUAAGAUGAAAAUUCUAAUUUGAAAUUACAAUACAUAACAUAAUAGUUUAUAUACAAGAUAAAAGUCUAAUACAUAAGAUGAUAAUUUAAAUGCAAGAUAACAAUACAAUACAUAAGAUAAUAAUUUAAAUACAAAAUAACAUACAAUAAAUAACAUAAUAACUUAUUUAUCACAACAAUAUUUAGUAAUCCAGUAGAUCAUUUUCAGAUUUAGCAAUAUUCUGAAAAUAAUAAUAAUGUAUGAUCCUAAAAAUUGUUGUAAUUGCGGUUGUGCAUAUUGAUUUCUUUUUUCAAUUAUUCAUAGUUGUUCUUGUUGCAUGUAAUCACGAACAUUUGGAUCACUAAUAGCCUCUAAAUUUUUCCUUAAAAUUUUAUUUUCUUCUAUAAAUUCCUUGAGUUUGAUAUAUCCAUCUAGCCUUUCACCGUCUCGUUGUUUGGAUGUAGCUGACUCUAAUUGCACCAACAAAAAUGACGGUAGAUGAAAAUCUCUUAUUUGAACAAUUUUUAGUUAGACAUAAAAAAUUAAGGAUAAAAAUGUUAAUUUUGAACUCCGUAAUGCAUUAUCAGAGCAUUUUUGGGAGUAACAUAAUAAUCUUGAAAGUUGAGUAUUUAUGUAACGUUUAUGUAAUUGUAUUUCACUAAUGAUUUCACUUUUAUUUGAAUUGUGCAUUAAUUUGUAUAUUAUACAAUAUUUGAUUGCAAUUUAUGUUAUUUAGAAAUUUAAAAUAAAAUAUAAUUUCAUUUUAAAAAUAAAAUAUUAUAUCACAUGAAAAUUAUAUAAAAUGAUUAUUUGGGAAAAGAAAAAAACAAUAAUUUAUGUUAUGAAAUAAAAAAAUAAGAAUGAAAUAAAAUUAAUAAUAUAAUAUUAAAGAAAGAGAAUAAAAUAAAAAAUCGAAUUGAAGUUGAUCUGCUAAAUAAAAGAAAAUUGAGUUGAAGUUAAUUUUCUGAAAAAUAAAAAAUUAUAUAUUUGGAAACUAAAAUAGAAAAUAUGGUUGGAGUCUUUGGAGAUGUAUAAAAUACGGUGAAAGUGAAAGUAGUAGGCGAUUCAAUUUACAACCUAUGAAACGUGGAGCCCACCCAAUUCAUACUUCAUAGCCCUAACGGCGGUAGAACAGAAAAUUUUCAAUUUAAAAUAAAGUUGGACUCCACUUGGUACAGUUCAAGCUUAAUCUAGGAACCUUAAGUUUUCGUGUUUUUUUUUUUUCAACAGAGGGAGGAGAAAGACGAAGAUCAAGCUAGGUAAGGCUUUGAAUAUCUUAUAUGUAUUAGCAAAGAUUAUUGCGUAUAAACUCAUGCGGUGUCUAGGUUUGAAUGUAAAAAAGAGAGAAUUUACAGAUUUAAGUUUUCUUUUUUUGUGUAUGUGCAAUUCUUCGGGAUCAGUUUUUUGUUUUAUUGGUAAUUCCUGUGUUUUGACUUUUGCAGGCAAUCUUGAAUUCGGAAUUUCCCCCAUCUAAAGAUGGUAGGUUUAGCGACAAUCGCCUUCUGAGCUGUAGGGUUAGGGUUAGGGUUUUGAGUUCUUAUGAAGCUCUAAUUUUUAUUUUUCUUCUGUCUCAGCUUCCCCCUCUCUUUGCUCAAGACUGCACAGGGGCAUCCCAUGGUAAGCUUUUGAAUUCAUGUGGAAGAGGGUUAGUGUCUCCUUUUUUUUUUUUCUCUCUUCCUAAUUUAUUGUUUAGUCUGAUCUUAACUCUUUUCGGUGUGGUAAUGCAGUUAGAUCAAUUAGGUUUUUCCAAGUGCUGCAUGUUUUGAAUGAACCCGAACUUAUUAAUAACAUACAAAAACAACAAACCAUGUGAAUAAAGUAGUUAUAGGAAUACAGGAGUGUAAUUCUCCUGUUGUAGCUGUUUGGGAAAUUGGAGGGAGAAUAACAAUAAUGAUUUCAUGUUUUGUCCUGUUGUUAGUUGAGGCUUUUGGCUAACAUUCUUAAAGGCAACAGAUUUUUUGUUGGUAUAGUUUAUCAGUUUCUGCAUAUUUAUAUUGUAUCUCCAAAAUAUGCCACAAGUCCUUGGAGCCCAUGAGAUUCGAGGGAUUUUGAGAAUUCGUAUGGGAUUAUUGUAUUUGUUCAAUUAUCUCAAUCUGGUAAACUUUUGUUUCUAAUACAGUUGGUGGAGACUAAAAAAUGGAGAGACUUAUAAUGGUCAUUUGGUGAAUUGUGAUACUUGGAUGAAUAUCCAUCUUCGUGAAGUUAUCUGUACGUCAAAGGUAAUUCAUUGUUUUUUAAUAUGUUAUUGCUAGGUUUUCAAAUGUAUUGGUGCAUGACCACCUGAUUUUUGAAAAAUUAAUGCAGGAUGGAGAUAGGUUUUGGAGAAUGCCUGAAUGUUAUAUUCGUGGCAAUACCAUUAAGUAUCUUAGAGUUCCUGACGAGGUUAGUUUAUUUUCUUAAUUACUAUGAUUAAUAAUGCUUUCGUGUAGUAUUAUUUGUUUUUCACUUGCAACAUAGUGUGUAUGGCAUGUUUGGACCUUGUACUAAGGGAACAGAAGAUGGGUGCCUAUUUUGUAGUAGUUAUUUGUAUUAUUAAAUGGUUGCUUUGCAGGGGUGACUGUAAAAUUUGUAUACUAGUUGUGGAAUGGAGGUUUCUACUUAAGUACCUAGGACUAAACUACUUGCUUUAGUGUUAUCACUCAACAUGACAACGAGUUUGAAAAAUCUCUAGUUUUCAUAGAGAGUACACGUUAAUAUACACAAUAAUAUUUUUUUACACACCUCCUAACGUACAGGCCUGAAUUCUUUUUUCCUUGCCAAGCACACAGAAGUUAUUUUCUGAUAUUGGGUGGGUUGAGAAUUGCACCAUGUUGAGAUGUGAAAUGUGUGAUCAUCUGAUGUAAAAGCUUAAGUUGUUAGGGAGGACACAUUUUAAUUUACUUAAUAACAUCUUGUACAGAAAACGGAGGACAGUCCAUUUACACCUUUAUGGUGGUGCAUUGUAGGUUUGGUUUGAUGUAGGUAGGUGGAAUCAAGAUACUAGCUAAUCUUGGUGUGACCAAACUUAUGGAUAUACUUGUCUGGUUACUCACUCAAUGGGGCUUUUAGGGGUGGGUUUCAGUUGUGCUGUUGUAGGCUGAAGUUAUGUUACUAGCUAAUCUGUGGUGUCUGGGCCUAUGGGGCUAAACUUACCUUGACAUACUUGGAAUCAGAGCAGGAAAGAAUAGAGAACCGGGUAGAAAAGUUAAAAGAGGUAUUAGCAGUAACACAUGUCUGAGCAAUAAUGCAGGGAACUGAAGGUUGAUCUUACAACACAACUCUGAUGUUCCUAAAGGCUAAAUAUAAAUGCAUCCAAUAUUCUUGUUGCCUCUUUUCUACUGAUAAAAUAGAUUUCUUGAAAUGAAAUCAUUGCUGUGGUUGGAACAUUAGUGUUUUAGACUUUGAACAUAGUGUUCUUCUCAAAUAAGAUGUGUAGCCUUCCGAGGGCCUGUGCACCCCCGGGAUUAGUCGGGGCUCAAAGAGACUCGGACACCCGGUGCAAAUCAAAAAUAAAAUAAAAAUAAGAUGUGUAGCCAAGUGGUUUUCAUAUAAGAUUCAGAAGUUAGAUAAUUCUUAGUUCUUAAGUAAUUAUUUUCCAAUAGUACUGGCUUAUUUUAUAUCAGAUAUCCUAUACUAAAAAAAAUAUAAAAUGUUAGACAUCACAAGGUUGAACCACUAUUGAUGUUGUUCUUUCUUGCAUGCCUGUAGUCCACUGUAUGUUCAUUUCCCCGUGACUGUGAGUAGAACAUUCCUGUAAGAGGAGAAUUGAUUACGCUGAUGUGAUGCAAUUUAGCCAAAUCAGACAUUGUUGUGCUCCCUAUGGACCAUGAAUCUGACACCUUAGGUAGGAGUGCGACUCUAUGAAGAUGGCAAUGAGAGAUUGUUUUAGCAAUGACGAGCUUCCAUGUGAAAUCUAACGUUUGCAGUUUUGACUAAAUAAAGCGGCUGCGCCUGCUUUCUGCUUUUAUUUUCUUCUUAGAGCGUAUUAUACACUCUUCCACCCUGUUUUUUUUAUAGCUCAUGACAGGCACAUAUGGGAAGUUAUCCUAGCUUCUCUCGUCCAUUCGCCUUCCACACAUUCAUAGUUGAUUCAGGAAUGACCUUUGAGUUUUGGAAGUUAUCCUUUUGUUGAUCUUUUAGGAGUGCCAGGAACCAUCGUUUCCCAGUGUUUGCUUCCUCUGUUAGAUGCUUUUCUUUUUGUUUGUGUGGGCUUUCAGUACUAGCUAGGAAGGCAGAUGAUGUUUGAAUAUAGCUGUUAUCCUAAUUUUCUUUACUUCUCCUUUGUUUGGACACAUGGGGGAUGGGGAGUUCGAAAAGGAGAGGUAGGUGAGAAGAGUUUUCAUGGGCAGCUCACAUUUUCUUUUAAAAAGUCAUAAUGUUAACAGAUAGAAGUAGCUGUAAAAUGAAAACCCCCUAUAUCCUUUCAGAUGUAAAUGCCAGAUUUACACUUUCACUUCUAUAAAAAUGGAAAAGAAUGCAGAUUGCCUGUUCUUUUAUACAUGGAAUAACUUUAGUAUUGCAACAUUAUUUUACUGAGAGGCUAAGCUUUGUAGAUAUUCUUGAUUAUAUAUAUUUUAAAAUAUGGACAUACCUACUUGUGUUUAUUGGUUUGAAUAGUGCAUUUUUAUCACCGGGGUUGAAGACUGAGUUUGCAGUAGUUUAUAAAUUCUGGAAGCUUAGUCUGCCCUUGGCUCUUCAUUUGACCAAGUUAAUAAUCCCUCUUACUGCUGUUUGGUUAACUAUGCUAUACUUUUCCAGGUGAUUGAUAAAGUUCAAGAAGAAACAAAAAGCCGUGGAGGUACUACUUUGGACUAUUAACUAUCAGGAAUUGUUAUAACUAACUUCUAAUUAGCUAUUGGAUCAGUGUGGGGUUUGUUGAUUUUACAAAUACUGCCCUACUAGCCUAGAAUCAGUGUCUGAGCAUUCAGCUUAAUUAGUAUAUUUUUAAAUCCUUUUGCAGAUAGAAAACCACCUGGUGUCGGUGGACGAGGAAGGGGAAGAGGAGGUAGGGAUGAAGGUGCUGCUGGAAGACAGGCGAAAGGCAUUGGGCGUGGAAUGGAAGAUGCAGGUGCCAAAGGCCGGGGCAAAGGAGGACCUGGUGCCAAGUCUGGUGGAAAAGGUAUGAAGUGUUCAAUAUGCAAGUUAUAAUGUAAUUUUAUUCUCGUUCUGCUAAAGCUUAUGUAUCCCCGAGUCUCAAUCCGCAGCGACCAUGUUCAACACUUGAAAUUAGUCUCCAUACAGCAAGUCUCUAUGUUGUAACAGUCCUCAAGUAUAUUUGUGAACGCAAUAUUUAUAUAGCCAUUUGCUAAUCAGAAGAUUCUGGAUGUGGUAUUUAUUGUACAGGUGGUGGCCGUGGACGUGGCUAAUCGUCGUCAUUUAGAGACAAAGAAGCCAGAUGACAAUCUAGAUAUUAUUGUAUCUUAAUUUUGUUUGUACUUUCAAAUUAUAAAGCAACUUACCGGAGAAAAGGCCUGCUUCCAGUUAUUAUUAUUUUAAGAUGAAUGUAUGUAGGCUUGAAAUGCUCACUCUCUUUCCUUUCUGAUGACAUGUAAGAGUUCGUGUCUUGAAAAUAUUUGGCUCCUCAGUAUGUGUGUUAUUUUAAAUGAAAACUUAGCUAGCUUUCUUUACCCAAUCCAAGAAGCUGGAUUUCUAGUGAAAGACGCCUUUCACUUUAUACUUAGAAUGUUAAAUAACACGAGUAAAUAUUUCUGUACUUAAGAUUAGGGAGGCAAACAUUUGGUUUUAUCUAUUAAUUUCCAAAAGAUGUGACUAUUGCUUCUUUAUUUGUAGGUUUCAAGUAAUGCCAUAUUUGGAUGAGUUCUCAUUGAAAAUAUGAUUACACUUAGAUACAUGUAUAUUUGCUAUGAGAGAGGCAAGUGAGAUAGGUGAGGGAGGUCAACGAGAUUCGUAUGUAUUUCAAAUACAAGCGAAUCACACUAGAUACAUGUAUUUGUAGAGUGAGAGAAUUGUAAUGUACUUAAAUACAUGUGAAUUCACUUGGAUACAAUGUAUACGAAAGGAGUACCUUUUUCUGUAUUUUCUUUUAUAAUUCCUGUUUGUUUGAGGUUUGACGAAAGAAAACUUAUCCAAUAAUUGAAGCCACUUCAAGGCAGUCACGUAUUCUUUAGUAUAAAAACAAACUAAUUAUGGGAUGCAGACAAAAUGUUGCUAUAUAAAAAUUAAAUAUCAUUUUGUGUUAAGACAUAUUUCUCUCCUCAUCAUCAGCUGUUAGUGUAGUUGAUGGCUGGCAUCAAAAUAGAUAUGGAGCAUGUGAUAGUUGAAUCUCAAGAAAUGGAGAAAGAAGAAGAAGAAGAAGAAGUAAAGCCUCAAAAGACAAAGCGAGUUGCUUCCCUUGAUAUUUUCAGAGGCCUCACUGUUGCAGUAAGUUUGACCAUCUUUCUCUUCUUAUGGACCUUUCCUUCUCCUACUUGGCGAAGAUUGGAACAAUGGGAUUAUAAUUCUACUUGGACAAUGAAAAUCUCAUAGAUUCAUCAGAUCAGGUAAUGACCUGGAUUCUUUAAACAGAAGAAAUUGUGUCACUAUCCAAUACUUACUAAAAUUUAGAAACUACUUCAAAUGGAUAAAUGAAGAAAGUUGUUUUACCCCUUUUAGUGAAAGGGGAAUAUCAUUUGGUGUUUGAUUGUUAGAAAAUGACUUAUUUUCUGGAAAAUGUUUUCCUCUGUACCACCCUUAGUAGUUACCUUGCUGUGGAAUGUUGGAAGGUGUCUUGAGAUCUGGAGAAAAGAAAAUAGUUGACACACAGAAGUUUAGGGACAAAUUUAGAAUUUUGUUUUGUUUUUCUGAAUACUUGUAGUUUUGGGAAACAAUACCUUGAUAAUUUUAUGAAUGUUAUGCUUGUAGAUCUUAAGGGUAUGAAACUUCUGAAGUCUGUCUUCGUUUCUAACCUUCUUGGCAAGCUGUUGACCAGUAAGGAGUUGAAGAUUUCACUAGAAAAAGUAUUCAUGCUAUAACAUGAUUGAUUUUGUAUCCUUUUUAUUAUUUUAAAGAAAGGAGAUUGAUUUCUGUAUCAUAUUUGUCUUGUCCCCUAAUGAAACCUGGCAAAUUAUAGAGUUUAUCUUCCUGAAUGAAUUUAAAUCAUUAUCUUUAUUUAAUUACCUCUUGUAUAAUCUUAAGAAUUCAUCUCCUUAGUCUCGUGAUUUGCUUGGACUAGAUUAUAGUAACCUGCUUAGUACAUUGGGAUGUUCACUAAUUCAGACAUCGAAUUUGUUGCCUUUAAAACUUCCUGACAGAAAAAGGUUUAUCGAAUUUGUAGCUGAUGGUCUUGGUUGAUGAUGCGGGAGGAGAAUGGCCUAUGAUCGGGCAUGCGCCAUGGAACGGUUGCAAUCUUGCAGAUUUUGUGAUGCCAUUCUUUCUGUUUAUUGUGGGAAUGGCCAUAGCACUUGCAUUAAAGGUUAGCUUCGCAUUCUUUUUUCUUCUUCCCAUCCUUAAGAGGAUAAAGUAGGGUAAUUGUUCCUACUCAUUGGUGCUUAACUACUUAUUGUGUAGAGAAUACCAGAAAAGCUAGUGGCCAUCAGAAAGGUGAUUCUAAGGACACUCAAACUUCUAUUUUGGGGCCUCCUUUUACAAGGUCAGUUAUCUUUCUUUCCUUCCUUUUAUGUUAUUCUUCCCUUCAUGUUUCCAUGCAAGAUGCAUUCUAUUCAUAUCCAAUAUAUCAUAGAAAAUCUAGGAGGAGUGUUGGACUUACAGUGUCUACAAGCUUCUGAAAUAAGGAAGUAGCCUUUUUUCCCCUUUAUCUGGUGACGUUUCACAGUUCGUUAAUGCUAUUGACUGAAUGCAUAAUGUGUUGCAAAUCUAAAAAAGUAAUUUAGGUUGUCUUCAGUGGAUAACAUCCAUAGUAAUUAGUUGAUGUUGUGCUUUAGAAGUUGAUGAAUAGCUCUGUAGGACUUAAACAUAUAUUUUUUUUAUUUUUUUUUUGGUAACCUGCAUAUUUCAUUCAUAACCAAAAUUGUUUCUUUACAAAACAAAGUAGUAUUGGACUAACUACUCGCUCAUAAUACAAACAAAAUCUACUAACCUAUAGCCUUCUAGACAAUACAACCUGAAUAGAUCAGCAAUUCAAUACUAUAUAUAGCUAAACCAAAACUAAGGGUAGACAUUGAGUUGUUGAAGUGCAUUCUUCCAUUUCGCCCUGGUCUGACUCUUGAUAUGCAUAUGCAUUACAAUUUCCUUCAAAACUUCAUAUAUUGGAUCUCCUAAAGUAGUCACACGUAUUAUCCUUAGGGGAUUAUUGUUUUAUUAGCCCUUUCUCUGUGAUUCUGCCAACCUUUGUGAUUUUAAUAAGUUGUAACUACGUUUUAGCUCUAAUGAAUCUACAGACCCUUUCUCCUUUCUAAUGGACACCUAUCCCAGAACGAAUGAUCAGUAAUGACAUCUACUGAUUAGCUUUCCUUUAGGAAACAGAAUUAUGUUUGGCUUCAGAUAGAAACUUUCAACCAAGUGGGAAUCCAUUUGUUAAACCUGGUCUUGCAUCUCAUCUUUCCUCUUCCCAAAGUUAUUAGAAGUCUAACCUCAUCCUUUCAAUUGUGAAGGGGGUUAUUUCCAUGAUCUUGACAAGCUAAAAUAUGGUGUUGACAUGAAUAUGAUAAGGUUGUGUGGCAUCCUUCAGGUAACAGUUUCUAAUCCCACCCCCCUUUCUGUCUCUCUUUUGAAUGCUAAUAUCUUGUGUUGGUGAUAAUUCUUCUGCUUCUUAUCUUUGUAGAGAAUUGCUCUCGCUUACUUAAUUGUGGCCAUAAUAGAAAUAACAACAAGACAAGCCCAAUCCAAAGAACUACCAACGGGAUGGUUCUCUAUUUUCAAGUUAUACAGCUGGCAAUGGUGAGUAUUAUUUUGGUGUUUCUAAAGUGGUGAUAGCAUUAAGGAUCUCCAAGUUAGUACUGAACAUUUCUUCAUGAUUUCAGGGUUAUUGGAGCAUGCGUUUUAGUAGUUUACUUGGCCACAUUAUACGGAACAUAUGUUCCUGACUGGAAUUUUGUUGUCCAGAACCCGGACAGUGUUGAUUUUGGAAAGACUUUAACCGUGAGUUUCCCUCGUCCAUGUUCCAAAGUUACCUUUAAUAUUUCUAUAUUUAAAGUCAAAAGAUUUUGCUUUUGGUAUUAGGUAACUUGCAAUGUGAGAGGAAAUCUUGAUCCUCCUUGCAAUGCAGUGGGUUAUAUUGACAGACAGAUACUUGGAAUCAAUCACAUGUAUCCACGUCCAGCUUGGAAGAGAUCCAAGGUGAUUGGUUCUUCACAAAAAUUAUAUCUUCCCUCUAUUGUUGUUCUUUGUGAUUUGCCAUCUCCAUUAUCACCGGAUUAAGUUCAUCUGUAACACCUUUGAUGGAUCUUUAUUCUACAGUCUUGCACUAAAAAUUCUCCAUAUGAGGGACCUUUCAAGGAUGAUGCUCCAUCAUGGUGUUGGGCUCCUUUUGAACCUGAAGGAAUUCUGAGGUAGGAUUCGUAUCAUCAAUUCUCUCUUUUCGUCAAAGUCUUGUGUGCUCGUAUCAUCAAUACAAUCUUUAUCUUCGGAUUUCUAGUUGCUUGAUUAAUAAAAGUUUUUAAAGUCUAAUACCUUUUAUGCUACUUACCAAUGUUCAAUUUUCCCUGUCUGGUAAAUUCUUCUACUUAUGACUACAGCUCAAUUUCUGCUAUUCUCUCUACGGUCCUUGGAGUUCAUUUUGGGCAUGUUCUUAUUCAUAUGAAGGUUAAGUCAAAAUCUUCUAGACUUGACCGUCUCACCAAAUUAAAGCAAAGUUACUGAUAUAUUCCAAUUUUUGUAACUCCAGGAUCACUCGUCCAGACUUUUGCAUUGGAUUGGCAUGGGCAUAGCUCUUUUUAGUUUUAGGUAAUUAUUCUCCACUUCACAGAUGGUAAAAUUCGCAGUUUAUGAAAUGCACUCGAAAGCUGGAUAUAUCUUCUUUUCUCUUCCUCAUUUUUCCUUCGAUGGUGCUGAAUGCAGCUAUUCCUUUAAAUAAGCAAUUAUACACCUUCAGCUAUGUCUGUGUAACCUCAGGAGCAGCCGCGUUAGUGUUCUCUGCUUUCUACAUUCUGGUACAGUAGUCUUGUCCAAAAAUCUGGUCACUUCUAUUAUAUGUUCCUUGCUACAAACAUUAGAUUUGGAAGUUCUAGACUUUUACGAUUAAAUCACACUUCCCUCUGAAAUGCAAGGUCAUUCAUUAGAAACAAAAAUCUCAAGGUUCAAGUUGAUGGAAAAUGUUCCAAGUUUUAUGUUUUCAUCAAUCAGUACCGGAUGAUAUAGAGCAGGAGAAUGUGUAGCUGAGACUUUACAGAAUGAGUAUUUUUAACAAGAAAAGCUUAGAAUGACAACAUUCUGAUGUGUCAUCACCGUAGCAAGAUUCACAAACUUCUAAUCCUGAUCCUUUCCUUUUGGUCCUUUUGGAAUGCAGGUUGACAUUUUGAACUUGAAGUAUAUAUUUCUUCCACUAGAAUGGAUUGGUAUGAAUGCGAUGCUUGUUUAUGUAAUGGCCGCCGCAGGAAUAUUUGCAGGUUUCAUCAAUGGCUGGUAUUACGAGGACCCUCAUAACACACUGGUAUUUCAUUCAUCUCUUCCUCACUUUGAUAUGAUGCAGUCCAUUGUAUACAAAUAGUCAGAGGCGGAUUCAGGAUUUGAACAUCAUGGGCUCGAGUUUGAAAUUCUACCACAACAGAUAGGUUACUGGGUUCGAAAUUUGUACUUACAUGGUGAAUUUCUUAGCACAGACAAAGUUACUUAUGCAGUACAUCUGCCUCUAGCCAUCUGCUUUCUGCAGCCAGUUGUCAAAACUUAAAUAGGCCAUACGACAAUUGUUGCUUCUGGUUUUGCUUACAAUCUUUGACAGAUAGGAUCGAAAAUAAGAAGUGAACUCAGUUCAAUGUUUUCUCCUGUACGAGUUCAUAGUUGUGCAAGUAAACUGAUUGAACUUACUCAACAUUUGCAGAUAUAUUGGAUCAAAAAGCACAUCUUCAUUGGAGUGUGGCAUUCAACAAGAGUGGGAACACUUCUUUAUGUCAUCUUUGCUGAGAUAUUGUUUUGGGCUAUUGUUGCUGGCCUACUUCAUCGAUUAGGCGUAUACUGGAAGCUUUAGUUCUGAUGAAAUUUGCUCUUUUGCUUGAUUGUUAUUUUAAGAUAAGAUAUAGCAUUGUAUGUACUUGAAACUAGAAAAAGCUUCAGCUAGACAUGGAUCUCAGUUUGAUUUCUCUCUUUGUUAUGUUUUGUGUUAAAUUUUUGGUAGAAAGUUGUAAUAUUGAAGUUAGAGUAGUUUUUUUUCAGUAUUCUGUUUAGCGAAUCUUUCUUGGAUGAUUGGCGCUUGUUGAUGAUUCCGCUUUUGUUUUACGAUAAUGGAAUUUUGCGCAGUUUUCUGUUUAUUUGAUGUUUGAUCUGAAGCUGUCAAUACGAUCUGGUUGAUUUGUGACUGAUGUUACUGACUAUGUGGUCUGCAUAAAGGCCCUAAACUAUUAAGGCGGUGCUGUCUCUUUUUUCUUUUUUAUUGGGAAUUUAGGAACUAGAUCUACUAAUCUGGCUCUUAGAUUUUAACACCGUCUUGUAGAGGAUUUGAUCUCAAUGUUUUUGACCUUGCUUUAUGAUCUAAUAUUGUAUAUUAGAGCCAUAUAUGAGUAAUUUGGAUCUGAAAAGUCUUGAUAUAGGUUGCUUCUAGUUUAGCUAGACUUGUGCCUCAUGUUAUUUAGGAAAUCCUAGUUUUAUGUAUCUGGAUACUGCAAAUUUAUGUAACCAACAAAAAAAGAUGUAUGUUUUGCAAGUCCCAAAAGUUGGAGGUCUCAAGUUCGAAAUCACUUGCCAGCGGGUUUGCCUUCUGGGUCGACCUCGCACUUGCCUAGGUCUUAAUUUUGAGCAUUUUUUGUAUGAUUAUAUUGUCAAUAGGUGCUAUUACUUUGUCUGUUUUGUUUUGUUUUUGUUGAUUGGAUUUAUUAGGUUUAGAUAGUUGUAAGUAGUAUAGGUGUAGAGAUCUAGCAUUUGCUCAUUUUGCCUAGUCGUGAAUGUCUGCUUAUACUAGUAAUUGAUUGGAUUUGUUGACUUGAUUCAUAAAAUUAUAAUGUUACUGCUAGUUUCCGUAAAAAGAUAUGGUAUCUCUUGAUUUUGCCUUUGCUCAUUCAUUGUUGUGAAUAUUUGCUCUAACGGAUUAGUUCCUUUUAGUGAAUGUCUAAUUAAGAUUUGUUGAUUAGAUUUGAUACAUCCCUUCCCUCUCGGAUACAUCCCUCCCCUACAUAUCCAAAUGUCGUAUCCCAUCUCUUAUAUAUCCCUCCUCUGUUGAAUACGUCCCUCUCCUAUGUAUUCGGAAGUCCAAUGAUGUAUCCGAAAGUCCAUAAAUUUUAAGGGAUUUUUGUAAUUUAGAAAAGAGUAGAAAAAUAAUGUAAUUAGGUCUUGUGAGAUUUAUGUAAAUUAUAUUUUUUUAUUUUCCAACUUUUGGGCCAUAAUGCUCAAAAACUCAAGUCCAACAUCCAUUACAGGCACAAUCUCAAAUCAUCUUAUAUCGUAGUUCUACACACGAGCUGAAAGGUUCUCUUUUUUUGCUUCUCCCUCAAUUGACAUGGGAACACGAGAGGUAUACGAAGAAAAACUGAAGAGAGGGAAUCUCCAUCAUGAUCCUACAAUCAAACCUGGCCUCGGCUGUGCUAGAUGUCCUCGUUGUCUUUCUCUCUUGAACUCCAAUUCAGUAUGUAUCAUAUUCUAGUCGGUUUUUUUUUUUGUGUUUUUGUAAUUGUCCACAUCUUGCCUAGUACAUGCUUGAUGAAAUGCCUAGCUAGUAAUUUGUGCUGUUUCUGUUUGAUUUCAGUUGCAGAAAAGUGGAGAAUGGGUGAUUACUCCUGUUCUACAUGAUUUCACGGCUGUGGUUAGUAUGCUAUAUUACAUGUUUCGAAUGGUAUUUGAACUGCAAGAUCGAACUAGCCAAAUCUGUUGUUAUGAUUAAAAUUUACCUAAGUAGUCACAAAUUUUAAGAUUGAAUGGUGUUGGUAUUUGUGAUCAAAGUCCCACUUUGGUAGUUGAAAAUAAAAAGUAAGCUACUAAUGAUAAGUGUUGGUUAUCUUAGGAGUCGUUUACUGUGAGACAUAAGGUAUAAUAAUCUUAGGAACAAAAUGCGGGAUUAUUUUAUCUUGCGUUUGGUUAGAGGUAUUAGGCAGUCUUGGGAUUAUUUAUCCCAUCAUUUAGACCUUAGUGAUGGGAUAAGUUAUCUCAUAUACACGGUGGAAUAACUUAUAUCACGAUGAUUAAUUCCGGUAUAACUUGUUCUCAACCAAGUGACCCCUUAAUAGUAUGAGGCCUUUUAGGGAAACUGUACAUGUUUGUCCCAAAGUGGACAAUAUCACACAUGUUAAGUGUAUCUUUCAGUUGUUUAACCUAAUGACUACGAGACGAGUAGGGAGAUGACGUAGUGAUGGUGUAGGGACCAGCUCCGAAUUAGCCCAUGAAUGGUAAUGGAUCAUGUGGUACAUAGCUAAUGGGGGAAAUUGUUGUGUGUGUGUAAACAAAGUCCAUACUGGUAGCUAAAAAGAAACGUAAGCUACUUAUAAGUUGUUGAAUCCUCCUCUUGAUAUUGGUAACCUAGCCCAAAACCAUGAUCAUGGAAAAAAGUAUGGGGAUAGUCUUAAUGGCGUGAGGCCUUUUGGGAAAUCGUGCAGGCUUGGACCAAAGCACAAUAUCACACCAUGUUGAUGCUGAAAGUGGUUGAUACCGAAGAGCUCUUAAUGUUAUAUGAAUGUUUUGUAUAUGUCCAAAACUUCAAGAUUUUGUUUCAUAGUAAAUUGGAAUUGAGCUUAGUUGAGUUCAAUGCAGAGGAAGGUUUCUAUUGUGAACCCUGAAAGAAUUCCGUUUUUGAAUGUCUUCCACCUGAAAAUCUGAAAGACUUAUCUUUUACCUGAAACCGAAUAUUUUACCCUUGUCUUACUAAUCAUAAUUUUUAUAAUCGGUUGGACAAGGCUAAUAAACCCAUAGUGAACAGAGUUAUAGCGCAAUCAUAAUAUGAAGAGUUUUUACCAACUAGUUAAAGUAAUAUUCUUUACCUUUGUGUAGGCUGGCUCUGGAAUUGGUGGACUGCUCAGUGCAAUUCAUGGUUUCAAUACAGGCAUGAUUAAUUAAUCAUCUCUUCUGUGCUUAUCUUUGUUUCUUUAUUGUAUUACUCUCCUUAUAGUAAAUCGUGGUUGAAAUCUUAAACUAAAUACUUCCCUCUCUUUUAUCUAAUGAAUUCAUAGCUGAAGUCUUAAUGCUAGUACUUUUCAGGAAUUCCUUUUGUCCAGAGACACGUGAAGGGUCCAAAGUGGCUUCCAUUUGUUAUAGGGGUAGGCACUUAAUCCACUUUUCUGAUCUUAAACUCUUUUCUUUCUCUCUUCUUCCUAUUCAUUGUAUUCUUGAUUUUUGUGCUGUACUCAAAUCUAUGUAAAGUUGAGUAUACAAUUGAUAUGUUAUCUAAUGCUUCACCUUUCCCCUUGUUUUGUUCUUGCAGCUUCCUUCACUACUCAUGUUCUCUGCAGCUAGCGCGACAUUUGGAGGUAAUUCUAUGAAGUUCUAAUUUCAUUCUAAUCUUCAUUCUUUAAAUUUAGCAUGUGUUGUGUUAUAAAUUGAUGAUAAAGUUGCCAUGACACUCAACAUAUUAACUUUUUUUUUUUGAAAAGUAACCCUCAACAACAAUACUUCCCUAUGCACCAAUACUUAAAAGUUGGUAAUUUGAAGAUUAAUGCAAUAAUUACUUUCUAGGAUAUAUAUUGGGUAUCUUGUUUUUAGUUUACUUUCUCUAUCUUAAUAUAAUUGGAUAUCACUUUAUCCCAUCAGUAUUUUGAGUAUUCAAGAAAACAUAAUGUAUAAUCUUCUGUUUUACGCAAGUAUAUAAUUGUUGGUGAUAUUUUCACUCCCUGCUUAUCUACUUCUAAUGAACAUUGCUUUCAACUAUAUCCUGUAAAGAAUCAGAAUUUAUAAUGGAUGUGAAAAGAAUGUUCUAAUCAAAAAGACAUACCUUGAUCUGUUUCUUGUUGUACGUAGAGUAGAAUCACUUUUUUUUUUAAACUGGUGAGUAGAAUCACUUUGAUUCUUUAAACUUUAUGAAAACUGCUUUCGCUCCUGUUCAACCUUACUCCAGUUACUUUUUUGAUGGAAAUAACAUAUUUUUGGUGAGAGAUAUCACCAGUUCUUGAAAGGUCUUGUAUUUUCAUGUUCCAUCAAGUGAGAAGUUAACUAUCACAUAUAUCAGAAAUAACCCCUCUAGUGUUGAUCUGUCAUAUUUUAAAGGUGUACCUUAAUCGAUCAAAUAAGGUAAUUGUGGUAAUAAUAUAAUGUGGGCUCAGCAGGGUGACUUUUAUUUUAUUUUUGAAUGACUGAUGUCUAAACCCCACUUUGUAGUAGAGGUAAGGUCUAUCGGAAACAACCUCUCUACCUUGAGGUAGAGGUAAGAUUUGCAUACACUUUAUCCUCCCCAGACCCAACUUUAUGGGACUACACUGGGAAUGUUGUUAUGAUGAGUAUGACUGAUGUCUAAACCAGCACUAAGGAAGUGCUAUGACACUUGAUGGAAAAGUAGAUGAGCCUCACCUGGAAAUAAUUCUCGAAGAGAAGAAAAUGUUACAUCACACCUGUAGCUUCUGUGGCCAUGUGGUUGACAAUUUCAUUCUCAAAUCAUGUGAACUAACUAGCCACAAAAACUGCAAUCUAUGCACAUAAUAAAUUUAAGCACCUUUUCCUUCCUUACAGCUCAAUGUCAAAAGUGGAGUAGUCCACAAAUUUUGUGUCUUCUACAGUUUAGGUACCCGUUUUUUUUCUUAUAAGAAAAUUGCACAUGUUCUGGUACCCGUAUUUUGUUGAAUAUAUGCCAUAUAUUCGAACUUGUUAGUUUCAAAUCAUUGUUGAGCAAGCUUUCUGUUAUGCUAAGGUUAAUUGUCUUCUUCAAGAUAUGAGCAUCUUCUCUUCACGAUAAGAAAUGUUGAGCACUUGAAUAAGAGGCGUGGUCAGUGAACAAUAGUGUCAUGCCAGGCACAAUCAAGGAUCUGAAGAUUCAAAUACUUCUAAAUUUGGAGAAUUGUAGACAUAACUGACUUUACUAGACUUAGUUUUUUAGUUAUCGCUUUGUCGUACUUAUUCUUGGUACCAAGUUUAAACAAUAUACAGAGAAGGUCCAAAUAUACCCUUAUACUAUGCAAAAUUGAGCAGAUUUACCCCACAUUAGUACUUUAGUUCACUUAUGCCCUUACCGUCAAAUACUUGGUCCAAAUACUAUGCGCAAUUGAGCAGAAUAAGGGCGUAUUUGGACCAAGUAUUUGAUGUUAAGGCUUAUGCAAAUUGAAGUAUAAACGGAGGAAAAAUAUGCUCAAUUUCACAUAGUAUGAGGGUAUAUUUGGACCUUUCCAGAACAAUAUAUUGUAUCCAGGGGACAAGUUAGCUCAUAGGGUUGAUGCUAGUACUCUGCAGCAUAUGCGUGAAUUGGCUUGCUGAACUGAUCUUGCUUAGGGUGGGUGAAGAAGGGUAUCCAAUUGAAAUCUAUGCACUUCUUUUUCUAUUUUUUCUCUUAGAUGUGCUCGGCACCGAGCGCCCGGAGAUUGAUUGAAAAAGCAGGCCCUGCCUACCCUCUCUCCCUACUUGUCCCAAAGAAGUAUUUCUUCACUUUAUUUUUCAAAACUAGAAUUUCGUAUAUCAAUAAAUUAGGCUCUUUAUAAUAUUUUGAAGGAAUAAUUCAUGGGAAAGUGCCAUUUAAAGGAAAAUAAAGUAGCCACUCAUUUUUACAUUCACUGGAAAGUACUUUAAUGACAAUAAUCAAAGAUUUUUUUCCAUGCUUUAAUCUUAUUUAUGAAAGUAAUUUUCGAUGUGUAAAUGACCAGAUUUUGCAUUACAGGAUAUGCACUUCUAAGGUUUACUCAACUUACGAUGACUUCAUAUUACACUGCUUCAAGUGCCUCACAUUACAGAAUAUCAUUGCUUACCAGACGUAUUGAGGAGGCCCAUACUUCUAGUGUUCAACCUAAAAGACUCACCUGAUUGACUUGAGGUGCACAAAAUCAGAGCCAAACUUUACUUCAAAUUUUGCAACGAAUUAUAUAUAGUUGGAGCAACUGUCAAUUCAAAAGAUGCAUGUUCAUUGCUUUGGUGACUUCUCUUUUGAUAAAAUAUAUAGUUUUUACUUUGUAAUAAUAGGAAUGUUUAAACUUGGAAGAAAACACUUGAGCUUCUGUCAAAACUGGAUCUUGUAUCUAAGUGCUUUGUAUUAGAACAAAAUGCCUUGUCAUUGUUUGUAAAUUGGUACAUCCUCAUCGAUGCUAACUGUGACUAAAGAGCCCUUUAAUUUUUUUUUAGGUCGAGAGUUUUCUACCCCACAAAGGUACGGGUAAGAUGUGCAUACAUCCUACCUUCAGACUCGACUUGUGGAAUUACACUAGGUAUGUUGUUGUUGUAGUCACUUCUCUAUUACUAACUUUAUAUCUCCGAAGGCUGCAGGAGUGUGGGGUUAAAGAGAGAAUUUUAUGGCCUGACUUGCACAACAUGUUUUGGACCAAGUAUUUGACGCUAAGGGCAUUAGUGAUUUGAAGUAUUAACGGAGGGAAAAUAUGCUUAAUUUCGCAUAGUAUGAGGGUAUAUUUGGACCUUUCCCGAACAAUAUAUUGUAUCCCGAGGACAAGUUUGUGUUAGUACUACGCAGAAGAUGUGGCUAAUCGUCGUCAUUUAGAGACAAAGAAGCCAGAUGACAAGCUAGAUAUAUUGUAUCUAAUUUUGUUUCUACUUUCAAAUUAUAAAUCAACUUAUCGGAGAAAAGGCCUGCUUCCAGUUAUUAUUAUUUUAAGAUGGAAUGUAUGUAGGCUUGAAAGGCUCACUCUCUUUCCUUUGUGAAGACAUAUGUAAUAGUGCGUGUCUUGAAAAUACUUGGCCUCUCAGUAUGUGUGUUAUUUUAAAUGAAAAUUGUGCUAGCUUUCUUUUACCCAAUCCUAGAAGCUGAGUUUAUCACUGGGGUUGGAGACUGAGUUUGCAGUAGUUUAUAAAUUCUGGAAGCUUAGUCUUCCCUUAGCUCUUCAUUUGACCAAGUUAAUAAUCCCUCUUAGUGCUUUGUGGUUAACUAUGUUAUAAUUUUCCAGGUGAUUGAUAACGUUCAAGAAGAAACAAAAAGCCGUGUAGGUACUACUUUGGACUAUUAAUUAUCAGGAAUUGUUAUAACCAACUUCUAAUUAGCUAUUGGAUCAAUGUGGGGUUUGUUGAUUUUACAAAUACUGCCCUACUAGCCUAGAAUCAGUGUGAGAAAAUGGUCAAAUGACCCCUUAACGUAUAUCCGAAUUUUCAACUACACACUUAAACUUCACGGGAGUCCUAUCACCCCUCUGUACUGUUUAAAAUUGAAAUUAUUACCUCCUUAAAUGCUUAGCUGGCAUAGUGAGUGUAUUUCACUUUCUUUGGGAGUGUGAGUAUCAAAUAUAUUAUUAAAACUUUAUUUCUAAUCUCUUUUCAAUAAAUAUAUGCAUUUUUAAUUAUUUAUUUUUCUUAUUUGUUUUCUUUCUUCCCCAACAAUAUAAACAAAUCUCUCAAUUUUUCACCACCUCUAAGUCUUGCUGCCCAUCUUCACUGGAUUCACUAUUGUUGAUUCCAAACAAAUUUCAAACUCAUAUAAAACUCUUGCAAAAUAAAUCAACCUAAAUCAAUUGUAGAUAAGUUUACAUAUAUUUAUAUCACCCCAAGAUUCUUUGGAUUCGAUUUGAGAAAAAUCAAUAUGGGUUUACUUCAAAUCCAAUUGAACCCACCGAUUUUUAUUUUUUACUAAUAGAUCCUUUAAUUAUCAAUCUCAAAUCUCAAUCAAUCAACUAUAUCUCAAACAUUGUUGCUAUUAAUCUCGUUAAUUCAUCAAUCGUCGUAGAGCCAGUCUCUUUCUCUUCGAAAUUGUUGUCGCAAUCGAUGAUGAUGUGGAAGACAUCGUAGGCUCCUCCUCCUCAUCUUCCUUGAGAGGAUUACUUAUCUUCGGUGACCACCAUUAAUGGCAAUAUUUUUCCAUGUUCGUCUUCUCUCCCGCCUUCAUUUUUUUUAAACUUGAUUUUUAGGUUUUAAAUGAGCAAAACCCGAAUAUCUCUGGAUAAGCUCUGAAAUCAUUAUUCACCUUUCUUCCUUAAAGACCCAAUUUCAUGGACUUAUGGUGUUCUAGUAAUGGUGAAAGUACUUUGGGUGUGUGAAGGGAUGGGUAAGAAUAUAGAAGAAAAGGGUAAAUAAAUAUAUAAAAAAAAAAUUAAAAAUAUUUGAUGAGGUGUCAAACGCGUGAAACUCACAUGCCACCAUAGAUCUGGUUAUGUCCUUUUAAGGGUAUAAUUAUUUCAUCUUUAAACAGUUCAGGGGACUGAUAGGACUCCCGUGAAAUUUAAGUGUGUAGUUAAAAAUUCGAAUAUACGUUGAGGGGCAUUUGGCCAUUUUCUCUAUCAGUGUCUGAGCAUUCAGCUUAAUUAGUAUAUUUUUAAAUCCUUUUGCAGAUAGAAAACCACCUGGUAUCGGUGGACGAGGAAGGGGAAGAGGAGGUAGGGAUGAAGGUGCUGUUGGAAGACAGGCGAAAGACAUUGGGCGUGGAAUGGAAGAUGCAGGUGCCAAAGGCCGGGGCAAAGGAUGACCUGGUGCCAAGUCUGGUGGAAAAGGUAUGAAGUGUUCAAUAUGCAAGUUAUAAUGUAAUUUUAUUCUCGUUCUGCUAAAGCUUAUGUAUCCCUGAGUCUCAAUCCGCAGCGACCAUGUUCAACACUUGAAAUUAGUCUCCAUACAGCAAGUCUCUUUAUGUUGUAACAGUCCUCAAGUAUAUUUGUGAACGCAAUAUUUAUAUAGCCAUUUGCUAAUCAGAUGAUUCUGGAUGGUAUUUAUUGUACAGGUGGUGGCCGUGGACGUGGCUAAUCAUCGUCAUUUAGAGACAAAGAAGCCAGAUGACAAUCUAGAUAUAUUGUAUCUAAUUUUGUUUCUACUUUCAAAUUAUAAAGCAACUUACCGGAGAAAAGGCCUGCUUCCAGUUGUUAUUACUUUAAGAUGAAUGUAUGUAGGCUUGAAAUGCUCACUCUCUUUCCUUUCUGAUGACAUGUAAGAGUUCGUGUCUUGAAAAUAUUUGGCCCUCAGUAUGUGUGUUAUUUUAAAUGAAAACUGAGCUAGCUUUUUCUUUACCCAAUCCAAGAAGCUGGAUAUCUAGUUAAAGACGCCUUUCACUUUAUACUUAGAAUGUUAAAUAACACGAGUAAAUAUUUCUGUACUUAAGAUUAGGGAGGCAAACAUUUGGUUUUAUCUAUUAUUUUCCAAAAGAUAUGAUUAUUGCUUCUUUAUUUGUAGGUAGUGGCGUAGCCAAGAAUUUUAUUAAGGGGGUCCAAACUUUGAAUAGUAAUUUUAUUUUUAAUAAAUGAUGAUUAGAGAUUUUAUUUUUAAUAAUAUUGUGAUAUAAUUUGGGUAAAUUGGCCUCCUAUUUAUAGAGAAAAAAAAUCUUAUUCCAAAAGGAAAAUGUAUUAAAAUUUAAAAAAUCUUAUUCCACAAAGGAAAAAGGUAUUAAAAUAUAAGGAAAUCUUAUUCCACAUGGAAAAGGUAUGAAAAUUUAAGGAAAUAAUCCAAUUUUAAUUGAAAAAAAAUACUUAUUGGAGGUGAGUUUUGAACUUGGGUCAAUCAAGACAAGCAUAACACUAUUUACCACUAAGCUAGGGAAUCAAACUAGGGUGGAGAGUAGGUUUGCAACACCUCUAGCCAUCUCCAGUAUGGAUUACUUUGUUAUUUUAGGGUGUCCAAAAUACAAUAUAUAUCAAUAUAAAUCAAAACUUUACGUGUAUAUAUCAUAUUUUUCAACGAAGGGUGUCCAAUUGGACACCUUGAGGACAAGGUGGCUUCGCCCCUGUUUGUAGGUUUCAAGUAAUGCCAAAUUUGGAUGAGAUUUGGAAGUUCUAAACUUUUACGAUUAAAUCACACUUCCCUCUGAAAUGCAAGGUCAUUCAUUAGAAACAAAAAUCUCAAGGUUCAAGUUGAUGGAAAAUGUUCCAAGUUUUAUGUUUUCAUCAAUCAGUACUAGAUGAUAUAGAGCAGGAGAAUGUGUAGCUGAGAUUUUGCAGAAUGAGUAUUUUUAACAAGAAAAGCUUAGAAUGACAACAUUCUGAUGUGUCAUCACCGUAGCAAGACCCACAAACUUCUAAUCCAGAUCCUUUUGGUCCUUUUGGAAUGCAGGUUGACAUUUUGAACUUGAAGUAUAUAUUUCUUCCAUUAUAAUGGAUUGGUAUGAAUGUGAUGCUUGUUUAUGUAAUGGCCACCGCAGGAAUAUUUGCAGGUUUCUUCAAUGGCUGGUAUUACGAGGACCCUAAUAACACAUUGGUAUUUCAUUCAUCUCCUCCUCACUUUGAUAUGCUGCAGUCCAUUGUAUACAAAUAGUUAGAGGCGGAUUCAGGAUUUAAACAUUAUGGGCAGAGUUUGAAAUUCUACCACAACAGAUAGGUUACUGGGUUUCGAAAUUUGUACUUAUAUGGUGAAUUUCUUAGCACAAACAAAGUUACUUAUGCAGUACAUCUGCCUCUAGCCAUCUGCUUUCUGCAGCCAGUUGUCAAAACUUAAAUAGGCCAUACGACAAUUGUUGCUUCUGGUUUUGCUUACAAUCUCUGACAGAUAGGAUCGAAAAUAAGAAGUGAACUCAGUUCAAUGUUUUCUCCUGUAUGAGUUCAUAGUUGUGCAAGUAAAAUGAUUGAACUUACUCAACAUUUGCAGAUAUAUUGGAUCAAAAAGCACAUCUUCAUUGGAGUGUGGCAUUCAACAAGAGUGGGAACACUUCUUUAUGUCAUCUUUGCUGAGAUAUUGUUUUGGGCUAUUGUUGUUGGCCUACUUCAUCGAUUAGGCGUAUACUGGAAUCUUUAGUUCUGAUGAAAUUUGCCUCUUUUGCUUGAUUGUUAUCUUAAAGGAGUAAUUUCCCUAGAUAGUCACCCAUGUUUGGGAAAUUACCUAGUAAUAUCACUUAUGUUUGUUUUAGGACUACAAUAUCACCCAACUUUACAUAUUUUCCUCAAAAUAUACUUGACACAAAAAAACAUUAUCUCUCUCCUAAUGGGAUGCCAUGUCACUUUUUUUUAAUUUAUUAAUAAUAUCUUUUUUAAUUCUUUAAAUGUCUGUAGGCUCCUAAUACUAAGUAGUUUAGUUGUGGAAUGCCUACAUUAGGAAUUGAAGUGUUUGCGCCCCUGCUUGUAUGUAGUGUUUGCGCCCCUGUUGUGUGUCUAUUUAUUUCAAACAUUUAACCACCAUUAUAAAUCGAGGUUUAUUUUAAUACAAAGGAAAUAACAAUUUAGAUAGAUAAAGAAAAUAAUAGAUUGUUAAAAUACGAAAUUUGUGUUUCAAUUGCAUACUUAAACUUUUCACCCUUCAUUAAGUUAAGUACGAAAUUACAAUUUUAUUUUUGAAUUAAUUGUUGCAUAUAUAAUCGUAAAGCUAAAACCAUGUCGAUUCUCGCAAGAAAUCAAGAGCGGAGCUAACCUUCGGUUACACAUAAUUUAGUUAUAUUUACGAUUUUAAAAUUAUUAAAAAUAUAUAUAAAAUAUUGAUUUAGAACUCUCUACUUUAAAGAAGUAAAAUUUAAAACUUACAUGUAUGCUUAAAACUAGACACACGUGUCUAUGCUAACACGAGCCCAAUAUCUAUUAUUUUAAUUUAUGUGAUAUCGAUAGAAUUUAGAAAGUUGAUUAAAUUUUAAUAUGAUUUUAGAUAUUUUAAGUUGUUAGUUACUUUUUGUUUGCGCAAAUUUUAAUGUGAAGAGGUUCAUUAAGAUGUCCAUAAUUAAAGUAUUUUUCGUCAUCGAUCAUUGAUUUUAUACUCAAAGUAGCUACAAGCUUAAGAUAUUACCGACAUCCAAAAUAAUAAAGCUACAACUAAAGAAUAUGAAUUUAAAACUAAAAGAUAUAACUUAAAGAAUUAAAAAAAAAAUUAUUAAUAAAUUAAAAAAAUGUGACAUGGCAUCCCAUUAGGAGAGAGAUAAUUUUUUUUUUUUGUGUCAAGUAUAUUUUGAGAAAAAUAGGUAAAGUUGAGUGAUAUUGUAGUCCUAAAACAAACAUAGUGAUAUUACUAGGUAAUUUCCAACAUGGAUGACUAUCUAGGGAAAUUACUCUUAUCUUAAGAUAAGAUAUAACAUUGUAUGUACUUGAAACUAGAAAAAGCUUCAGCUAGACAUGAAUCUCAGUUUGAUUUCUCUGUGAUUAAGAAGUUCAAUACAUCUAGCAGAAUAAACGAACAAUACAGAUAAAGCUAUUCUUUUCCUAUUAUCAAUUCGGGGUGGGGCAUACAAAAAGUGCUUUGGAGCCCAAAUGAAAGGCGUAGAUCCAAUAGAAGAAUUUGGGGCAUAAGCCGUUUUAAAUUUGAUGUUUGGGGCAUUAUGUGCUAAAAUUCAAAAAAAUCUUGGACUUUGACUUAUAGAGUUUGAAAUAGAUACCUUAUGUAACGAAGUGGUAAACUAGGUAUCAUGAGAGAAUAUUAUUUAAUCAAUGGAAAAAGUUGAAAUUCGAACAACAAAAAUUGCAACAAAAAAAGUAUAGUUUUGCCUUUAAAAGUUUCAAACUUUUUUUUUUUAGUUAACUAGAUAUUAUUAUUAGCAAAGAAGCUUAAGUAACAUUACAAAAUAAGGGAAUAGUACUAAUCCCGUUAUAUAUUGUAGCAUUGGUUGCUAUGAAAUUACUAUUAUGAGUCAAAAUUUCCCUUGCAAACGUAGUUCCUAGUAUAUCUGCCCAAGCUUUGCGAACAUCAAAGCAACUUGCAAAACUCUUGUGCGAUCAAAUAAUUGCUUCUUGGCCCCUUUUCUUGGCUAAGAGGUCAACUACUUUGUUUUGUUAUGUUUUCUAUAGGUAUGUGAGAGUUUUGGAUCUUCCAAUAGUUACAUCAAUGAUCUGCAUUCAUGAAUUAUAGAGCUAUAAAAUUUGUUAUCAUUAUUAAUAAAAUGUAUUAUCUCGAUUAAGUUUGUGGAGAUUUCCAAAGACAUCAAGUUAUUAUCUUUUGCAAUCUAAGUCUCUGCAUAAGAGGUAAUAAUUUCAUUAGAGUAUUAAUACUACUUGAAAUACCCUUCAUAAAGCCUAGUAUCCAAUCACCUCUAUUAUUACGUAUAAGUCCUCCAAUACCCUCUGCACAAUGUUAGAGUUUCACCUUUAAAAGGUCAUGUAUUACAAUACAUUAUAUUGGAGUUCCACCAGGAGAAAAAAAUUUGGACUCCAAAGCAAUUUCUUGUUUUAGGUAAUGAUAUUUAUCUUUUAUCCAUUUUUUAAAAAUUUGCCCUAGGCUUUUUUGCUUUCUGGCGGGCCGAAAAGGUACUGGGCCAAUAAUGGGCCAGUACCAACAGCAUUGAGACGGCCCAUGUAACAAUAUUUUUCUUGGAGAAGAAGACUGCAAAUAUUGGCAUCCAAAAAGAAGAGAAUAUAAAGCUUUUCGACUGUACAAGCCUACACAGAUCGACUCCUUCUCACCAAUUUCUGCCCGGAAUCCCAUACAAACACAAUCUCUGUCGACGAUGGCAACGCCGAUGGCUGAGGAUAGCAACUUCGAAGAUGACCAGCUCCAUGCUAUGUCCACUGAAGAUAUUAUUAGGGCUUCACGCCUUCUUGACAAUGAAAUUCGAAUCAUAAAGGUUCCGAUCUCUCUUAUUUUACCCUAAUCACAGUUAUCAUGAGUUAUUUUGUGUUUGUUGAAUGUUUUGUUUUGUCUAUUUGUAUCAAUUUGGGGCUUUACCGAGGAGAUUGACUAAUUGACUUGAAUGGUGAAUUAUAGGAAGAGCUGCAGAGGACGAAUCUAGAGUUGGAUUCAUUCAAGGAGAAGAUAAAGGAGAACCAAGAAAAAAUUAAGCUCAAUAAGCAACUUCCUUACUUGGUCGGCAACAUUGUUGAGGUGAGUAAUUAGGUUUUCCUCAAAUUAGUAUCCCUCUUGCUUCGACGUCUAUUUUAGCAAGUGAUAUUUACACAAUAGGAAAAAAAGAAUUUUAUUUUUAGAAAAUGAAGCUCAAUAAGCAACUUCGUUAUCAGUUACUUGAUCGGCAACAAGUUGAGAUGAGUAAUUAGGUUUUCAUCAAUGAGUAUCUUUCUUGUUUUGACGCCUAUCUUUAGCAAGAGUGUAGUGCAGAGAGGGUUUAGGACGUCUUUGAAUAUUGGGAUUGACUACAUUGAACUUGAAGCCUGCUGUGCAGUAAGUUUAUGUACCACAUCAUGCUUUUUAUUGUGUAUUCAGCAUACAUUUCACAGGGCUUAUAUAUUCUUGGCUUUCAAAGAAUGUAUUUUUAUCCCCUCAUGAUGGCAGAGUAUAAUGAGUAACCCUUGUUGUAGGCAGGAACUUUAGAUUAUGGGAUAGUGACAAGUACCAAUAGUGCUAUUACAGAAGGUGUGUGGGUCUUUGGUUGCACAAAAAUAGGACGAGGAAUUUGGGUAAUUCAUUAGCAAUUGUUUCAUCAACAGGAAGAGUACUGUAACAUGCUAAAUUUUCAAUGCCAGAAGUAAGAUGUUAAGAAUUUACAAAAGUAAAAAAUGGAGGUUUCUGAGGGACUCAAAGGAACAGCUUCUUUGUGAUGAUAUCUCAAGUAUAAAAGAAUUGUUGGAUCGGUCCUUGCUCCUAGUCACUUUAUAAGUUGAUUUGAAACAUCUCUUGUGCUACGGCAAAAGAAUUUAGUAGUUCGCAACUUUUAGGAUGUGUUUCGGUACCUGACUAAAUAUAUAUAUCUUUUGUUUGGAAUAAUUUAAUGUCGCGAAAUAAUUUUCUCUAUAACACGGACUAUCGACGAACUAACAUUCUAAAGAUGCAUAUAUUGUUGUGGAUUUUAGUUGGAGCAUAUAUAUAUAUAUAUAUAUAUAUAUAUAUAUACACGGACUAUCAACAAACUAACAUUCUAAAGAUACAUAUUGUUGUUGAUUUUAUUUGAAGCAUUUUCUUGUUCAAUUAGUUGAAGAGUUCGCGGAAAAAUUAAUUGAAGUGUCAAUAUAUAUAUAUAUAUAUAUAUAUAUAUUUGGAAUAAUUUAAUGUCACGAAAUAAAUUUCUCUAUAACUCGGACUAUCGACAAACUAACAUUCUAAAGAUACAUAUAUUGUUGUUGAUUUUAUUUGAAGCAUUUUCUUGUUCAAUUAGUUGAAGAGUUCGCGGAAAAAUUAAUUGAAGUGUCAAUAUAUAUAUAUAUAUAUAUUUGGAAUAAUUUAAUGUCACGAAAUAAAUUUCUCUAUAACACGGGACUAUCAACAAACUAACAUUCUAAAAGAUACAUAUUGUUGUUGAUUUUAUUUGAAGCAUUUUCUUGUUCAAUUAGUUGAAGAGCUCGCGGAAAAAUUAAUUGAAGUGUCAAUAUAUAUAUAUAUAUAUAUAUUUUGGGAAAUAAUUUAAUGUCACGAAAUAAAUUUCUCUAUAACUCGGACUAUCGACAAACUAACAUUCUAAAGACUACAUAUAUUGUUGUUGAUUUAUUGAAGCAUUUCUUGUUCAAUUAGUUGAAGAGUUCGCGGAAAAAUUAAUUGAAGUGUCAAUAUAAGUAUAAAAACUGCAUUUUUGGGAGGGUAUAGAUGGGAAAAUAUGUAUCUCUAGUCCAUCCUCCUAUUUCUGUUUCUUUUUUUUUUUUUGUGAAGAAAGAAAAUAGGAGGAUGAUCAAGAGAAACAUAAUUGGGCAGGACAGAAGGAAAUGACCAUUAUGCUUCCUUUUCUUCAGUGCUUGAAUCUGUUUUUCAGUAGAUUGAGGUCUUAUGUUUCAUAACACAUUGAACUGUGAGGAUGCAAAUUUUGAAUUUCUUUGCGUUUUUGUUUUGGGGUAUUAGGAAUAUGGGUUCAUGGAAGUAGUAGUAGGGAAGUCUAGCUUUGAGGAACUCAUUUAUUUCCGGUCUUUUUCAGAUUUUGGAAAUGAAUCCUGAAGAAGAAGCUGAGGAGGAUGGUGCAAAUAUUGAUCUCGACUCACAAAGGAAGGGCAAGUGUGUUGUACUGAAAACAUCCACGCGCCAGGUAAGGUGUCAAAUUAUAGGAUUACAUCAUUUGCUUCUAGGUGUUUAUUGUCGGUGUUACUAUCCAAAAUUCCCUUCAUCUAUUUCUCUUGAAUGGAAUUGGUGAUCUUGUGCUUUAUCCUUCUACCACAUCUUUUUUGGGUUAUACACUGUUUAGAUGCUAAAGUUCUUUUACUAAUUGAAUUCUUUUAUUGCCAUUUGUAGACAAUUUUCUUGCCUGUUGUUGGUCUUGUUGAUCCUGACAACUUAAAACCUGGUGAUCUGGUUGGAGUAAAUAAAGACAGUUAUUUGAUAUUGGACACCUUGCCAUCUGAAUAUGAUUCUCGGGUAAAGGCAAUGGAAGUUGAUGAAAAGCCAACUGAAGACUACAAUGAUAUUGGAGGCUUGGAGAAACAGAUUCAAGAACUUGUUGAGGCAAUUGUGCUGCCUAUGACACACCAAGAACGGUUCCAGAAAUUAGGUGUUCGUCCCCCAAAGGGAGUCCUUUUGUAUGGGCCUCCUGGGACUGGGAAAACCCUGAUGGCUAGAGCCUGUGCUGCACAAACAAAUGCUACUUUUCUUAAGCUAGCGGGACCUCAGCUUGUGCAGGUAGAUCAUCUUCGACGUUUGAUCCUAUUGUGAUUAGUUGCACUAGAUUUGUACGAAAUUGAACUCUCUUUUGCUCUAUGGUGGGAACCUAGUUUUCCCUCUUUUCAUUGUUCCUGGCAAUUCUAACUAAGAGCUGCUGCAAAGUACACUUGUCUUUUUUUAAGUACAUAUAUUAAAAUUUUAAUAUAUAAGAUGGGUCUCUACUUGAAUAUGUAUGAAACCGGAGGAUUAAUCUAGAGAAAAUGAUAAAAAUGGUCCUUUAUAUCUGGGGUUAGCUCUAAAAUCAUCCUUCUUAUUUACCACUGAACAUGUGUAGUCCUUUAACUUUACCAAAAGGGAGCGUUGGUGGUCUCUGUUUAGUUUUAGGUAAACAGCUCUAACAGACCCUGUGUUAAUCGUCUUCAAAAGCGAAAUUUUAGUUCUUGUUUUUAACUUAUGAUCGUGUAAUUAAGCGCGUAGUAGUUUAUUACAUUUGUUAGAAUAGGAAUAGGUUUAACCAAUCCUAUUAGAAUAGGAAUAGGUUUAUACAAUCCUAUUAGAAUAGGAAUAAGUUUAUACAAUCCUAUUAGAACAGGAAUAGGAAUAGAAAUAGAAAUAGGAAUACUAAAUAGUAUCCUACUUGGUAAAGGAUUGUAUUCUAGGGUCUAUAAAUAGGGUCUCAAUGUAAUAAUGUAAACAACAACAAUUCAAUAAUAUUCUUUUCCAAUAUUUCUCACAGUAACAACCUUUUCUUAGUUUGCCAACUAUAAGGAUACCCAUAUAUCAGUGAGAAACAGUCCUGUUUACUGCCUUUAGGUUUAAGAAGAAUAUGUAUCUCAUGGUAUGAAUUUCAGAAAUCUGCAAGAACAUGAGGUUAAAAGUUCUUGUUUUUUGGCUUAGAAGGUUUUACUUUCGCAACACACAGAAAACCCAUAUCCUGUUGCCUUUACUGUCGUCCACCCAUUCUGUGAAAGUUUGUCAUAACACUUUAAACAGGUUCUUCCUAAAAAUUUCUUUUCCAAUAUUUCUCACAACAUUAUUGUUUGGCUUUCUAAAGUUAGCAACCAACUACUGCAUGGGAACUUUUACAAUUUUCUUAAGUUGCAAUUUAAAGUAAUUGACUCAAAUAUGCUGCUGAUCAAUGCCUGUUCUAACUUUAGAUGUUCAUUGGAGAUGGAGCAAAGCUUGUUCGUGAUGCUUUCCAGCUGGCAAAAGAGAAAUCACCUUGCAUAAUUUUCAUUGAUGAGAUUGAUGCUAUAGGCACAAAGCGUUUUGAUAGGUACUAUAUCUUUGUUUUCCAUUGCUUAUAUAUGUGCUUAACCUUGCAUGCCCAUAAUAUCUUCAGUCUCGGUGCAUACUGGUUAAGGUCUUAAGGAGUAGCGUGUGCUUGCAAAAAAUGAAACUGAUGUGUGUGCUGAUUCUUCUCUUACUGCAUAUGUUGUUCUCUUGCAGCGAAGUUAGUGGGGAUCGAGAGGUCCAACGAACUAUGUUGGAGUUACUUAAUCAGCUUGAUGGUUUUAGCAGCGAUGAUCGGAUUAAGGUUCUGUUCUACUUAAACCCAUUAUAUAUACAUUUUUUUCUUACUUCGUGGUUCGUUGAUCACAAUAUUCUGUUCUUGUUGGUUUCUUGAUUUGAGCUACACAACUGCAAAACCUAAAAUAAAGUGAUCUUUGGUAUUCUGGUUUUUACAUUUUCAUGAAUUGUUUUGGUUUCUUUCCUUCACUUCAGGUGAUAGCAGCAACAAACAGAGCUGAUAUUUUGGAUCCUGCUUUGAUGCGAUCUGGUCGUUUGGAUCGUAAAAUUGAGUUCCCCCACCCCACAGAGGAAGCCAGGGCUCGGAUCCUGCAGGUGGGUAUUCUGCCAUAACAUAUAUCAUUUCUUUUCAUUCCCUUGCCUUGUUAGCUAACACGAAAUGAGUUCUUGAGUAUUUCGCUUUAACAUAUGAGGAUUCUUUGCUGGAACUACUGCAGAUCCAUUCCAGAAAGAUGAAUGUUAACCCAGAUGUUAACUUUGAAGAAUUGGCUCGGUCGACAGAUGAUUUUAAUGGGGCACAGUUGAAAGCUGUAUGUGUUGAGGCAGGCAUGCUAGCACUCCGUCGCGAUGCCACUGAGGUCUCUAUUCUCUAUUCUGCUUCCUGACGGUUACAUAAUUUUUGAACUCAUGAGUCACAAUGAGAUUUAGACUUUUACUUUGGUUUAAUCAAUAAUCUGUAUUAUAUAUAAAAACCUAAUUAAAUUGAACUGGCCUGUUAAGUCUGCCCUUUUUGCAGUUUAACGGUGAUUAAUACGGGUGAUGAUCUUGUAUUCCAUCACAAAAAAUGUGUUAUGAUCUCUAAUACCUUUCUCCAUAUGAUUAAGUUUGUGCUGUGAGAACUAAUCAACUGUGCGAAAAUAAAACCCCAUACUUUUUAUGGUUGGCAAGCUGGAUAGCACUAAUUCUGUCUCCAACCUCUUGCAGGUAACUCAUGAAGACUUCAAUGAAGGUAUCAUUCAAGUUCAAGCCAAGAAGAAAGCCAGCUUAAACUACUAUGCCUAAACUUGCUGCAGGUGCCAUGGCAAGCAGCUUUUAGCUUUUCAAAGUUGAACAUGGCUACUCCAUGCCACACCCCAAACCCCUUUCAGUAUCCCUCCUCUUCUUUCUUUCUGGCCCGGUAGGGGGUGGGGAUAGAAGCUUUGCACAUUAGCCUCUGUGCAAUUCUUGCUUGUUGAUUACUGAUAUCAAAGGUGUCUGGUAGUAUGUGGAUCUCUUCUUGAAUUUGUUCAUUUGUAUACUUUCCUGCUGUAUGACUUUAAUGACCUAGAAUAGCCUUGAGCUAUGUUGGCAAUUGAGAUUGGUUAAUUGGAACUUGAUCUUUAGUUUUGGACAAUAGCUACCCAAAAUAAUAUCCUGUCUUAUAUGUGUUUGUGACUGGGGAUGACUUAGUUGCAGCUCCAACCUUGUUUGUUGUGUUGUGGCACACCUGAACCUGAUAGGAAAAUUCACCAAAUUGGUCUAGUGAUACCAGCAAUCUUCUAAGAGGCUGGUUCCCAUACCCCUUUUUAUCAAGAGGGACUCAGACCUGUGUUUUGACCACCUAACCUCUAUAGGAGACUCUGGUUCUGGAGGUCACACAGACCAAACUAACCCUUAGUUCUUUGGUUUUUCUUAAUUAAAAUGCAAUGUUACAAUUAUUAUUAAUGUAUCGAAAAUGAGGCAAAAAAUUGUCAACCGUAGUAACAUGACUUGACGAGAAGGCAGGUUUACUAAUUUAAGCGCACAACUUUCCGCAAUAUCAAUUUUGCAGUACGAUUAUUAGUGACAUUGGUGGUGGUGUUAUGAAAGAAACCAGUUUUUUUGGGAAAAGUUUCUUCGAAUAACUGUCAUAUUGUAAUAUCGAAGUAAGAUGGACUUAUAUAUCAAGGGAGCAAAUUCCAGAUAAAAGAUUCUUUUAAAAGAACAAAAAUAAAUAUACCUAUUGAAGAAGGAAUCAAAUUGUUCUUGUUCCAUCUAAAACUAUUCUUAAACGUAAAAAAAAAAAAAAGACUUCUCAAGAAUAAAUAUAGGUUUCAAGGGUUAUACAUUUUCCCAAAAUUUGUCCAAUAUUGAUUACAUUAUACAUACUAGCAUUCAAAGAUUAAAUAAGCGUGUCAAUAUUUAACAUUGGGCACGGUUUUUCUUCUUUUUUUUUUCCUUGUCGGUGUCCACUAAUUGUAUUGAAGUCUGAUUAAUUCUCCUCGUUCCUUUUACCUAUGCCAUGAUGCUCAUGGACAGCCUAUCUCUAAUUGGAUUUCCUUAUCUUUCUUCUUCAAAUUACGAGUUGAGAUUUGGGGAGAGUGAAUAGGACAGGGUGGUGGAUGAUGUAAAGGAAGGGAAGGCUCAUCCCGUGCUACCUAUUUGAGGAAAGGGCUUCGUAUCUAAGAGUUUUGGAUUUGCGUUGUGUAAGACCCACACGGGGAAAGCGCUUUCUUGCUAAUAUUUUUUCAUAUUCAAGACUUGAAAUCAAGACUUCUAUUAAAAUUAUUGCUUACACUCUUGGUUCUAAUUCAUUUAACACACUUUCAACUUUAAUCCUCUCAAACAAAUGUCACAUUUUAUAAAAUUUCAAGAGAAUCUUUUAUUUUCUAAUUAACUAAUUUACUAAGGGGCCGUUUGGUUGCUGGUUAGAGUUAUGCAGGUAUUAGUAAUGCAAGUAUUAGUUAUGCAUGUAUUAGUAAUGCAGGUAUUAGUUAUGCAGAGUUUAAUAAUUUUUUUGGGUGUUGGUUUGUUAUAUUAAAAAUUAAUAAACAUUAUAUACUUUGUUAAAAAUAAAUUAUUUGUUAUUGUUAUAUCUUAGACCUUUCUUGCCGUUGUAUUUUUAUUUAUUUUCUACAUUUUGCUUAGGCAAUAUUUUGGACAGAAACUUAAAUGCCACAUUUUUCAACUUCCUCAUAUAGUUGAACCGAUGUAUAUAUAUGACACGUGUUAACACGGGACCAAUAUUGUAAUAGUUGAAACUUAUGGUUAUGCUAGUACAUAUAAUUCUGUGUACAUAUUACAAAAAUAGAUAAAUAUAAGUUAGCAUUUGAGCAACACCACAUACUAAUGCUAGAUAUUAUAUUUGGAGCCUUUACUUCAAUAAUCUAUAAUAUAGAAAUGAGGAAGUUUGUUUUUUUCUAUUUGAUGAAGGAGAUCAUAUUUACAAAAGUCUUGGCAAGAACUAGUGGAAGCUCCAGAGCUUACUUCAAGCAAUGUCAUUGAUAUGCACAUUGAUAGAUAUGGCUUACUUCCAAUGGCAAGAACCAUUACUUCCAACAAAACAAUCUAUUGUUGGACACUAUCCUCAACAAUUAUCGACAUAGACAAUAUCCUCAACAAUUUGAAUGUCUACUUAAUUUUCAAAAUAUAAUGGAGUACAUUCCCCACCUAGUGGGAUUUCACUGGGUAUGUUGUUGUUUGUUGUUGUAAUAAUGGAGUACAUUAAAUCUAAAUUUCAGUUUCGUCAUACUAAAUAAUUCAUUCAGUUACAAUUUUCACAUACUGCCAUAUCCUAAAAUUGAGAGUUCAUUUUUCAAGCAACAAAAUAGUGACAAAAUAAAUUUUAUAAGAUGAAGAAUACAACAAAUCUAACAUAUACCAUUGAGACAAACCUGAAAUUCUAGUACCGUUGCCUCACGGAAUCAAACUAGACCCACCUUCAUUAAACAUGAAAGAAACUUAUAUAAUUCAUUGUUAAAUUAUAUAAACUGGCACAUAAAACAUAGGCAAAAUAAAACUUAACUAUGCCAUGGUUAUACCUUACAAAGUAGCUACACCAAAAACCAUUCAAAGGUUUAAAGUUUAUCAUCAAUGAUCAGUCAUACCAUAGUGUAACGAUCAAGCUCAUUGAUGCUUAAAAAGCACUCCAUGAACUUUGUGUUGCUCCAGCUGAUACACUAGGUUCCCCUUGAGCAAUUUGAUCUUCUUUUUUUAGCUGGAGCAUCAUCUUCUUCGACAACAAUAAUAGGAAAUUCAAAACACAUGUUAUUAGCAACUUCUUGAGCUUCAAUUCUUUCUAUUUCUUGAACACCAACUUCUGGACCCCUCGGCAGAUUGUUUAGUAGCUCCAUCCUUGCGAAAUAUCUCUUCCCAAUCAGCAAAUAAUGGCCAUUUUUUAAAUGUCAUUGAUUUGGCAUAUGGAUCCACCUAAGAAAAAAAAGAAACAAGUAUAUGAAGUAACUGAUAAUAUUCCAAAGACAGAGAUUAUAAUUCAACCAAGAGAAAAUAUAACUAACUAGCUUUAGUUUGCUAAUAAUAUAAACAAUUGUAAAUCACCUUUAUGAAGUCAUCUCAAGCUUUUGGAUCGUCAACCAAGAUAGUUCCAUCGUUGUAUCGAAUUCCUAAGCCACUUCGACUUUUUACCAACGAUAGGAUCAUAUAAUACUUUUUCCACCCUCUUAUUUUUGAAAAACAUAUGUGGUAGAGCUUGCAAUCCACAAUUAGGAUGACAAACAAUCAUGUGUUGUUCAAGUUCCAUCAAAUAUCCAUGUUUAAAGGUUCCAUCAUCUUCUUUCCAAUCAUUAGCACACAACUUUUUUAAUCCAUCAACUAGAGUGAGUUCCUCUUCUUGAGUCCACACCCUUGCCCUUUUUUGAGACAUGUCAGACCUUCUUUUAGUGGGACUGCCAAUUUUAAUCUAUUAGAAUGUAAAAAAUCAUAAUUUAUACUAACUUAUGAUUCACUACAAAAGUAUACUAACUUAUUUUCACAUAUAUUGCAUUUGUCUCUCACCAAAUUUACAAGAGAAAAAAAAAACAAUAGUAUAAGAAGAAGACGAAAGCAUAAGAAAAGGCUAAGAUUUCAAAAAGUUUCUAACCUCAAAGAAAGAAUUUAGAUUGAGCGUUCUUCAAGAUUUGCCUCUUAGAAGAUAAUGAAAUUGUAGAUCUAUAAAAAUGCAUAUAAUGUAUCUGAUUGUAUUUAAUUAGAAGUAAUGAAGGGUCACCAUUAUCUAUCUACCAUACACAAUUGAAAUGGUCAGCAUUGGAGGUAAUAAAUUCAUCCAUCAUUUGGUUAGAAAUGGAAGAUUAAUGCAAUUCUAAGAAGUGAAUGACAAUUGAAUGGUAAUCAUGUUAUGGAUUCUGAAGUAAGACUUUGAGCAACUAAUGACACAAAUAGGCUUACCAGAUUUUAGAAUUGUUGGAAAACCAUUUGGACUAAAUUUCCAAGUUAAAACGUCUAAUUGCACAAACUUAAAACGAAAGCCUUGAAACCUAAACCAGACAUCCUACUAGACCAAAAAUUACCUUCUGGAUCUAACCGCGCUGGCGGAAUUCUCAUCCGAUCACUUUUACUAAGAAUAUUGACUGAAGUUGAACUUUGAGUAAAUUUCCAAGUUAAAACGCCUAAUUGCACAAACUCAAAAUAGAAGCCUCGAAAUCCAAACCAACCAUGCUACUAGACCAAAAAUGACCUUCCAAACCUAUCCGUGCUGACGGAAUUCUCAUCCGAUCACGUUUUACCAAGAAUAUUGAAUGUAGUCGAACUUUGACUAAAUUUCCAAGUUAAAACGCCUAAUUGCACAAACUCAAAAUGGGAGCCUCGAAACCCAAACCAACCAUCCUACUAGACUAAAAAUGACCUUCCAGAUCUAACUGCGCUAACGGAAUUCACAUCUGAUUACCUUUUACUAUGAAUAUUGACUGAAGUCGACCUUUGACUGAAUUUCCAAGUUAAAACACCUAAUUGCACAAACUCAAAAUGGAAGCCUCGAAACCCAAACCAACCAUCCUAUUAGACCAAAAAUGACCUCCAGACCUAACCACGCUGACGGAAUUCUCAUCUGAUCAUGUUUUACCAAGAAUAUUGAAUGUUGUCGAACUUUGACUAAAUUUCCAAGUUAAAAUGCCUAAUUACACAAACUCAAAAUGGGAGCCUCGAAACCCAAACCAACCAUCCUACUAGACUAAAAGUGACCUUUUGAAUCUGACCGCAUUGAUGAAAUUCUCAUACGAUCACAUUUUACUAAGAAUAUUGACUGAAGUAGAACUUUGACUAAAUUUCUAAGCUAAAACGCCUAAUUGCACAAACUCAAAAUGGAAGCCUCAAAACCCAAACCAACCAUCCUACUAGACCAAAAAUGACCUACCAUAUCUAACCGCGCUAACAAAAUUCUCAUCCGAUCAUGUUUUACCAAGAAUAUUGAUUGAAGUUGAACUUUGAGUAAAUUUCCAAGUUAAAAUGCCUAAUUGCACAAACUCAAAAUGGAAGCUUCGAAACGCAAACCAAACAUCCUACUAGACCAAAAAUGACUUUUUGGAGCUAACCGCGCUGACAAAAUUCUCAUAUGAUCACGUUAUACCAAUAAUAUUGACAUAAAUCAAACUUUAACUAAAUUUCAAAUAUCUUGGUAAAAUGUGACCAGAUGAGAAUUACGUCAUCUCGGUUAGCUCCGGAAGAUCAUUUUUAGUCUAGUAGGAUGAUUGGUUUGGGUUUUGAGGCAUCCAUUUUGAGUUUGUGCAAUUAGGCGUUUUAACAUGGAAAUUUAGUCAAAGUUUGACUUUAGUCAAUAUUCUUAGUAAAACGUGAUCGGAUGAAAAUUACAUCAGUGUGGUUAGAUCCGAAAGUUCAUUUUUGGUCUAGUAGGAUUUUUGGUUUGCAUUUUGAAGCUUCAAUUUUGAGUUUGUGCGAUUAGGCGUUUUAACUUGGAAAUUUUUUCAAAGUUCGACUUCAGUCAAUAUUCUUGGUAAAACGUGAUCGGAUGAUAAUUCCGUUAGUGCAAUUACAUCCGAAAGGUCAUUUUUGGUCUAGAAGGAUGGUUGGUUUGGGUUUCGAGGCUCCCAUUUUGAGUUUGUGCAAUUAGGCGUUUUAACUUGAAAAUUUAGUCAAAGUUCGACUACAUUCAAUAUUCUUGGUAAAACGUGAUCGGAUAAGAAUUCCAUCAGCGCGGUUAGGUCUGGAAGGUAAUUUUUGGUCUAGAAGGAUGGUUGGUUUAGGUUUCGAGGCUUUCAUUUUGAGUUUGUGCAAUUAUGCAUUUUAACUUGGAAAUUUAGGCAAAGUUCAACUUCAGUCAAUAUUUUUAGUAAAAAGUGAUCGGAUGAGAAUUUCGUUAGCGCGGUUAGAUCUGUAAGGUCAUUUUUGGUCUAGUAGGAUGAUUGGUUUGGGUUUCGAGGCUUUCAUUUUGAGUUUGUGCAAUUAGCCGUUUUAACUUGAAAAUUUAGUCAAAGAUCGACUUCAGUCAAUAUUCUUUAUAAAAAGUAAUCGGAUGAGAAUUCCUUCAGCUCAGUUAGAUCCGAAAGGUCAUUUUUGGUCUAGUAGGAUGGCUGGUUUGAGUUUCGAGGCUUUCGUUUUGAGUUUGUGCAAUUAGGCGUUUUAACUCAAAAAUUUACUCAAAGUUCGACUUCAGUCUAUAUUCUUGGUAAAAAGUGAUCGGAUGAGAAUUUCGUCAAUAUGGUUAGAUCCGGAAGGUCAUUUUGGUCUAGUAGGAUGGCUAGUUCGAGUAUCGAGGCUUUCAUUUGGAGUUUGUGUCAUUAGGCGUUUUAACUUGGAAAUUUAGUCCAUCUGGCAAGCCUAUUUGUGUCAUUAAUUAGUUGCUCAAAGUCUAACAUGAUUACCAUUCAAUUGUCAUUCACUCCUUAGAAUUGCAUGAAUCUUUCAUUACUAACCAAAGGACGGAUGGAUUUAUUACCUCCAAUGCUGACCAUCUCAAUUGUGUAUGGUAGAUAGAUAAUUGUGACCCUUCAUCACUUCUAAUUAAAUACAAUCAGAUACAUUAUGAGGAAUAGAUAACUGUUGUAGAUAGAUAGCUGUAACCUUUAUCAGAAUCACUUUAUUUCCAUUCUUUACUUGAAAGUGCAUUAGUUGCUCUUUAAAAUGUUAAUCUGUUACUUUCACCAACUAUCAAUCCAAAUCCUUGUCUUUGUCACAAUUACUAUAGUUUGUCUGCCACUUCCAACCUGGUAGUGCUGCAAUAAUGAUGUGAUAUUCUUUAAUUUAGAGCACCUCAACUACGUGACUAUACAAAUUAAGCUAAAUGAGAAAGCAUUCAUGAGGAAAUAAUUCACUCACACAUAAUUCAUUGUUAAAAUAUUAGACACAUCUUUAUUUAAAGUGAAUGAAACUUACAUAAUCCAUUGUUCAAUUACAAAAGCUGGCACAUACAACAAAGACAUACAAUUACAUUUUUUUCAAAAGAAGUCUCCUAUUUUUGUAACAUUAUCCUUCCAUGACAAACACCAAGCUUCAAAAGUUGAAUACCAGCCCCAAUAACAUAUAAUCACUUGACAAAAUAGCAUCUGAGUACUUUGUAUUUUUGACUGGAUCUUUGUGAUUACUCCAACUGCUGAAUAAUUUGCAAGAAAAGAAAAUUUCAAUACAGUCUCGGAGAAGAAGGAAUUAAAAACACCUUGGAGAAGAUGAACUUACCGUUUGGGUCAGCGUUUUGAGCAAUCUGAAGAGCAUCUGAGUUGGCUACUUACAAAAACACUAAUGUUGAACCAAAUCAUGCAUUUGUUAUACAAAAACAACUUACUUUAAGCACACAAUAUUCACAUAUAUGUACAUUUGUGGACAUUCUACUAGGUAACAAACAAUCCUAUUAAGGUUAAACCUUACAAAAUAGCUACACAAAAACCAUUCAGUGAUUUAAAGCUUAUCAUUAAUAAUCAUCCAUAUCAUAUUGUGAUGUUCAAGUUCACUGAUGCUUAAGAAGAAUUCCAUCAUCUAUAUAUCUUGAGUAAUUCCCAUUGUUGCCUGGACUCGUUCAUCUGAGUUGUAUAUUUCAAAUGCUGGGGAUCCAAUAAUAGAAAAUAUCUUACCACGAAUCUCAGAUAGAUCACGCUCUUCUAGCUUGUCAAUUAAAGAAGCCAUCCUUUUUAUCAUGACUUUCAGUGAAUUGUUUCAUCACCUCCAUCAAACCUCUAAGAACAGUCUUAUUAUCAUCUUCAGUUGUUUUUCUUUUUUUGCAUCUACCUUUUUCGUUGACUUUAGAAGAUGAUGCUUUAAAACUAUUACGUUGUUUCUGAGAUUGAUGGGUUUCACCUUUUUGAGUUAUGAAUGAACUUUGUGCUGCUCCAGUUGAUUCAUUAGGUUCAUCUUGAGCAGUAAAUGGACUUUAUUUUGCUCCAGUUGAUACAUUGGGUUCCUCUUGAGCAUCUUGAUCUUCUCUUGUGCCUGAAGCAUCAUCUACGUCGAUAACAACAAUAGGAAAUCCCACAGAUGUGCCAUUAGUAAUUUAUUGAGCUUCAAUUCUUUCUAUUUCUUCAACAUCAUCUUCUGGCCCUUCGGCAAACUUUCCAGUAGCUCUAUCCUUGCCAAAUAUCUCUUCCCAAUCAGCAAAUAAUGGCCCUUUUUUUAAGUUCAUUGACUUGACAUUUGGAUCAACCUAAGAAAAUAAAGAACAAGUACAUGAAGUAAUUGAAAAUAUUCCACAUACAAAGAUCCAUUAACCAAGAGAAAAUAUAAGUAAGUAGCAAUUCCCUAAUGAUUUAAAAUAAAUAUAAAUCACUUUUAUCAAGUCAUCCCAAGCUUUUGGAUCAUCAACUAAGAUACUUCCAUCACUAUAUUGGAAUCCUAAACCAGUUCGACUCUUUAGCAAUGAUAUUGUUGCAUAACUCUUUUUCCAUGCUCUUAUUUUAGAAUCAACUUGUGGUAGAGAUUUCAAUCCACAGUUAGAAUGACGAGCAUUUAUGUAGUGUUCCAAUUCCAUUAAACAUCCAUGUUUAAAGGUUCCAUUAUCUCUUUUCCAACCAUUAACACACAAUUCUUUUAAUCCAUUUACAAGAGUAAGUUCCUCUUCUGGAGUCCAUACCCGUCGAGAUGAAGGUGUUGAUUUUCUUGCCCUCUUUCUGGACGUGUUAGAUGUUGCAGCAGUAGAACUAGCCAUUUAAAUAUGUAAAAUUAUAAAUGAAAUCACAAGUAAUACUAAGUUACAACUUACAAGUAAAUUAUUUCAAUUAUAACCAAAUAAAUUAUAAUACAACUUGAUUGAUCUGGGAAAAAAAUAAUGUGAAGACAUAUAUACAAAUUCACUACUUAUAUUAAAAAAUAAUAGAUAUACAUUGAGAUUCACUAUUUGUCUGUACAGACAACAAUAUGAGACAUACAAAAGAUUGACCAUUCGUUUUCACAAAAUAAUAAAAGCUAUUACAUUUUACAGUGAGCGGAAAACCAAAAACAAAAGUGCAUAAGCACACCAAAAGUGACGACAUAGUUUAAAAUUAUAAAAAUUGAUUUCCCAAUCUUUCAUUCCACAUAGACUGAGCUAGUUCAUCCCUCCAAGUGGUUCACUCAUUAGAUGUUUCAAUUGUAUUAAUAUUGUCAUGUUCAUGUUGAUUCUCCAUGUGGAAUUCCAUUUCCAUAUCUAAUGGGUUAACUUUCAUCUCUCUUCGAAUGAAAUUGUGUAUCAAACAACAUGCACUAAUAAUUCUAUUGUGAUCCUUAACCGAGUACCACGAAGGACUUCUAAGAAUUUCCUAGCGUCCUUUUAAUAGUCCAAAUGCUCUUUCAAUAACAUUACACGCCCUAGCAUGCUUCAUAUUAAAGAGCACUUCUCGACAUCGAGGUGAUAGAUUGUCACCCUGCCAAUCAUUUAGCCAAUAUUUAUAUCCUCGGUACGGAAACAAAACCAUUUCCAUUUGUAUAUCCUCCAUCGCACAAAUAGUAGUUGCCUAAAAAUGUAAACAAUAAUAUAAUUACUUUAAAUAUUAUUCUAUUUUGAUGUAGUAGAAAUAGACAAGGGUCUGUCUAUUAUUUAGCAUACCUUGAGGUACUUUCAACCCAUUUCUUCGUACAACAACAUCUCGCAAUACGCGACCAUCAACGGUUGAUCCCUCCUAACCAGGUAAUACAUAAAUGAAGUUGAGAUUUCUAUCACAAACCCCCAAGACAUUAGUUGCUAUGUCUCCUUUUUGUGUUCUGUAUCUUGGCUUAUAUAUUGCUUCAACUCUAAUGAAAAUGUAAGUACCAUCCAAUGCACCAAGACAACCUUAUAAGAUAAAUUCAACUCUAAAUACUAAAGGACUAUUAAAAAUAAAAAUACUUUCACCAUAAUAUUUUAAGUUUGUUGUAGUAAAUCAAAUGUUAGAUUGAAAUUUACCUACCUUAAACCAUUUCCAUCGAUCAUCAGUAUCAUCUUCGAGCACCGGAUUAGGUUUAACAAGUAACACUGGAGUUAGUUUAGAAUAGUUCUUAGACAUUCAUUAAAGGCUCGACUUACACUCCACCCCGAUCUAAUAUAAUCAACUUUGACAGACCUGUUCUUCUCGUGAUGAGCCAAAAUAUUUAAGAACAUUGCUAAUUUUUCAGUACUCGACAUAUUUUUACUAUCAGUCAACCCUCUAAUAUUCUUGGCUAAGGAGGCUAAAAUGUGAAAGGCAUUUCUAUCCAUCCUAAGCUUGUCAAUACAUACAAUAUCAUUGUCACGAAUGAGAACAUUUAGAUGAGACAAGAUUUUAGGAAUUCUAGCACUCAUACAAUAUCGAAUGACCCGUCUAUUUCUAGAUUGGUUUCUUAAUAACAUGUUGUAAAUAGCCAUAAAAAAGCAAAUAAGGACAAUAUACGAAUGCACCACAAUCUCCUCGAGGAUCAUAAAGCAUUCAACAUCGCACAAUUGCUGAGAAUCCAUUUACACCUAUUUUCCAUUUAAAAAUUGCAAUAUCAUUAUCAAAUUGAAUCCAAAAGAAAAAAAGUAUCAAUCAUGUUACUUAACUAAUUAUUGUAGACACAUUGUGAUCAUAGGAAGGUAAUAGAUGGUUUCACACUAGAGUGUUCAAUUUUAUUAAAAAAAAAUGAAAAGUAACAUUGAAAAACAGGUAAAAUAUUUAUUUUUGUUUGGCUUCAAUAGCUAGAAUACUAAUACUAUUUUGUCGAACUGCAACUAACAUGUUCAUCUUUUGCAGUUUUAGAAGUUAAAACAACUAAACUUAAUGAACCCAUUUUUCAGAAAGCACGUUUUUGAACAAACAAAACAAAACCCACAUCAAAUUUGGGUGUACUAAAACAUCAACCUAACUAGAAAAUACUGAGAAGAUCUAGAAUUUCAUUCAUCUCUCAUCAGAUUAACAAGAGGAAAAACACAAAAAAGAGAAAAUAGGAGGAGGAGAAGAAGAAAAAAAACAAGAUCAGCCAAAUUUUGAGUUUCAGAACUUCUAACCUCAAAGAAAGAUCGCCAUAUUGAAAGUUUUUCAAUCUAUUUGCCGGAAAGAUGAAGAGCCAUUCUAGAUCUACGGAUAUGGAGAGAGGAUCUGAAUGUUUAUCUAAAAAGAAGUGGUGUAUAUUUGAUUGAGAGUGAAGGGCAAAAUUGUCAAUUUAUAUUUUUAUUCAAGUAUUAGUUAUUCAGGUAUAACUUAUUCCACUUUUACCCUGCAUAAAAUAAUACAUAGAUUGACUCAUAAUUUAAACAUGUAUUAGUUAUAUGGUUUUCUAAUUUUCUAACCAAACAUACUAUUAUGUGUGUUGAAUUUUAUACUUUGACAAAAAUAUACUACCAAACAUAAUAAAGCUUAUGCAACAUUUUAUAUCUGAAUAACUCAAUCCUUAUUCAGUAACCAACGGUUCCUAAAAAACUCUCACAUGAAUUAGAAUCAACAUAUUUUGAUUCUGGUUAGUAGCAUAAAAUGGUUGUGGGCUUGGGCAGUAGCGUAAAAUGGACUUCGCUCCUGUUGUGACAUGGUGCGGACUGCGGCGGCAUUCAGAACCCUACUCAAUUGGGAUAGGCAAUCACGUAAUUCCGGAUUGAAGUCGGGUUUAUUUGGUCAAUUUACCAAGCGCUCCAGCUAUAAAGACGCCGUACACCACCCAUAACCCUCCUUCUCGAGCCUUCACUGGUCCGUCGUUUUCUUCCUCUCUCUUCGUAUCAAUCAUCCCUUUUAGAGAGAGAAAGCAAAAGGCUAAUCUUCAACCAUGUUGGUUUAUCAGGAUCUCCUCACCGGUAAUCUUCUAUCCUUCUUCAGUUUUCUAGUUUUUUUCUCGUUUCUGUCACACUCUUUGUUAUAUUUUGUGUUAAAUUUUUGGUAGAAAGUUGUAAUAUUGAAGUUAGAGUAGUUUUGUUUCAGCACUCUGUUUAGCGAAUCUUUCUUGGAUGAUUGGCGCUUGUUGAUGAUUCCGCUUUUGUUUUAGCAAUUUUCUGUUUAUUUGUUGUGUGAUCUGAAGCUGUCAAUACGACCUGGUUGAUUUGUGACUGAUGUUACUGACUAUGUGGUCUGCAUAAAGGCCCUAAACUAUUAAGGCGGUGCAAUCUCUUUUUUCUUUUUUUAUUGGGAAUUAAGAACUAGAUCUACUAAUCUGGAUCUUAUAUUUUAACAGUCUUGUAGAGGAUUUGAUCUCAAUGUUUUUUACCUUGCUUUAUGAUAUAAUAUCAUAUAUAAGAGCCGUAUAUGAGUAAUUUGGAUCCGUAAAGUUACAUUGGUUGCUUCUAGUUUAGCUAGACUUGUGCCUUGUGUUAUUUAGGAAAUCCUAGUUUUAUGUAUCCGGUUACUGCAAAUUUAUGUAACAAACGCAAAAAGAUGUCUUUUGCAAGGUCCCAAAAGUUGGAGGUCUCAAGUUCGAAACCUCUUGCCAGCAAAAGCAACGAGUUUGCCUUCUGGGUUGAGCAUCGGGCAUGUCUAGUGUGGGCUACCUCUCGUGUGGUGGUUUGGGAUCUAUUGAUUAGGAGUGGGGUGGGUAGCGGUUGUGGGUUUCCCUUGUCAUAUAAAAAAUAGUUCUGGUCCAAUGAAACAUCUUGAAGGCUAUUUGAGUUACAGUAAUCAUAAUUUAAUCCAUUAAAGUAUUUAUUGUUAUGUGCACCUUCAAGUUGCUGUCUCUGUUUGAUAUGCGAAAAUUCACUAUUCAUAGCUUGUUUGUAACUCUGUCUUUGGACAUACUGUUGUUUGUGACUGUGGCUUUAAGAUUUUUGUUUAUGGCCCUUUCUUGGUAUGGUGCUGUUCUUGAAAACUUAAAGCUCUUCAAAAAAAAUAUUGCAGGUGAUGAGCUUCUCUCAGACUCAUUUCCCUACAAAGAAAUCCAGAAUGGAAUGCUUUGGGAAGUUCAAGGGAAGGUAGGGUCUCCAGUUAAUUAUUGCUCCCAAAAUUUCCUUAUAUUAGCAACCAAAUUUUUGUGGACUAUCUAUCUAGUCUAUGUAAAAAGAGAUAAUGUGAUGUGUUGGUUACAUUACAGUGGGUUGUUCAAGGUGCCGUUGAUGUAAACAUUGGGGCAAAUCCUUCUGCUGAGGGUGGAGGUGAAGAUGAAGGUGUGGAUGACCAAGCUGUCAAGGUUGUCGAUAUUGUUGACACUUUCAGACUUCAGGUUUGUAUACAUAGUUAUGGAAAUUUGAGUCAAUUUUAACAUACCUGUUAAUUAUAUGUGAAUAAAUAACGGUUUGCUAUUUGCAGGAGCAACCUGCUUUCGACAAGAAACAAUUUGUUACCUACAUUAAGAGAUACAUCAAGAACCUGACACCCAAGCUAGAAGGAGAAGCACAAGAAGCAUUUAAAAAGAACAUUGAAUCAGCAACUAAGUUCCUUUUGUCAAAGCUCAAGGACUUUCAAUUGUAUGUCCAUUUUCAUAUCAGUUUAUGACGUUGUCUAAGCUAAUUCCUUACCGAAGUUGAAUGCGUUUUGUUUUUCCUUCUACAUACUUGGCACCUUGAAAUAGAAACUGAUACUAUGUGUGUGCUGGCAGCUUUGUUGGUGAGGGCAUGCAUGACGACAGUGCCCUGGUGUUCGCAUACUACAAGGAUGGUUCAGCUGAUCCUACCUUUUUGUACCUUGCACCUGGCUUGAAGGAGAUCAAGUGCUAGAUGUCUGGUGGAGUGCUUCUGCUAGAAGUUUUGCAUUGGAGUUUAUGUUUCAUGUAGUUUCAAUAUCUGGUCCUAUUUGCUAAUUUGUGUUUGUUUCUUCUAAACCUUGGUACUCGUUGUAACCAGUACCUGCAGUUUUUCUUCAUUAUAAAAUCUUAUUAUGUGGGACAGCAAAUGACCCUCUGAUUGAAUUGAAAGUGUUCUCUUCUAUUGAUUAGCAAUUUUGUCUAUUUGAUUCAACUCUCUGAGGCCUUGCGAACUUGUCGCUCGUCUAGCUUUUAACAUAUAUUUGAUACGACCUGAACUUGUUGGUUCGUUGCUAAUAUAGCUUCUUUGCUUGUCAUUUGUUGUUGAAAAAAAUGGAUGCCUAAAAGGAAAGGUCGAUGCUUCAUAAUUAUAUGGAUUGGGGAAUCAAGGUAUGUAAGCCUAAAAUUUAUUUUUCUGCCAAGGCUCGCCCACAUGUUUCCCUUGGAUGGAUGAAUGAAGUCUAUGUCAAACAUGCUAGAGAGGCUCAGUCGACCAAGAGAGGUGGUCACGUGUUCACUUAUCAUUUGAUUAAUGUGUUCUCGUGCACAAGAUUGGUUUUGGUGACUCUCACUUGUUUUAUGCUUGAUACAGCAAAGCCGACCCUCAUGUGUUUAAGCCCUCGUGUACAAUAGGUGUUAUGAGAUUGGUUGCAUAUGCAAUUAACAUUCAUAAGUGAUUGGUUAGCAAUAUAUCAGAAUUCAUGUAUCAAUAUUGCCCUCGAGAAUUAAUUAUUCAGUCGGUCAGUUGAAUCUAUAUAAGACACAAGAAUCCAAAGGCAAUAAUAAUAUUAAUAAUAUAUCAUGUAAUGAACAAUCUUAAGACGUGUAUAACGAGCUAAGAAAGACAUGAGUUAUGGUAUCAUAUCUUACAUGUGCUCGUCAUAUGUUGUUCUAUCAGAUAUACGAGUACGUGUUGUAUAUAUACUUGUAUAGUUGGUGAGCUCUACUUCUACCUGGACUUAAACUGUGUCUAGUGCUAUUUUAUUGUACAUAUGCUUACAAAGUAUGGGUAUAUCGAGACCUAUCCCACCCAUAUAACGGUUGUUUAGUUUCAUAUUUUAGUAGAGAUUUCGUCACUUGUCACAUUAGACAUGUGUUUCAAUUAGGCCGAUUGGCCUCCAUCUCUGUAUAAACAAUUUUUUGUCAGUUACAUCGCUUGUUCACAAAUCACAUGUUAUAUCACGUGUUAUGAUCCAUCUGUAAAAUACAUCUUCAUACGGUUCUUAUCCGCCUCAUCCAGGCUUGUGCCCUGGUACUUAAUAAGUUGAUUAACAUUUCAUUUAGGGGUUUUGUCAUUUUAUAAAGGGGAACUUUCACAUAUAGCCACUCAAAAAUAGCCCAAUUACUCUCCAUAGCUAUAGUUUGAUAAUUACAAUUUGUAUCUACAUGUUAUAGGGAGGAGAGAGCCGAGCGAGACUGGGAGAGAGAGAGAGAGGGGGCAAAGAGUGGGAGAAAGGUGAAUUGCAUAUGUAUAUAGGUUAGAUAAUUAUAUAUUAUACAUAUGUAUUUGUAUUUAUGGCAAGCAAGAUUGGGAGAGGGAGGAGAGAGGCAAGCGAGAGAGGGCAAAGAGUGGGAGAGAGGUGAAUUGUAUAUGUAUAUAGGUUAGAUAAUUGUAUAUUAUACAUAUGCAUUUGUAUAUAUGGCGAGCGAGAUUGGGAGAGGGAGGAGAGAGGCGAGCGAGAGAGGGCAGAGAGUGGGAAAGAGGCGAAUUGUAUAUGUAUAUAGGUUAGAUAAUUGUAUAUUAUACAUAUGUAUCUGUAUAUUCUAGCGAAUUAUACAUAUACAAACAUGGCUAAUUAUACAAACUCGAAGUCAGCCCGCGUAAUUAAUGUAUAAUGUUAGUCGUGAGUGGUAAUUAUAGCAAAUUAUAGCUAUAAUGAGUAAUUAAAUAGUAUAAAUUUACUUAACCGCGUAAUUUUCCCUUUUAUAAAUGUAUACAAAUAUAAUAAUAUAAUUAUUAUUAUUAUUAUUAUUAUUAUUUGUGUGAAAGAGGACCAAAAUUGUUUUUAUACGAUUAACGAAAAAUCUAUUUUGUAUAGUUCAAGAAUAUUUUUUUGCAUUUUUCAGUUUUUCUUAAAUAAUAAUUCCAAUUCACAGUUUUUCUUAAAUAAUAAUUCCAAUUCACAUUGUCUUUCAUUUUUCACCUACCUCACAAAGCACUCAUUCAUGAAGAUGGUCCACAACUGCACAUACACCUAUUAACUUCGAAAAUUAUAUAUAUAUAAAUAUGUAUAUAUACGUUGAGAUAUGAUAUAUGUUUUAUUAGGCACUCAAAGAUACAAAAACUAUUUAGGUGUGUUGAUUUAAACAUUACAAAAGUUUAAAAAUAUUGAAUAAAAAAAAGAGAAUGACUAGUUUUGAACUUGAGACUUCAUGGUGCAAAAUGAACUUCAAAACCACCACUCCUCAAAGCAAAUUAUAUCUAAUAGAUUCAAUUUAGUUCAUAUUUAUACGUUAUUAUAUUAGUUUAGUAUUUUUAUGUUUAGUAAAAUUAUCAUACAAAUCAUCAUUGGGUGACAUAUUUUAACUAAUGUGUAUUAACCAUUAAUGGUGCACCCUUUGUCUUCAAAUCCUCGAUUCACCUCUCUCUCUCUAUAUAUAUAUAUAAAAGGACCUGAGCAUGAAUUCCCUCACAAAACGGAAACAUCACGAAUAGAUAUCAUAAUGAAAUCAGUCGAUCUCUUAAUUAUGAAGUUCUUUCGAAAAGUCAUUAUAUUUUGAUUUUUAAUUCUAAAGUCAUUGAACUAUAUGUUUAUUGUUGGGUUCGAAAGUGAUUAGGGCGUCAUGCGGAAGCUUACAAUUGCAAAUCAUAUGAUUAAAUCAGACAACAAAGAAAAGUAUCCUAAAGAAAUAUUAUUGAUAUGAUUUAGUCAAACGACCUACAUAUGAUAAAACUAAUAUUAAAAAACAUAUAGAUGUUUAGGAGAAAAUCUCCUCAUAAACAAGACUCUCUAAAUCAUUACAUUGUGAAUGUUAUUGUGUUUUUGAUAUGAGAAGGGGGGUGUUCAAUUUAUAGAUCUCCUAACUUUUCCUCUAAGGAAAGAAUAAACCAAAUAUAAAAUAUAUUUUUCUUUCAUGGUAAAAAUAUUUAUGGUAAUGUUUUGUCUUUUCUUUUAGGAAAAAACAAACUUCAAAUAAGAUAAGAAAAUCAGGGCAAAACCCUAACAAAUCUAAUCUUUUGGCUGAAUUUUCUUGACAAAACUUGAUAUGCCUUCUUCGUAUGCUUGAUAAUCUUGUUCUUCACAAAGUCUUCAUCACUGUUGCUUGCCAUGGUUAAAAAUAAGGUUUAAAAAGUAUGAGUUAAAAAUGGUUUUAAAAUAUUUCACUUUUAUUUUUAGAAAUUGCAACAACAAGAAUGUUGAAAAUAUGGUUGAAACUUCUUCUCCACAUGUAGGUAGACAAAAAUCUUCAUUAUCAUUAAAUUUGUUGCAAAUUGAUUUGAAACCACUUGAACCUGUCUUCACUCUUGUUCAACCAUUGAAUCAUGUGCUAUGAUACCACUUGUUGGGUUAUGAAGGUAAAUAGGAUGUCAUGUGAAAGCUUAUAAUUUGCAAAUCAUAUGACGAUAAAUUAGAUGACAACUUAAACUAUACUAAAAGACAUAAUAUUAAUUUAUGAUAGGACCAAUUGGCAUACAUAAUUAAGAACUAAUAAAAAGAAAAUAUUAAAACUGUUGAGAUAAAAAUCUCCACAUAAACAAAAUUCUUAAAAGUCUACAUUGUGGAUGUUAUUGUGUUCUACUAUGAGAAGAGAGGUCUUCAAUUUAUAGAUAUCCUAACUUUUCCUCUAAGGAAAAAAUAAACCAAAUAUGAAAAGUAAUGUUUUUUUCAUUUAGGAAAAAAUAAACUUCAAAUAAGGUAAGAAAAUCAUGACAAAACCCUAACAUUUUUUUCCCUCAAAAAGUCACUCAACUUUAAACUCAAAAUCUACUCAACGAUAUUUUAUAUACAAAGCCACUCAAUCUAUUUAGUUGAUUUUUUUCAUUAAAAUUUGUUAGAUAUAAGUAUUUAUUUAGAAUAAAAAAAUUUAAAAAUAAUUUUCUUUUUUAGAUUUAUGGGUUUUUGUGUAGUCUAUCUGAAGAUUGAUUUUGAUUUAUGGGUUUUUGUUACUGUUGAUUUAAAAAUUGUGAUGAUUCUUAGAAAUAGAUAUCUUUUUACUUCUUAGAAUUUUGACUUAAAAUAAAAAUUCUAUAUUAACAAAUUUUAAUUGAAAUAAUUAAUUAAAUAAAUUGAGUGAUUUAAUAAGUAAAAAUUUCUCGAUUAAAUAAAAGAAAGAGUGUAUUACACACACUAUUGAGGUGCAUUUCUCAAAUUAAUAAGUGAUAAUUUUUGUAUGAUACUCAUAAUCCCAAUAUUUAAGUAUGAAACUCAAAAAUAGAAAAUAAUUUAGGUGUAUUUUUUAUACUUAUCUCCUACUUUUAAUGUUUGGCAUUACCGCUAAAAACUGUUUAUUUUUAGAUGUACUUUUUUAAAAUGGCUUUUUUAAAAAGUGCAAUUUGUAUUUGACUAAUUCAUUUGAAAAGUGAUUUUAAAAGAAAAUUGUGUUUGACUAAUUUUAGAAAAAAAAAUGUGUUUAUGAGAGUCAAAUUACAAAAAAAGGUAAGUGUCAAUGUACUUUUAAUAUUAAGAUUAUUUUAUAGAGAGGAACUAUUUUAAAUAUCUAUUACAAAAAUUUUAAUUAAAAUAUACAUAUUUAAAUUUUCAAUUAAUAUUAUACAUAAAUGAAUAAAUAUUAAUAUAAUAUUAACAUGAUGGUUUAAUAUAAUUAAAAAUAUCAAGCAAAACAAAUUUAAAAAUCAUUCCACAAAUUAAACCACUAUAUAUGAAAAAUUCACCACAAAAAUAAAUAAAAAAUUUCAUAUUUUUAAUCCUACAAAAAUAUCGCUGUUACGUUUAUUUCUAAUUUUGUAAAAGAAAAUGUAAAAUAAUAUAUAAAAUAUAAAAUAAUAAUAUAUAAACAUAAAAUAAAAUAAAAUUUUAUUAUAUAAAAACUAAAAAAUAAAAAUAAAAUUCUUGAAUGAAACUUAAUCAAACUUAUCAGAUAUGCUAAUUAAUUAAUAAUUGAUAUAUUGAUAAAUAUGUGGAAAAAAUAUUUUAGUCUUAAAAAAAUAAUUUUCUAUUAUUUUUUUUCAAGAAGCAAAAUUUUUUAACUUCUUACCAACAUUCCGAACGAUAGAAAAAUUAUUUCUAAUUUAUUUAAAAACAUUUUUAAGAAUUUAUCAAACUCUUAAUUUUAAAAAAAUAAAAUUUUAGAGACAUUUUUGACGUUCCAACCGCCAUGUAAACGGGCUCUUAAUCAAGGUAAUUUUAAUCCACCCUGGUGCGGACUGCGGCGGCCGAACCCUACAAAAAAUGGGUCAUGUAACUACGUAAUUUUGAAAUUUAAGUCGGUUUAUUUUUAGAUUAUAAAUACCAAAUCCCACUCGGUUACAGCAAUCCCGAAUUCUCCGGUUAUAAAUACCCGUGUAACGCUCUCGAGCCUCCAUUAGAGUCUUUUUUCUUCCUCUCUCUUCUUAUUGUACUCCUCUUCCCUUUCAGAGAGAGAAAGCAAAAGGUUAAUCUGCCAUCAUGUUGGUUUAUCAAGAUCUCCUCACUGGUACUUUUUAAUCUUUGUGUUUCUUUACUUUUAUUGAAUGUCCGGUUCUGUUUUGAGCUCUUUUUUUCUUUUCUUUUUCUGGUUAUCGUUUUCCGUCAUUCUCUUGCUUAUGUUUUGUGUUAAUUUUAUGGUUGAAAAUUUGUGAUCUUGAGUUUGUUUCGGAUAGUAUUGUUUUAUUGGCUUGUAUCUGAUAUUGAUGGGUCAGUUUUUUGUUCUAAAGAUAAUGAAAUUUUGUAUGAAUUUUUGUUUCUUUGAUGCUUGAUAAGAUCUGGUUGAUUUAGCUGGUGUUACUGAAUGAUUUCCCGAGGUCCUAAGCUCUUAACGCUUCCUCUUUUUUUAUUUAUUGAUUAUUGGGGGAAUUAAGGAACUGGAUCUGAUCUGGAUUUUACGUUUCAACCCAUCGUAGGCGAUUUAAGCCCCAAAAUCUUUUACCUGUGAUCCUGAAUAAUGUGUAUGAGUGAUUUGGAUCCACGAGAUCUUAAUUUUUGUUGUUUCUUGUGUGAGCUGUGAGCAACACCUAAUUUACUCUACCUAUCUGUUUAUAGUGCAAAUUUUGUCAAUUUUAUGUAACAAACAUUAAAAGAUGUGUUCUUGCGCAAGCUCCAUAGAUCUGCAAAAAAUAAUAAUUGUGAAGGCAGUGGAUUCUAGUAAUUUCAGUAUCAAUUUGAACAUCUUAUAGUUUAUCUGGGCUACGGAAAUCAUAAAGAAAAUUAGAGUAUGCAGGCUUCUUUCUUCUUCUUUUUUCUGUUUGACCUCUGAUUCUUCUAUUGGUUAUCUAUAUUAUUGGUUGUUUGGUGCACCUCUGAGUUUCUUUAUAUGCACAAGUUCCCUAGUUUCUAGAGUGCUGUGUUACUGUGUUUUUGGACAAACUGUCGAGUUUUACCUUGCUUUCUGCACUCAAUCUCAAUGGUUUCCUAUAUAGCUCCGCGAUUUGGAUUCAUAGAGCAUGUAGGGUUUUUUCUGUUAUACGGACUUUGAAAGAGGACAUUCAGCUUGUAGGAAUUUUUGGUUUUCAUAUAUGGCCCCUUUAUGAUAUGUUACUACUUUUUAAAUUUAAAACACUUGAAAACAUAUUGCAGGUGAUGAGCUUCUCUCAGACUCAUUUCCCUACAAAGAAAUCCAGAAUGGAAUGCUUUGGGAAGUUCAAGGGAAGGUAGGGUCUCCAGUUAAUUAUUGCUCCCAAAUUUCCAUAUAUUAGCAACCAAAUUUUGGUGGCCUAACUAGUCUAUGUAAAAAGAAAUAAUGUGGUGUGUUGGUUACAUUACAGUGGGUUGUUCAAGGUGCCGUUGAUGUGAACAUUGGGGCAAAUCCUUCUGCUGAGGGUGGAGGUGAAGAUGAAGGUGUGGAUGAUCAAGCUGUCAAGGUUGUCGAUAUUGUUGACACUUUUAGACUUCAGGUUUGUAUACAUAGUUAUGGAAAUUUGAGUCAAUUUUAACAUACCUGUUAAUUAUAUGUGAAUAAAUAACGGUUUGCUAUUUGCAGGAGCAACCUGCUUUCGACAAGAAACAAUUUGUUACCUACAUUAAGAGAUACAUCAAGAACCUGACACCCAAGCUAGAAGGAGAAGCACAAGAAGCAUUUAAAAAGAACAUUGAAUCAGCAACUAAGUUCCUUUUGUCAAAGCUCAAGGACUUUCAAUUGUAUGUCCAUUUUCAUAUCAGUUUAUGACGUUGUCUAAGCUAAUUCCUUACCGAAGUUGAAUUGCGUUUUGUUUUCCUUCUUACAUACUUGGCACCUUGAAAUAGAAACUGAUACUAUGUGUGUGCUGGCAGCUUUGUUGGUGAGGGCAUGCAUGACGACAGUGCCCUGGUGUUCGCAUACUACAAGGAUGGUUCAGCUGAUCCUACCUUUUUGUACCUUGCACCUGGCUUGAAGGAGAUCAAGUGCUAGAUGUCUGGUGGAGUGCUUCUGCUAGAAGUUUUGCAUUGGAGUUUAUGUUUCAUGUAGUUUUAAUAUUUGGUCCUUUUUACUUAUUUAUGUCUCUGUUUCUUCUAAACCUUGGGUACUUGUUGUAACCAGUGCCUGCACUUUUUCUACAUUAUAUAGUUUUAUUGUUGUGGGAUAUCUAAUGAUCCUUGAUUGAAUUGGAAGUAGUCUUUUAUUGAUUUUCAAUUUUGCCUAUUCAAUGUGUUGGGAGAUAUUUCUAGGUCAGCUAUGUCUACUUUAUUGAACAAAGGGGAAAAAAAGUUCUCUUUGACUAGUGGUAGUGGAAUGCGAAUAUAAGAAUCAAAUUGUGUGAUGGAGAGAAUUUUGCGUGGGUGGUGGAAUUAUUUUUAUGUGAUAUUUACCUCUUACUCAAUGUCUCUGUUUUUAUGUAUUACUUAUUUGUUACUUUAGCUAUAUCUAUAAUUACUUCAAUUUUUCAUUUAAUCAUUAAUAAAUAUAUAAUGGAGUAUAUUCGUGCCUUUAAUCGAAUAUGCUGCUCGGUUCUUCUUUUUUUUUUGGCCCUACAGUUUAUUGGACAGAUGCAAGUUCGCAUACAUUAAAAUGGAAAAUCAUGGAUUAGUUUUCAACACAGAUUGAAAGAUUUAAAAUGUUAAAUUAUUAGUACAAGUUUCCAACAUAAAGUCCUCCUUUGAAGAUAAUAAGAGCCCACUUUGGGUGUGUUUAAUUAUAAGAAACUAUUUUUCAUAAAGAAAUCACUUUCUGGUAGCCUAUUUUUAUCUUUUAGGUUAUUAAUCUCACUUCUACUCUCUUUUUUCUAUCAACGGAACUCCAAUCAACUUAUUCAAGUUCAUCUCUGAAUUUUUUGUUUGUUCUUUGGUUUUUCCUUCUUCUUUUCAAGGAACCUUUUUUUAAAAAAAAAAGAUUUUAGCUGGGUGAACUCUAGAACUAAACAUUUCCAAUAGGUUAAUCUUAACCACCAUUACGAGGCCUCCUAAUGCACAAACAUUUUUUUUUCUUGGAACUCUCAGAGCAACCCGCAACCUCUACCCUUUGGGUUGUACCAACAUUUUGUUAAUCGAAAUCACUAGAAAAUCACCUCAUUUGCAAAGAUAUUUUAGUCGUGAUACCACUCCUUGGGCUGAGUAAUAGAAUUAUAAUUAUUUAACUGGGCUUUCAUUUUCUUCGUUGUGUUUGUCCAUCUGAUCUUGUGUAGUAUAUGAUUUUAAUGAAACCUUUUAGCAAACAAUACCUAGAAAAAUAUGUAUAUAAUCAUAUGCACCGUGGUUUCCAAGUUAAUUUUAAUUAAUUUUUAAGUUCAAUGAUAUGGUAAAUAUAAGCAAUUCAAGGCUUGUUUGGAUAGAGGAGAUUGAAUUUCAAAUUCAUAGCAAUAGGUUUAUAUGCUUCAUACAUAUUUGGCUCACCAUGCAAGAUAACAUUUGGAUUUGAAAUAUCAACUCCAAUAAUAAUUCAUGGCAACCCUAAUUUAGAUUCAAUUAUUUUUUGUCACCAAAAAUUACGACAUGGGAUUCAGUUCCGCUUGACUUGACAUAUUCUUCUCAAGUAAUAAUAAAAUAUAAUUUUAAUAUACCAUUCUUAAUUUUUAUAAGUCCUGCGAAAUGAAUUUGAAUUUGAAUUAAUUAAAGCAUUAAUAAUAAGGAUAAAAUAGGUAUAAAAUAAUAAAUUAUCUUUUGAUUUUUAAAAUUGAACCAAUAAAAAUAGACACUUGAGUUUAGUAUACUUGACAAGUAUUCUAAAACGCAACGGACUCAUGAAAAGAGAUACUUCUUUUCUUGUUAAUACUCCCAUUUGUCUCAAAAAUAAGUAUUGCUUUGCUCAUCUCAUGUUCAUUAUGAAAAAUAAUAAAUAUAAACUAUAGUUUAUUAUGUUAUCUCUAUUUGUUAGAUGUUUCAUGAGAAUUGAGCAAAAUCAAUAGUUUUUUAAUAUGGAGAUAUAAUUGAAAACAAUUAAUUAUUCUAUUAUUUUUGUCUUAAAUUUGUAGAACGAACUCUUAUUUUGGGAUUUGUUUAUUUAUUUAUUUAUUUUGCUAAGCAGUAUUUAUUUUUAAAACGGAUGUACAUAAAGUAGCAAAAGGGUCGUGGGGGAGUUGCACCGUAAUGAUUGUCAAAAAAAUAUUUUUAAAAAAUGGGCACCCCAUUAGCACGAAAGGAAUAAGAAUAUUUGUGGGAUAGCAAACUUGCUCUUUGUCUACAUGCAUAGUUCUUUGUUUUUUUUUUCCGAGUUCGAAAUUCGCAUUGGAAUUUGAAUCAUAUUCGUAGGGCCCAUUUGAAAAUAGCCAUCCGAUCAAAAAAAUUUCAACAUUUAGGACUCUAAGUCAAAAAAAUUGAUUAAAAAAAGAACAGUUUCAUCGUUCAAAAAAAUAAAAUAAAAAUAGUUGGAACCUCUCGGUAACCAAUAAAGCGGCAAAUAAUUACUCAUACUUAAGUACUUAACAAAGAAAUUUAGGAAUCUACAAUAGAAUAGAGCUGGGGUAGAGUAAUCCAUUUCUUUAUUUAUUCUUUUGUUGUAAUUCAGAAUUGUCAGUCUGUUUGCAUUAUGGUCCAUCCAGAGAUAGAUAUAUGACCAACAAAUUAAUAAAUCCUUGUGCUAAAGAGGUCAGAACUAAUGAUUUUUAGGCUAAAAAUUCAUUAAAUUCUUAUCUUUUCUUGUUAACUACGCCCUUCAAAUCUAAGUAGGUGUACGUUUGGCCAUUGAUUUCAAAUAAGUUUUACUUUAUUUAAAAUUUAUGGAGUUGGAGUUGAAGUUAGAAAUGAAAUUGUGUUUGAUUAUAUCUUUUGAAAAUUAUAUUUGAAAAAAAUAUACAUGCUUAAAUAACAUAUUUUAAUACAACUUUAACAAUGAAAAGUAAAAUGAAAAAUAGGAUAUAACUUGAUUUACAAAUUUAAAAUACAAUUAUCAAGUUGAGUUUAAAAAAAAUUAUGAUCAAACACUAACAUUCAAAUAAAGUAAAAAAUGAUUUACUACCAUAAAAAAAUUAGAAUUUCGUAUUAAAUUAAAAUAAAAUAAAUAAAUUAAAACGAAAUUUCUUUUUCACUUACCACCUCUCAUCAAAAUGAUGACUAGUUCUGACCAAAGUGCAAAGGACCACACAAGUUCCCGUUCAUAGAAGUCAUAAAAGGUGAACUAGUCUUCAUUAAGACAGCCAAAAGUACAAGUGUAUGACUAAACUAAUUGGAAAUAUCAACGGGGUUGUGGUAGAGUGGUAAGUACUCAUUCAUUUUUAAUCAAUAGUCUCAUAUUCGAGUUUCUUUGGGGAUGGAGUCACGUUUUACUCUUAAUAUGGGACUUUUUGGUGUCACACCAAAACUUAAUAUAAGCUUCAAUGCAGGUAUCAAAUAUCGGCUGGAAAAAAAAAACUAAUUGGACAUGCCCAUGUUAAAAGAUGAUGUGGGAUUGACCAAAUUGAAUGGACUAUGAAGUUGGCCUGUUUUGGUUUUUCUAUAAGCAAUCUAAUUCCUUCCCAAGUUUGCAAAUUGCAUUGCCUCUUUUUUCCCCUUUCUUUAUCUUUACUUCUUUUGUUUAACCCAACUUAAAGUUUUCUUGAAAUACUCCAACAACAAGUAAAAAUAUUGUCAGUAUCAAUUAUUGCAACCUAAAAAAAUAUUUGGGUGGAUACUAAUUAUGAUAAACAAUUCAGAGUUUCAAAUAAUUUAUCUUUAACGAUUUUUUAUAUUUUCAUAUUUCAGCUCGAACAAAAUAUAAAUCUUAGAUAUGUUACGUAGAAGUGUGCAUCGUAAAAAUUAUGUACUGUUAAUUGAAUUAGCGUUGAGGCAAUUGUCAUCGAGUCCGCAAGGCAAUGAAGUACAAGGAUCGAAAUGACUGUUAGAAGAACUGAUUAUUGUUAAGUGAUUAGUUGAAGAUAGUUAGGAAAAUAUUUAUAUUAAUUAGCCUAGUAUAUAGGUAAUUAAACUUUUUUUUUUCUUGUAAUUCAAUUGCAUAAAUUCAUUUUGACUUGUUCACAAUUGAGGACUAUCUCUAUACUUUAUCACUUUUUGUUAGUACCUCCUUUAAUAGAGUCUCUUACAUGCAAAUGAUCUUUUAUCACAUAUUUCUCUCUUUUUUCUCCUAAUGUUGCUUUUUUUCAUUUACUUUACACUAAAUAAAUUCAUUUAUGUAUGAUCAAAGUUUCGAAUAUUGAUGUUGUUAAACGUAUUUUAGGUGAACCAACCUAGCUAAUGUGAGAUAUUAACCAAAUAGAAGCGAAACAUCAUUUGGGCAGCAAACUUGAUGAUAAAUAAUUGUUCAAAUAUAUAAGUUAUAUAAAUGAGAAGUGUACGAUUAGUUGGAGAUGGGUUGGAAUGAAAUAAUGUUUACUUUGAAUUAUCAUAAUAUUACGAACAUUAGUCCCACAAAUCACAAGAAACCAAACAUUAUCUUGUUCCAUUUUUAUUUGGACUCUUGGAAACCACCUCAUUUUGUCUCUCUAGUUGAUUAUUAAAAUGCCCAAAAUGAUCUUAGUUUGACAACUUCUAGUCGACAUUAUUCUAAUCUUUUCUUUUUUACAGUUGGUUUACUACAUUAUGGUCAAAUAGGUACUACUUUUUAUUAUUUAUACACUAGUUUUCUAAGUAAAAAUAAUUACUAAAUGUGCUACUUUUCUUAUUCAUGAAAUAAAUCUUGUCUAGUUUUAAAAAAAGAAAGAAUACAUCUCGUAAACAGCAUUAAAAAAUGCAAAAAAAAAAAAACAUUUUAACAAAAAAAAUAAAUAGGUACGUCAGAAUUGAAUAUAUAGUUGAUAUUGAGUUUACAAGUAUCGAAUUUGAGCCCUGAGUAUGGAGAAAUUUUUUAUAGAGAGUGUUUCUUAGGCCUUACAUGACGCAAAUUCGGAAUAGUCGAACUCAAAUAUGGUUAUCUACCAUUGAAUUACAAAAAAAGUUGCAAGUAUUGUAACAUAUAAAUAAUUUAGAAAUUGCAAAGUAUGAUUCUUUUCAUUUCAAUUUACUUUAUUAUACUAAAAAAAAAAACUUAUAAUUUAUUUCCCUUUAUUCUUUUCUUCCAUCUUCUCCUUGCCCCACAUGGUAUGGGGGAAAAUUACCUUUUCUCUUCUGUUUAUUUUUUUUUUUCACCAAAUUACUUUUUCCCUUUUACAUCUACUUAAUGUUUCAUUCACGUCGAAUUAUUUUGUCCAUUUAUUUAUUUUUUUAACAGUUGAAGUAACUAAAUAUUUAUUACUCUAUCUAUUCCGUAUUAACUAAUUUUUUAAGAUUUUUUACAUUUUCAAAAUAAUUGAAUUGUUUAAAGUUCAAAAUGAUUAUUUGAAUUUUUUUCAUAUUUGCCAUUUCAUUUAUUGAAGUUUUAUAGUAUUUUUUAGGAGAUAAAUUAAACUACUUACAAAGUUAUAUUUAUGGUUUCAUAGAGAGCAAUAGUGAAAAUUAUGAUUUAAAUUAUGUCCUUAAAUGUUUUUUUUUAAGAUAUGUAUGUAUUGUCUCACCAACUCAAUUUUAUUUUUUUUAAAUGACGUAAAUUCAGUAAAUAUAGAAUAGAAAGAGUAAUUGUAGAAAAAGUAAUUGUAUUUAUUAAUUACAUCAAGUGUUUUACUUCUAGAAGAGUAAACGUUAUAAAUGAUUCCACACUACUGAAACUAUUUGUGUUACACUUAUUAAAUGUUCUGUGGAACUUUAAUUCCAUUUAAUAAAUGUUUUACUUCUACAAUAAUAGAUGGAUGCUUUAAAUCUUUGUUUUUUCAUUUUGUCCUGCCUUUUUUGAGUUUUUCUUUAAUUACCUCGUUUAAAAAGUUAAAAUUCUUACCAACUAAAUAUAUUUCAUAGCUUCCUUUUACAAUGUUUCCUACGGGAAAAAAAUAAAUUUGUGACCGUGAAAUAACACUUUAAAGUUUAAAUCAUAAUGUUUAGGAGGUCAAAUUUAAUGAUCUUUGCACUAAAAAAUCAUUACAGUUUGAUCUUUUCUUGUUAAAUAUUCCCUUUAAUUAUAAAUACUAGUCAAUUUUACAAAUUAAAUUUGUUUGUAAAGAGUUAAUAAAUCGGUUUAUUUGGACAAGUAUUUUUACAAGUAAAGCUAUUAAAUGUUUUGACAAAAAAGAGUACACAAAGAUUACAAAGACAGAAUAUGAAUCGAUAAUAUUAUGUUAAAAAAUCACUAGCAUUAUGCAAAUAAUUCAAAGACUGAUAAUGUUAAAAUCCCCUUUUACGUUUUUGAUUUCUCUUAGAAAUGACGACUAAUUUUGAUGAGAGUUUUAAAAAAAUUAAAUAAGACUUUAAAUUAGGGGUAUUUAGAUUUUAAAAAAAUAUUACUUAAUAUUUCUUUUCUCCACUUCUUUCCAGCCUGUAAAUUGGAAAAAAAAAUUCAAAAUCUUUUCUUUGUCUCUUUCUUCUUUUGUUUAACCAAACUAGCAAAUUUCAUAAAAUACGCUAAGAAAUACGUACAAUAUGGUCAACAUGCAAUUAUUAUUGGUAGCAGUUAGGGGUUGCUGGGUUUAAAGAAAAAUUAUAACUAAUGAUGUAGGAAGUGUAAUACACAAAUUAGUACGUAAUUUAGGUAAUUAAUAUGGCUAUACUGCAAAAACCAGUACAGUCCAUAUAUAAUAUAUGAUUUAAAACAUAUGUUCACAUUUUAAGCUAAAUAAAAGAAUUUGUUUUUACUAUUACAAAGGUAAGUUUUGUCAUUUUGGUGUUUAAUUCAUAUUGUAUUAUUACUACUCUAUUCUUCUUUCGCAUUAUAACUUAUAUAAAUUAAUAGACAGAUCCACCCUAACUUAUUCACAUGUUAUUAAUUAAAUUAUGAAGAAAAAGCACUAACUAGACAUUGCAUUACCUAAUGGUGAAUUUGUGUGACAAAUUAACAGGGUGUUUCGAUUGGUUAAACCUACAUUUAAGUCAGAAUUUGACUUUUAGAAGUGUUUGACAUGUAUAAAAAUAACUUUAAAUAAGUCAAAAAUAAUUUAAAAUAAGUUAGAAAGCGUUUGACAAGGUUAAAAAUAACUUAAAAUAAAUUUAAAAUGACUUCAAUGAGUUAAAAAUCAAAAGUAGGUGACCCUACUUUUUAUUUUUUGACUUGAAAGUCAUUUAAGUUUAAAUUUUUAUUUUUGAUUUUAGAGCUACUUUUUUUAAGUCAAUCCAAACAAACUCUAAAUCUACUUCCGUGACCAACCCCUUAGAAUCAUUUAGUUUGCAGAGUAAAUUAUAAGUACAUAAUUCUAAUAUUAUGACCAAUAAUAUCUGGAUCUUUUAUUAAUUAUGAUUUGUUUAAGUUAUGACAUUAAAAAAAAAUUGUCGUAUAAUCUAAAAUAUUUAUUUAAUUUUAAAAUGAAUAAAUUUAUAUGAUUUUAAUUUUUAAUUUUAACCUUAACCUAUAUGUAUAAAGCUUUAAAAAAACUUAGUAGAAAACAAUAUACUAUUUUACUUAUUUUGUCAAGGGAUGACCAAUUUUUAGAUUGAUAUCUCACAUUAGAUAUGUCAUAUUAUAGCAAAGUUUGAGUAUAUAAUCACAAAGGUAUUACGAUAAGAAAAUUGGAAAACACCAACAAGGGUUGUGAUAGAGUGGUAAGUACUCUUUCAUCCUUAACCAAGAGGUUUCGGGUUCGAGUCCCCUUGGGUACGGAAUCGCCUUUAUGUGUAAUCGAAUGCGAGGAUUAGCAAUAUAAGUAUUGAAAAUAUUUAAUGACCAAAAUAAAAUAAGCUCUUCACGUAUAAAUCAAUAUUAUAUUGAGAAAAUUACACGGUUAAGCAAAUAUAUACUACAUAAUUAGAUAACAUAGUUACAGUUUGCAUUAAUUACAAUUUCAAACUUACUUUUACCUAUAAUUACAUUCUAUCUCUUGCCUCUCUCAUCUCUUCCUUCUCUCGCCUCUCUCCCUCUCUUUGGAAUCUUGCUCGCCAAUCUCCUCUUUUUCGUUCAUCUCUCUUGUGCCUCUCUCCUCUCCCUGCCCAGUCUCUCUCGAAUUUCUUAUGUCAAUCUCUCUCUCACUUUAUACAAACACAAAUGUAUAAUUUGUGUUUGUGUUUGUAUAAAACGAGAGAGACUGGAUAUUCAAAUACAAAUACAUCUCUCCCCCUAUACAUUAUAAUUAUAAAAAUACAAAUAUUCUCCUGUCCAGUUUUCUUUUGCAUUUCUCUCUCUCGCUUUAUACAAACACAAAAUAUACAAAACAUUUGUUUUUUUAUGACAAGGGAAACCCGCAGCCGCUAUCUUUUGGGUGCGCACAAGGUAAAACCACCGCUUCUAUGCAAUAGCUCACAAACCACAUAGGAGAGGUAACCCGCACUACGCAAGCCUGGUGUGACGAGCUCGACCCAUAAGACAAACCCCUUGCUUUUGCUGGCAAGGGGUUUCGAACUUGAGACAUCCAACAUGGAAGUCCCAAGUUUAAACCACUAGGCCACCCCGAAGGGUAAUUAUACAAAACAUUUGUGUUUGUAUUUGUAUAAUUUGUGUUUGUAUAAAACGAGAGAGAAUGAUUGAAUAUACAAAUACAUAUGUUUUACCUCGAUUCAAUUGUAUACGAAUUCAAAUUGUAUGCAGAUAUACAAAUACAAUCAUUGAUACAUAUACAUAGUAGCUACAUAUAUACAAUUAUCUAACUGAAAUACAUAUACAAUUCACCCCUCUCUCCACUCUAUGACUUAUGUUGCUCGCCUCUCUCCUCCCUCUCCCGAUCUCGCUCGCCACUCUCCUCCCUAUAACAUGUAGUUACGAAGUGUAAUUGUAAACUAUAGCUAUGGAGAAUAACUAAGCUAUUUUUGAGUGGCUAUAUGUGAAAAUUCCCUAUUAAUAAUCACAAACAAAGUUACUUAAUAUAUACGUUGUUAAAGGAUAUAGCAAAUACCACAUAAAAAGAGUGAAAAUGUGCGGCAACGCCGAAUAUAAAUAAAAGUGAAAAAAAGAUCUUCUAUUAGAAUUCGAAUAUGUAAACUUAUCUAUGGACUAAAUUUUAAUAUUCACGUGAAUCAAUAAAGUAAUAUCACAUAUUUAAUUAAAGUUUCGGAUAUGUCCUUAUAAAUUUUCUAAAAUAAGCAUUUUAACCCAAAAUCAAUGACAGUAAAAAUGUAAUAAAUACAAAUAAAAUAAAUUUGAACUAUUUUCAAUAUAUUUAAAAUCUUUUUGACUGAAUUGAGAAAGAAAAACACAAAUAUAAAAUGAGCUCUGUAAAAAGGGAGAUAAAAAGAUAUGAAGUUUUAGGAAAAUAGAAAGAAUACGAUUUGAUGAUUUCUCUUUAAAAUGACUAUUAACUUUGACUUUGAAGUCAUGAUAAUUAGAUUUUGUCGAAAACAUUGACUUGCUUCAUUCAUUUGUAACGGUAAAUUGAUUUUUUUUGUUUUUCCUCUAUUCUCUGCUUUCAUUAUAAUCAAUCUUUCAAUUUUCAUAAAUUACGCUAAGAAAUACUACAAUAUGUCCCGUAUCCAAUUCUAAUUUUUUUUCUUCGUGUAUUUUAUUCUCCUAAAAUUUGAAAAUACAUGAUAGUUGAUUAUAAUUUAAUAUUUUUUUUAAUAGUAAGAUUUUGUAAGACACAAAUAAACAUAUAUACAUCAUUGUAGAUUACGUAACAAUACACAUGUUUAAAUAUUAAGUAGGUUCUUAUUGAUCAUAGUUUUGUAAAUCUUUUCAAUUAAAUCAAUUGUUAUCAAAAUUGUUUUAUAAGUAUUUAAAAAUAAAAUUAAGACUUCACUUUAUUGAAUAUGAUAACUAGAAUAUCUUUUUUUGUUAUCUCCUGUAUUCAGAUUAGCAAACCAGAAAUAAUAAAAGAUGAAAAGAAAAACACAAAGAACUAUCCGAGUCCACAGAACCCACUGUGUGUCCUUAAGAAAUUUAAUCCCCUCAAGUACCCGAGGUUGCAGAUUAAUUCCUCCCAAGAUAAAACGGAUUGACCAUUAAAGAAGUAGCGGUACCUCAAACUUCAAUAAUUUCAACGAACUCAAAAUGACAACAACGAAUCACAUACACAGACACGAUCGAUCGAUUUUGUUUUGUAAGAAAUGUAUGCAAAAGAAGGGAAGAAUUCGAUGCAAAAAAAUGAGAGAAAACUUUUCUAUUUAUAGCCAACAAAGGGUAAAGGUCACAACCCUUUGGAAAGAAGACAACCUUUCAGAAAGNNNNNNNNNNNNNNNNNNNNNNNNNNNNNNNNNNNNNNNNNNNNNNNNNNNNNNNNNNNNNNNNNNNNNNNNNNNNNNNNNNNNNNNNNNNNNNNNNNNNNNNNNNNNNNNNNNNNNNNNNNNNNNNNNNNNNNNNNNNNNNNNNNNNNNNNNNNNNNNNNNNNNNNNNNNNNNNNNNNNNNNNNNNNNNNNNNNNNNNNNNNNNNNNNNNNNNNNNNNNNNNNNNNNNNNNNNNNNNNNNNNNNNNNNNNNNNNNNNNNNNNNNNNNNNNNNNNNNNNNNNNNNNNNNNNNNNNNNNNNNNNNNNNNNNNNNNNNNNNNNNNNNNNNNNNNNNNNNNNNNNNNNNNNNNNNNNNNNNNNNNNNNNNNNNNNNNNNNNNNNNNNNNNNNNNNNNNNNNNNNNNNNNNNNNNNNNNNNNNNNNNNNNNNNNNNNNNNNNNNNNNNNNNNNNNNNNNNNNNNNNNNNNNNNNNNNNNNNNNNNNNNNNNNNNNNNNNNNNNNNNNNNNNNNNNNNNNNNNNNNNNNNNNNNNNNNNNNNNNNNNNNNNNNNNNNNNNNNNNNNNNNNNNNNNNNNNNNNNNNNNNNNNNNNNNNNNNNNNNNNNNNNNNNNNNNNNNNNNNNNNNNNNNNNNNNNNNNNNNNNNNNNNNNNNNNNNNNNNNNNNNNNNNNNNNNNNNNNNNNNNNNNNNNNNNNNNNNNNNNNNNNNNNNNNNNNNNNNNNNNNNNNNNNNNNNNNNNNNNNNNNNNNNNNNNNNNNNNNNNNNNNNNNNNNNNNNNNNNNNNNNNNNNNNNNNNNNNNNNNNNNNNNNNNNNNNNNNNNNNNNNNNNNNNNNNNNNNNNNNNNNNNNNNNNNNNNNNNNNNNNNNNNNNNNNNNNNNNNNNNNNNNNNNNNNNNNNNNNNNNNNNNNNNNNNNNNNNNNNNNNNNNNNNNNNNNNNNNNNNNNNNNNNNNNNNNNNNNNNNNNNNNNNNNNNNNNNNNNNNNNNNNNNNNNNNNNNNNNNNNNNNNNNNNNNNNNNNNNNNNNNNNNNNNNNNNNNNNNNNNNNNNNNNNNNNNNNNNNNNNNNNNNNNNNNNNNNNNNNNNNNNNNNNNNNNNNNNNNNNNNNNNNNNNNNNNNNNNNNNNNNNNNNNNNNNNNNNNNNNNNNNNNNNNNNNNNNNNNNNNNNNNNNNNNNNNNNNNNNNNNNNNNNNNNNNNNNNNNNNNNNNNNNNNNNNNNNNNNNNNNNNNNNNNNNNNNNNNNNNNNNNNNNNNNNNNNNNNNNNNNNNNNNNNNNNNNNNNNNNNNNNNNNNNNNNNNNNNNNNNNNNNNNNNNNNNNNNNNNNNNNNNNNNNNNNNNNNNNNNNNNNNNNNNNNNNNNNNNNNNNNNNNNNNNNNNNNNNNNNNNNNNNNNNNNNNNNNNNNNNNNNNNNNNNNNNNNNNNNNNNNNNNNNNNNNNNNNNNNNNNNNNNNNNNNNNNNNNNNNNNNNNNNNNNNNNNNNNNNNNNNNNNNNNNNNNNNNNNNNNNNNNNNNNNNNNNNNNNNNNNNNNNNNNNNNNNNNNNNNNNNNNNNNNNNNNNNNNNNNNNNNNNNNNNNNNNNNNNNNNNNNNNNNNNNNNNNNNNNNNNNNNNNNNNNNNNNNNNNNNNNNNNNNNNNNNNNNNNNNNNNNNNNNNNNNNNNNNNNNNNNNNNNNNNNNNNNNNNNNNNNNNNNNNNNNNNNNNNNNNNNNNNNNNNNNNNNNNNNNNNNNNNNNNNNNNNNNNNNNNNNNNNNNNNNNNNNNNNNNNNNNNNNNNNNNNNNNNNNNNNNNNNNNNNNNNNNNNNNNNNNNNNNNNNNNNNNNNNNNNNNNNNNNNNNNNNNNNNNNNNNNNNNNNNNNNNNNNNNNNNNNNNNNNNNNNNNNNNNNNNNNNNNNNNNNNNNNNNNNNNNNNNNNNNNNNNNNNNNNNNNNNNNNNNNNNNNNNNNNNNNNNNNNNNNNNNNNNNNNNNNNNNNNNNNNNNNNNNNNNNNNNNNNNNNNNNNNNNNNNNNNNNNNNNNNNNNNNNNNNNNNNNNNNNNNNNNNNNNNNNNNNNNNNNNNNNNNNNNNNNNNNNNNNNNNNNNNNNNNNNNNNNNNNNNNNNNNNNNNNNNNNNNNNNNNNNNNNNNNNNNNNNNNNNNNNNNNNNNNNNNNNNNNNNNNNNNNNNNNNNNNNNNNNNNNNNNNNNNNNNNNNNNNNNNNNNNNNNNNNNNNNNNNNNNNNNNNNNNNNNNNNNNNNNNNNNNNNNNNNNNNNNNNNNNNNNNNNNNNNNNNNNNNNNNNNNNNNNNNNNNNNNNNNNNNNNNNNNNNNNNNNNNNNNNNNNNNNNNNNNNNNNNNNNNNNNNNNNNNNNNNNNNNNNNNNNNNNNNNNNNNNNNNNNNNNNNNNNNNNNNNNNNNNNNNNNNNNNNNNNNNNNNNNNNNNNNNNNNNNNNNNNNNNNNNNNNNNNNNNNNNNNNNNNNNNNNNNNNNNNNNNNNNNNNNNNNNNNNNNNNNNNNNNNNNNNNNNNNNNNNNNNNNNNNNNNNNNNNNNNNNNNNNNNNNNNNNNNNNNNNNNNNNNNNNNNNNNNNNNNNNNNNNNNNNNNNNNNNNNNNNNNNNNNNNNNNNNNNNNNNNNNNNNNNNNNNNNNNNNNNNNNNNNNNNNNNNNNNNNNNNNNNNNNNNNNNNNNNNNNNNNNNNNNNNNNNNNNNNNNNNNNNNNNNNNNNNNNNNNNNNNNNNNNNNNNNNNNNNNNNNNNNNNNNNNNNNNNNNNNNNNNNNNNNNNNNNNNNNNNNNNNNNNNNNNNNNNNNNNNNNNNNNNNNNNNNNNNNNNNNNNNNNNNNNNNNNNNNNNNNNNNNNNNNNNNNNNNNNNNNNNNNNNNNNNNNNNNNNNNNNNNNNNNNNNNNNNNNNNNNNNNNNNNNNNNNNNNNNNNNNNNNNNNNNNNNNNNNNNNNNNNNNNNNNNNNNNNNNNNNNNNNNNNNNNNNNNNNNNNNNNNNNNNNNNNNNNNNNNNNNNNNNNNNNNNNNNNNNNNNNNNNNNNNNNNNNNNNNNNNNNNNNNNNNNNNNNNNNNNNNNNNNNNNNNNNNNNNNNNNNNNNNNNNNNNNNNNNNNNNNNNNNNNNNNNNNNNNNNNNNNNNNNNNNNNNNNNNNNNNNNNNNNNNNNNNNNNNNNNNNNNNNNNNNNNNNNNNNNNNNNNNNNNNNNNNNNNNNNNNNNNNNNNNNNNNNNNNNNNNNNNNNNNNNNNNNNNNNNNNNNNNNNNNNNNNNNNNNNNNNNNNNNNNNNNNNNNNNNNNNNNNNNNNNNNNNNNNNNNNNNNNNNNNNNNNNNNNNNNNNNNNNNNNNNNNNNNNNNNNNNNNNNNNNNNNNNNNNNNNNNNNNNNNNNNNNNNNNNNNNNNNNNNNNNNNNNNNNNNNNNNNNNNNNNNNNNNNNNNNNNNNNNNNNNNNNNNNNNNNNNNNNNNNNNNNNNNNNNNNNNNNNNNNNNNNNNNNNNNNNNNNNNNNNNNNNNNNNNNNNNNNNNNNNNNNNNNNNNNNNNNNNNNNNNNNNNNNNNNNNNNNNNNNNNNNNNNNNNNNNNNNNNNNNNNNNNNNNNNNNNNNNNNNNNNNNNNNNNNNNNNNNNNNNNNNNNNNNNNNNNNNNNNNNNNNNNNNNNNNNNNNNNNNNNNNNNNNNNNNNNNNNNNNNNNNNNNNNNNNNNNNNNNNNNNNNNNNNNNNNNNNNNNNNNNNNNNNNNNNNNNNNNNNNNNNNNNNNNNNNNNNNNNNNNNNNNNNNNNNNNNNNNNNNNNNNNNNNNNNNNNNNNNNNNNNNNNNNNNNNNNNNNNNNNNNNNNNNNNNNNNNNNNNNNNNNNNNNNNNNNNNNNNNNNNNNNNNNNNNNNNNNNNNNNNNNNNNNNNNNNNNNNNNNNNNNNNNNNNNNNNNNNNNNNNNNNNNNNNNNNNNNNNNNNNNNNNNNNNNNNNNNNNNNNNNNNNNNNNNNNNNNNNNNNNNNNNNNNNNNNNNNNNNNNNNNNNNNNNNNNNNNNNNNNNNNNNNNNNNNNNNNNNNNNNNNNNNNNNNNNNNNNNNNNNNNNNNNNNNNNNNNNNNNNNNNNNNNNNNNNNNNNNNNNNNNNNNNNNNNNNNNNNNNNNNNNNNNNNNNNNNNNNNNNNNNNNNNNNNNNNNNNNNNNNNNNNNNNNNNNNNNNNNNNNNNNNNNNNNNNNNNNNNNNNNNNNNNNNNNNNNNNNNNNNNNNNNNNNNNNNNNNNNNNNNNNNNNNNNNNNNNNNNNNNNNNNNNNNNNNNNNNNNNNNNNNNNNNNNNNNNNNNNNNNNNNNNNNNNNNNNNNNNNNNNNNNNNNNNNNNNNNNNNNNNNNNNNNNNNNNNNNNNNNNNNNNNNNNNNNNNNNNNNNNNNNNNNNNNNNNNNNNNNNNNNNNNNNNNNNNNNNNNNNNNNNNNNNNNNNNNNNNNNNNNNNNNNNNNNNNNNNNNNNNNNNNNNNNNNNNNNNNNNNNNNNNNNNNNNNNNNNNNNNNNNNNNNNNNNNNNNNNNNNNNNNNNNNNNNNNNNNNNNNNNNNNNNNNNNNNNNNNNNNNNNNNNNNNNNNNNNNNNNNNNNNNNNNNNNNNNNNNNNNNNNNNNNNNNNNNNNNNNNNNNNNNNNNNNNNNNNNNNNNNNNNNNNNNNNNNNNNNNNNNNNNNNNNNNNNNNNNNNNNNNNNNNNNNNNNNNNNNNNNNNNNNNNNNNNNNNNNNNNNNNNNNNNNNNNNNNNNNNNNNNNNNNNNNNNNNNNNNNNNNNNNNNNNNNNNNNNNNNNNNNNNNNNNNNNNNNNNNNNNNNNNNNNNNNNNNNNNNNNNNNNNNNNNNNNNNNNNNNNNNNNNNNNNNNNNNNNNNNNNNNNNNNNNNNNNNNNNNNNNNNNNNNNNNNNNNNNNNNNNNNNNNNNNNNNNNNNNNNNNNNNNNNNNNNNNNNNNNNNNNNNNNNNNNNNNNNNNNNNNNNNNNNNNNNNNNNNNNNNNNNNNNNNNNNNNNNNNNNNNNNNNNNNNNNNNNNNNNNNNNNNNNNNNNNNNNNNNNNNNNNNNNNNNNNNNNNNNNNNNNNNNNNNNNNNNNNNNNNNNNNNNNNNNNNNNNNNNNNNNNNNNNNNNNNNNNNNNNNNNAUGCAGAAAAAUGAGAGAAAACCUCUCUAUUUAUAGCCAACAAAGGGUAAAGGUCACAACCCUUUGAAAAGAAGACAACCUUUCAGAAAGGUCACAACACUUUGGAAAAGGCACAAUCUUUCAAAUGGUCACAACCCUUUAGAAAGGACACAACCUUUCAUAAAGGUCACAACCCUUCAAGAGAAUCACAACUCUUCAUUUCCUGUUCACACCUUUAAAACCCAACAUUUUUUUUACUUGUACAAACAUUUCAUAUUACUUUUAAUUACAAAUUUAGAUCUAAAUCAUCAAUAUUGUAGUUAGUGUUACUUUAUAACAUUUAAAGUUAAGAUAAUGUCUUUUAAAAUUUAACUAUUUGAUAAUAUAAUUAGUUUAAACUUGUAAUGUCUAAGAAGAUAUUUUAAAAAAUUGAAGAUAAUCUUACAAAGACAAUAUUAAAACAUGAUUGAUUCAAAUUGAAGUGAAUUAGACAACUUAAGAAGAAGGAAAUAACUUCAAAUUUAAUUACAUAUGACAUUUAAUUAUAAUUGCAUUAAUUUUAUAUUUUAGAAAAUAAUAAUUUUUAAAAAUAUGUACAUAAUGUUUAACAAAGUAUUGCCAAUUAAUUAUUAAGGAAAUUUCAAUAAAUACAUAACUAAAUAUAUUUUUAUAUAUAACAUUGAAAAAUUUGGAACUCUUAUUUUUUUUAAAGCCAAAAUCCACUUUAGAUUUAGAGACGAAGUAGUAAUGAUGAGUAACAUGGGCGGAGCUACAUUAUGGUCACGGAGUUCGAACCCCUUCAGUAGAAAAUUAUAUUAUUUAUAUACAAUUAAUAUAAUUUUUAAUGUAUACAUAAUAGAUGUGAACUCCCUUUGAAAAUUCUUAUGUCUACUUUUUAAAUUUUUGAACCACUUAGUGAAAAAUUGACUCCGCCACUGAUGGGUAAUAUAGAAAGUAUAAUACAAAAUUUAGUAAUACAUGAUUAUAAUGUUGAGACAAACUAGUACAUGAGAUAUGGUUUAAAUCAUAUGUUUACAUUUAAGCAAAAUAACAGUAUGUGAAAAUUGACUCCGCCACUGAUGAGUAAUACGUUGAUGAGUAACAUAGAAAGUAUAAUACAAAAUUUAGUAAUGCAUGAUUAUAAUGUUGAGACAAACUAGUACAUGAGAUAUGGUUUAAAUCAUAUGUUUACAUUUAAGCAAAAUAAUAGUAUGUGUUUUUAUUAUUAUGAUAUGAAGGUUAAUCUUUUCUUUGGGUGUUUAAUUUAUAUAUUAUUAAUACUCUAUGUUUCUUCUUUCACACUAUACCUUAUAUAAAUUAAUAUAUAAAUUCACUCUAACUUACACUUGUAUUAUAAAUUAUGAGAACAAAGUAUCAAGUAGAUAUUACUUACAAUGAUAAAAAGAAAAAUGCAAUAAAACACAGAAGAUCACGGUAAUCAAACAAGAGUUUGGUUGGAAAAUUAGACAAGUUAAACUCCACAUAAAAUUUGUACAUUAUUUCAUAUAAAUUUUAGCUUCAUUAUUUAUCCCCCACAAAACCUUCUUUACAAUGUUUGAUAUUUUUCUUCUUUGUAUAAUUAAUUUCCGCAUAAAUUCUAUGUGAUUGAAUGUAAAGAUUUAAAUAAGAUUUAUUUAAUAGUAUAAAUAUUGAAAUUACUAAAUAGCAAAAAUAACUCUUCGUGUAUAUCAAUAUUAUUUUGCUAGAAAAUAACUUUUUUAAACUACACACUGAAUAAUAUUUUUUAGUACAACAUACCCAAAAUAUAAUAAUUGCAUUAUGACCCCUACUAUAAUUUCGAUAUUACUAAUUAUUGCACAAUUAAUUAUUUGAUUAAACUGUUCCAAAUUUGAUGAACAUAUUUAAUUUUCAGCAGAGUAAGAAAAAUGCAGGCGAUUCUUUUAUUUAUUUAUAAUAACAAACAAAGAUAAUUAAUAUUUAUGUUGUUAUGAGAUAUCAAAUACUAGAAAUGGAGAGAAUUGUGUGCAAACAUGUUCAAAUACUAUAAUUAUAAAAAAGUUUUAAAAUGUCAUAAUAUAGUGGAAGUGACUAAAAUUUGUUCUCUUGUGGGAGUGCUUCACCCUUAACUAGAGGUCUCGGAUUCGAACCCUAGAUAUGGAGAAAAAUCCUGUUGGGAGCGCCACCCUCGAAUGGACCCUGCAAAGCGCGAUCCGAAUUUAGUCGGAGCUCCAAUGUGAACUCCGAACACCGGGUGGAAAACAAAAAAAAAGACUAAAACUUGUUCUCUACUACCAUUGUUCUCAACAUUUAUUUUCUGACUAAAAACACACUUCUUUCGUCGAUUAAAUUUCACUUGUCCUUAACAUUAUAUAUCGAUUUGAAAUACCCUUAUUUUUAACAAAUUAUGAUAUAAUAUAUAUGGGGCCUUAAUUAAUGCAAUACUGAUUUACUAGUCCUUAAUUAAUGCAAUAUUGAUUUGCUAGUCCAUGUAGCCACUUUUAUAAGUAACACAAUCCAUUGAAGUUUAGCCGAAAAUAAACCUAAAUUUUUUUUGAAUUAAACAUUAGUUGAUUUAGCUUCAUUGGUCUCGAAACUAUUCAGUUCGACAAUUAAUAUACUUCAAAUGAAAAAUUUGAAGAAUUAUAAAUAAUUUACGUAUUAACUCAAGAAUUCAAGAAAACUUUAUGACUAUAAUUCAAUUUUUUGUGGAGUCCAUGUAAAAUGAUGUUUUGAACCCAAAAUUCUGUCAAAAUUCCAUACUCAAAAUACCAAUUGACCUCAUGUUAAAUUUUUGGAGAUAAAAUAUCAACUCGUCCGAUAAUUGCUUGAUAAUGACUGUCCAUAGUUUCUAAUAGAAAAUAAUUCAAGAAAUAAAUUUUAGAAUUAAUUGAUUUAAUAAGCUUUUCAAUCUAAGAAAAUGAUCAAAGUCAAAUAAAAUCACAAAAUUCAGAUUUGUUCGUAACCUAUUUUUUGAUGUUCCACAUUUUAUAAUUAUAUGAAUUUAAUAGACAAUAACGUCUUCAUUCUUUGAAGUUGCAAUUUUAGUUCAAAAUUAUUGCAAACUUCAAUUAAUUUUAGAUCUAGGUUCAACUCAACAUGUUUAUCCUUUAAUGUAAUAAUAGUGGAAUCUUAAAAAUUCAGUUAAAAUAAUUACCAAACAAAUACAUUCGAUAAAUUCAAAUUAUUUAUAAGUUGAAUUUAACAUUCAUAAAUCAACAUCACAUGUUAAAGGGAAAAAGGUCCGAAAUAUAUUUGAACUUUGACCGAAAUUGUUGUAAUAAUACCGAACUUUGGAAAUGACCUUUUACCCCUGCACUAUUUAAUAGUGUAUUUUAAAUGUAUUUAUGUGCCCACGUGGACAUCAUAAAUAUUGCAUAAUUAUUAAUAGUAACGUGUCCACGUGGGCACAUAUAUACCUUUAAAAUACAUUAUUAAAUAGUGCAGGGGGUAAAAGGUCCUCCAUAAAGUUUGGUAUCGUAACAACAAUUUCGGCCAAAGUUGAAAUAUUUUUCAGACACUUUUCCCAUGUUUAAAUAAAGUCCAUGUGUAUAUCAUUUUUUUGGGAUAAUGUAUAAGUACCCCUUAUAUUAUGACUAAAAUCUCACUGACACAUUUAAACUUAACUAGGGUCUUAUUGUCACUCUUAACUAAUCUAAAAUAGAAUAAACACAUCUCAAAAGCCGACUCGAUAGAGAUAGUAUCCACACUCUCUUGAAGGCAAGUGAAGAUCGAAAAAAAUGGACAAUUUUUUUUUUUAAUUGGUCUGUUUACAACGACAUUAAAACCUAUAUACUUUUAAUGUUAGAAUAUUUAUUUUAAUUUCUUCCUCACUUUAAACUUUUUAUUUUUUCUCUUUCACUAAUUUCUUAUCUUUCACUUUAAUUAUGUGUAUUUUUUAAAAAAAAUUAAGAAGUAUCCUUUAAUUUUUAAUGUUUUAAUUUUUUUUGAUUUUAUUUGAUUUUCUUCACUUAUUUUGAUAUUGGUACGAAAUUAACUUAUUUUAAAUACACGACAUUUAUGAUUAAAUUUGAAAUCAAAUAAAAAGGAAAAACAAAGAAUAGGAAAAAAGAAAACAAUAAUUAAUGAAGGUAAAAAGAAAAUGAAAGAAUAGAAGGUUAAAAUACAAGACAAUUUUUUAUAAAAAAAUAUUUAUGUUUAUUGACUUUAUUUAAAUAUAAGAUAAAAGAUAUUAAAAGAAAUUCUCAAUAUGUUAAAAUUUGACCAAAAUAUAAAGUUGAAAGCGGUCAAAUAUGAAUUUUUGGUAUUAGAAAUUAAGGAGAGGAAAUAAAAAAAGAAAAAGAAAAGAAUAUAAUUCCGUAAAACAGGCGGUGAGGAGAGAGAAGAUGUUUUUAGGAAAAUAGAAAGAAAAGAGGUUCACAGUUUUUGUACAGCCUCAUCCAUCUUCUUUCCCCACCUAUCCCCAAACCGCUUCCUCAAAAUUCCUUUCAUCUCACCAAGACCCUUUUGCUUA